rnacentral:lncRNA from 1 species
UGUUUCCAUGCCAAUUGUAGUGGCCAGUAAACCUCUGCAAGCAAGUAACCAUCUGCCUGCCUGUAGUUCAAGGUAUAAUAUUUUUUUUGAUAACCCAAGUUUGAAGAAUGCAGUUUCUAGUAUUUAAAAACAGUACAAUGAUCCAGUGAAACAAAUUGACCCAAAUACAGUAUUACUGUUCAGAUGUGAUCCACUUUUACUCUCAAAAUCUACCAUUUUGGAAUAUUGCUUAUAUUCAAGAUAGCUCCUUGACUAUGCAUCCUGAUUUGAGGAUUUAUUUUUACUCAUACUGGUUUUUCGUUUUAAGCGAACGUUCUGUAUGAAAUUAAAGCCCAUGGAUCAAAAUAAUAUUUUUGAUGCCGUUUAAUCUUACAUCUUACUGCUUAAAACUACUGCGUAGUUUAAUGCAAUUGCUUUUGUGGGAAGAAUCGGCUUAACACGUUAUCGAUAAUCCUAAUGCAACUGUAUCCAAGUUUGUUCUGGGAUUUUAAAAAGUGGGUUUAAAGAGAAGAUGUGCUUACAGGUUUGCUUGUGAGUCAAAAACACGGAGAAAUUACCAAUUAACGCUCCCUGGCUUAACGUCUGCAAAUACAUUGUGCAGUCUCACAUAUUGUGCUUGCUUAAUUCCAGUGCAUGCCCAUGUUCUAUGGGGACUCAGCUACAUUAGUAAAAAAAACACCAGUGUUUUAAAUGUGUUAUAGACAUGCAACACCAGAUGGUGCUGUAGAGCACAAAACCUUUCUAUGUGGUUUUACAUAGUUUUUUCUUUCUUUUGUUAUAACGAUUUAAUUUAUGACUUAUUUAUAGCAGGGUUUUUUUCCUGUGUGUAGAUCCACCCUUGGUCUUUCAGUUCUAGCUGUUUCUCUGAAUCUCAGGAUACUAUGAGAGCUAAUUAGCUGCUUCCAUUUCCAUUACAUAGAAUGGUAUGUGAUAGUGGUAAAGGGUUGUAUAUGGUGGGAAGUAACUGACAAAUGGAAGAGGCAGAGAGUGGGGAGAUCACUAGAGCACCCAGCUCCUGCUUGCAGGCUCCCAUAGGCAUCCAAUUAGCCUAACUGAGCAGGGCUCUUCUCGUGUGCUGACUGCCCCACACUUCUGUCUCUCCACAACAUGUGGUAUCCAGAAUUUAUGCUUCUUAAAACUGAGGCUUUAUCUGCAUAACAUUCCUAAUAGCUUUUCUUCAUGAAUUUGGCUAUCGUUUCUUAAAAUUAGCCUGAGCUAGUGUGUAGCAUUCGUGCGCACUCCCCCACCUGCCUUCCAAGUCCGGUAAGACCCGGCUGAGAGAGAGAGGGGUGCGCAGAAGAUUUUUUUUAAGAACAGAAAACAGAAACAGUAGUUGCUGCCACCACCUCCUUAUCUUAGAACAGCCCAGAAGAGUAACCUAAGGAAGAGGAUUACUCUUCAGCGUUACCUGGCUGCCCCACCCUGUGACACUUUACCGUGACACAGACAGAAAUUCAACCGGUCUGGUAGGCGACUAAGUGGUCAGGUGCUGGACUAGCAUCCCCGACAGAAGGCACAAAAGACAGAAACAGGAAAAAGUUCUUUUUCUGGCAUUUAUUAAAACACAAGAUUAUUUAAGCAUAAAAGUUGGCACAUCUCUUACAAGUUUCAAACAGAAAAUAAAAACAUUGUAUAGUAUCUCUGACUACAAAACAUACUCACCACGAGAACAAAAGAAGACUUAGAGUAGUUGGGCUGAUUCUGCACCUCUGGGCAGGCCCUCUUUACAUAACAAAGAUCUCGCAUAGUGAUGUAGAAUAGGUGAGGCAGGCUGCUGCGAAUUUCAAAUUGGUUCUCUAACGUUUUUAUCCCCUGGGAACCCAUGUGUAGCCCAACUCAAAGACCAAUCAGUUCUUUUGAUUAAUUAAGAAUCGCCAAUGGUUACGCAGAAGGGCAAUAACUCAGCUUGUUAGAGGCAUUGGCAUCUGAAUCCUAUUUAUCCCAAGACCUUGAAGAUGAAAAGGCAUCCUCCCUUUCCCCAGACACACACCAGGUCCCCCUUCUUCUUGUAAUAAGGCUUGGUGACCCUGUUCACACAGAAACGGUAUCUUAGAUAGCCAGGUGUCAGGACUACAAAUCAACUAUGGGCCUCCUUCCUGCAGAUGGAGGAGAUAACUUAUUCACACUUUCAGAGACAAUAAGUCUGCCCUUAAAGAAGCAGAUGCCCAUUCCCCAGAAUUCUCUAGUGUUUGGUUCUCCCACAAUGCCCUUCCUUGGCUUGAACCAAAGUUUUCCUUGCGAGGUUUCCUAACAUCACUACAUAGUGGUCAUCACCAUAUAUUGUGGCAGUGAAUUCCACAAAUUAAUACUAUUUGUGGUAUGAAUAGGUCCUUUCUUUUCCACUGCCAGUUAGUUUCCUGUGGUGAGCCAGGCCCAUGAAUUGAGAGAAGGACUCUACCAAUUCCUUUCCUUUCUUAUUUCUGCUUCCGCCCUUUGGGACAGGAUCCAGUCUUGGCCAAAGCACUGAACCCCAGGGUUAACCUUUAAUUAAUGAACAAACAAAACAAGGUGCUAGAAGAACGAACACCUCUUAAUUAAGUCAUUGGCAAAGAAAGCUGUUGAAAAAUAAAGGUGUUCUUAUUGCAGAACCAAAAUGGAAAAGAUUGCAUGACGGGACGGCACCCGUUUAGAGUCAGCCCUUGGCAUAAGGUUGCUGAUGGACCUCCCAGUGCUGUUCUCUUCUCAGUGCUGCUGCCAGUUGAUUGUGUCAGGAAGGCUUAGUAAUUAAUAAUUAGCAUUAGUAAUUUUGAAAUCAAUGUAACUCUUUAUUUUCGUAACAUUUGUUAUUGCUUAAGUCGCCUGUUGCUGCUGUGAAGAAAAUGCCUUUGAAACCCAAACCUUUAGGACCCUAGGCCUGUAAUAAAAUAUGGAAAUAACUCAUUCAGGCUGUCUUACCCAAAUGCAGAGAUAGAAUGAUGGAAAGUUUUGCUAUUGAUUUAGAUGCUUGGGGGGGGGGGGAGGUGACGACACACCUUUUUGAUUAAUUUACCAAAGUUUGCUAGCUUCUGUUUGUUAUUAUUGACUUGUUCUGUCAGCUUGACCUGUACAAAAAUAUGAACCUUGUGCUAGGUGUGUGGUUAAAAUUGGCAGAGGCUGACAUAGAGCAAAGGUUAAAAAGUUAUAUAGCAAAAGAUUCCUGCAUUGCAGAGGUUUGGAGUAGAUGACCACAUAGUCCCUUAUUUUGGUUAAUUAUUUGCUAGUUGCAGAAAUGCAACUUGACAAUUUCCUUGUUCGGGGCAGUACCUUUGGGUUUUCUCCCAAGGUGUUUCCUGCUGCACAGCAUAAAUGAAGAAGGGUGCCUCUUUUGGUGGCGCAGUGGUCUAAACCACUGAGCCUCUUGGGCUUGCCGAUCAGAAGGUCAGUGGUACGAAUUCCCGCGAUGGGGUGAGCUCCCGGGGUUGCUCGGUCUGAGCUCCUCCCCACCUAGCAGUUCAAAAGCACGCCAAAAAGUGCAAGUAAAUAAAUAGGUACCACUUUGGUGGGAAGGUAAAUGGCGUUUCCGUACGCUGCUCUGGCUUCGCCAGAAGCGGCUUAGUCAUGCUGGCCACAUGACCCAGAAAAACUGUCUGCAGACAAACGCCGGCUCCCUCAGCCUGUAAAGAAAGAUGAACGCCACAACCCCAGAGUUGUCUGCGACUGGACCUAACUGUCAGGGGUCCUUUACCUUUACAUUUACUUUGAAUAUUCAUUGGUUGUGUUUUUAUUUAAAAAACUCCCUACCUGGAGAAAAACAGGUGAAGGGGACUGGCACUAUCUUGGCACUGCUUUAGUUUUCUAUAUACUAAUUAGAUAUAUUUUUACAUACUUUUUAAUAUACAGUGGUCCCUCGCAAGACGAAUGCCUCGCAAGACAGAAAACUCACAAAACGAAAGGGUUUUUCGUUUUUUGAGUUGCUUCACAAGACGAUUUUCCCUAUGGGCUUGCUUCGCAAGACGGAAACGUCUUGCAAGUUUGUUUCCUGUUGCUUAAAUCCGUUAAUACAGUUGCGACUUGACUUCGAGGAGCAACUCAUAGCACGCGGUGUGGUAGCCUUUUUUGAGGUUUUUGAAGACUUUGGUGAUUUUUGAAGCUUUUCCAAAACUUUUCCAACACCGUGCUUCGCAAGAUGAAAAAAACCGCAAGACGAAAAAACUGGCGGAACGAAUUAAUUUCGUCUUGCGAGGCACCACUGUACGAACUAGUGUAGAAAUGAAGUACAAAAGUAAGUAAGAAUAAACUUGUCCCUGCUACAUGUGCAUGCCCUGGAAGCUGUUUGGGUAUUCUGGGCACUGAUAAAGUCGUUGACUGGGUGCCUAAGGAAUAUCAAGCCAUGGGGUUAUCAGUACAGGAAGUGCUGUCAUGAGUUCCUCUAAGCAAUAAAGCUGUGCAGACAAAACUUGCUAGGUUAGAACUGGCAGCUUUAUGGGAUCAGUCAAAACACUAUCAGUUCCUUAUAUCAUCUAACCACUAUUGAGCUGUUAGCUGCAAUACCACCUGCUGGUGAUCUGCAGAAAAGGGCAAUCAAAACCAAGAGGUUUGGAAUGCUUUUCCUGAAAGGAAAGGCUAAAGCAUUUGGAGUUUUUCUUUUUUUCAUUUAGAAAAUGCAGGGAGGAAUUUACUGUGGGGAUGGGCAUGAUAAAGCUUUAUAAAAGUUAUUUAUUUCAUAAGAUAUAUAUGCCGCUUGAUUGUAAUUGAACCUCAAAGCUAUUUAUGAAAAGAAUGUAUCGGGUGUUGUUGUUUUUUUAAAAAAACCCUAUUUAAAAUAGUCCAAAAUUAUUAAAAUCAGCGGUAAGCUAAAAACUAGCUUAAAAAAACGCAUCAACCUUCUUCAUGUCUGGACAGGCUUGCCUGAACAGAAACAUUUUUAUGACACACUGAAAAGAGUAUAUGGAAUACUCCUGCCUGAUGCCAAGGGCAGAGAGUUCCGAAGGGUGGGGGCUGAUACACUAAAAGAUCAAUUUCUUUCAGGUGAGAAACUGGUAUUGCGUGGCACCUGUAGGAGUGCCCGUUCCACAGAUUGAAGUGGUCAAGGGGGCACAUAAAGUGUAAUGCAAUCUGGCAAGUAGAAUGGUCCCAAGCUGCCAAGGGUUUUAUAUACCUUGAACUUGGCCCCGUAGCAAAUCAGUAACCAGUGUAGGUCUCUGAGCAGAAGUGUUAUCUGCUGAUAGGGUCUCACUCCCGUCAGUGAUGGUGCCACAGCAUUCUGCACUAACUGCAGCUUCUGGAUCAGGCACAAAGGAAGCCCCACAUGGAGCACAUUCCAAUAAUCCAGUCCUGAAAUAACUCAAUGCAUGAACUACUGUGGCCAAGCUUUCCUGGUCCAGGAAUGGUCGUAGCUAUCAAAGUUGCAACUGGUAAACGUCUCUUCUAGCCACUGAAGCUACCUGGAUAUAAUGAUCUCAGACAGGCAAGCAAACCUCGAUACGAAUCAAUGACUCUCUGGCAGUUUGAUGGUACGUUUAUUUAUAAAUUACAUCCAGGGCUCCCAGCCUGCCACUCUUUGAAAUGAGGUCACUCUUGAGUCUUUGCCCCUCUCGCAGCAUGAAGGGCGCCAAAUUCCAGUCCUUCCUCUCUUGUACUUGUUGCAUUUUAACCCUUUCAACUCUGGGUUCAGGAAGAAGGAGGGUGGAAUUCCCCCCCCCCGCAAAGAAGAACUCUCAGCACGCUGUUUCUCUGCUGGUUACCGUAUUUUUUGCACCAUAGCACUCACUUUUUUCCUCCUAAAAAGUAAGGGGAAAUGUCUGUGUGUGUUAUGGAGCGAAUGCCUACGGAUGGCGGGGGGAUCUGCUGCAGUCGUGAGCAGAGGAUCCAUGGUUCCCCUUCCUUCCCUCCUCUGUGGCUCGCUUUGAAACAGCAAAGCGGGAGAAGAGCCGCUGAGUGGGGAGGAUAGAGGGACAUAGAGCCUGCUUGCUCUCAUUGCCGCUAUCUCUCCCCCUCCCCCUUUUGUGAGCUCUAGCUGAUUCAGGGAACUCUUGGUGAAGCGGGGCUGAGCCCCCCGCCUCCUGCUCUUUCUGCGAUCUUUCGUCUCUAGAAUCGGACUCUGUCUCUCUUUGUACUGGCAAUCCCUCUUCUCCUGAAUCUGACUCUUGCCAGGCGUUCGAUUCAGCCACGUCCCUUAUACCGGCCUUCAAAGGACAAAGCUGAAUCCAAAAGCAGCCCCAGACUAUGAACCAGCUCAGAAGGAAUGGAACUCUGUCUUAGGCAGACCAUUGACCAAUGCAGGAGUCAAGCUUAGUUUGAAUUGUCCUUGGAGUAGGAAAAAAAUGGACAGGGAGACACCCUUUUCUCCCCUCCUCAGUAAAAUCAAUUGACAAGAGAUUCCACAAGAUAUGCUAAUAGCCACAGAUUUUGACAUACCCAAACUCACCAUGAUUAGUCACGAGAGCUAUAUGAAAUCUCCAGAUCCAGAGACAGUCCGCCUCUGAAUACUAGCUGUUGGGAAGCAACAAUGGGAGAGGACUGUGAACUUAAUACAUGUCUUGCUUGUGGAGCUCCUGAAAGCAUCUGAUUGGCCACUGUGGAAACAAGGAUGCUCAACUAAAUAGACAUUUGGUCUGCUCCGGCUGGGCUCUGUUUUUAUUUCUAUGCAGCAGAGGGCUUGAGCACAGCAGAGAAGAGGUCAGUUCUUGGAAUCAAAUACAGGGGCUCAGAUUGUAAAGCAUAUGAGUCAUCUUCCAAGCUGGGACUGCUUGAACAAUUCUAUGACAUUUCAUUGGCAGCAGUGUAACAAUAAAGUCACACCAAUUAUACUGACAAGAUGGGACACUGUCGCAGAUUCUGCCCUUGCAAAUUUUCUGUGUUUUGGGGAAAGAGCAGAGUAAAUGAAGCAAGAAGAAAACUCACAUAACAAACACAACGCCUUUAUGAACCCAAAGAUGCCAGGUAUGGCAGAAGCUCUUUGAAGGCAGCAAUCAGCGAGUUGGGAACAAUAUUGUUGUGGGGUUUUUUGUCUGCCAGCCGACUGAAUAGGUCUAGCUUGAUCAGAGUCUAGGAUUUAACAAAAGAAUGUUCAAUGUUUCUUAAUGACACAUAAUGGGCAGUUGAUGUCUCUUGGUAGUGGGCAAGCUCACUGAGUGUUUUGAAUGGGAAAGCUAUCACAGCAUGGAACUGUAAGACAGACCCAGCAAAGGGGAGAGGAGCUGUUAUGUGUGGGCAGCCUACCUGGAACAAAAGGAGCAGUUUUAGAACAAAGACAGGAAGAGUCAGAAGCACAAAGAAAGCUGAGAGUUAGAAGCAUUUUGGACUGCCCAUCUCAGGAUAUCUGAUAUGACACAGCACAUUAGAAGCUUGGCAGGAGUGCACACAGUAAGCCCACAACUUACAUACAUUUAAGGUGUGUGCAUUUAGCUUUAGGUGCUUGGCAAAGCAAUAUUUUUUUUAAUUGUGUGUGGAAAAUGUGGACAACUGGGGGGGGAAACUUUGGCAAUCCCACCUGCCAUUGCACCCAGUGUGUUUUGACUAUAUGCAAUUUUGGCUUUAGGCACGAUCUCCAUAACGUUGUGGGCUGAGUGUAUACAUUUGCCUCCUCUUAGUGUCUAUACAUAUAUUUGUGAAUAAAAUAAAUAUUAAAAUGUCAUAGGAGUCCAAUGCUCUCUCCUCCAAAGGAGACCAAACCUUUGGCAGUGCUACCCCAGGAAUGACCAAUGGUUGUCUUUCCCAAACUGGGUUGUUGACUCUCAUUUAAUACAUUCAGGUGAUGGAAACGGAUAACCCAUGGGUAGGCAAACUAAGGCUGGGGGCCGGAUCCGGCCCAAUCGCCUUCUAAAUCCAGGAAUCAGCGUGUUUUUACAAUAGUAGAAUGUGUGCUUUUAUUUAAAAUGCAUCUCUGGGUUAUUUGUGGGCCAUAGGAAAUUGUUCUCGCCCCCUCAAUAUUGUCCAGCCCCCCACAAGGUCUGAGGGACAGUGGACCGGCCUCCUGCUGAAAAAGUUUGCUGAUCCCUGAUACCCAAGAAACUCAUCUGAAGGAGGCAGUGACAAGGAUGUUGGGCAUCGGAAAUUUGUUUUGGGUAAUCAUUUGUGGAUUAGAGUUCAGAAACCACUACUUCAGAUGCAAAGUAGAGUAAUACACCUGGAUCUUGUGAAUAUGUAGAUUGACAAAAGGACACUCAUAUACAAGGGGUUGCUGGAGAGGGCAGUGGGGUCGGACAUGAAUGAAGCAGGGCAGGACCAAUUUGGGGAGGGGAGUCCUCAAAGUAUUAUCAUGUGUGUAUGUUUGUAAAAUCUGAGUUUUUACACAGCAAUGUCUGUGUUGACUAUGUGUGGCUCUUGAGAGAGGCAAGUUAAAUUGGUUAAUAGUGAGUGUGGGCAUGGGUAAAUAACUACUGACAAAGUACACUUCUCAAGAUGAUUUCAAAUUUUCUGUUUGUUACCAAUUUCCUGGGCAACAACACGAGAAUUGACCUUUAGCUGUCCCACAGGAGUUCACCCAUUAUGCAAAUACAUCAAAAUACUUCCAGUUUUCUGAGAUUCUUCCUCCCCCCCCCAAAAAAAAAUCCAAUUAGGUUUCUCGUUUACAGUUAUUAAACUACUAUCCUUGGUAAGCCACCAAGGAGCUUGUAGUCAGUAAAUUAAGUAGAUUUAGAUGGUGCGUAUCGAAAUGUAACACUUUCCUUAAAUUUGCACAAUUAAGCACAAUCCAACGAAGCAGAGUUUUAUUGGCGAUUCAGUUUAAUUCAAAGGGGAAGAUGUAGCCUGAAUCCAAACUGAACUUAGGAUAGCUCUGGAUGCUGCCUUGCAAUAAAUAGCAGGGUUGCAGCACCAGCUUUUGUGAGAAUUCUCUCUGCUCUGCUCCCCUCCCCUUCUUCCUGCUCUCCUGCCAUAAUUGUGCAAAAUUCCUCCUUGCUGUGAGGUCUCUAACAUCAUCUCUCUGUGUGAUGAGUUCAGUGGACAAAUUUGUAUUUUGCAAGACACCUGAACAACUGCAAACUUUAGAAUACCAGCUAUUAUCAUACCUUCUUUAAAAUAAAAUAAACCCCAAAGGCCAAGUAUUUGGAUAAAACCUGGAAAAUUAAAUAGGGGUGGAUGGAUUUGACUCUUUCAAGUCAUUUGGGAAAGAUUAGUACAUGUAAUAAUUUGUACAUGUAAUCCCAUCCCGUUUUCUCAUUCCCCUAUGAAUUUAAAAUAUAUAUUUCAUAAAACCAAAAUGUAUUGAAACAUAUAUUAUUUCUUAGAAUAUGCAUUGACGGCGUGAGCUCCCAUUGCUUAGCCCCUACUCCUGCCAACCUAGCAGUUCAAAAGCACAUCAAAGUGCAAGUAGAUAAAUAGGUACCGCUCUGGCGGGAAGGUAAACGACGUUUCUGUGCACUGCUGUGGUUCGCCAGAAGCGGCUUAGUCAUGCUGGCCACAUGACCCGGAAAAACUGUCUAUGGACAAAUGCCAGCUCCCUCAGCCAGUAAAGCAAGAUGAACACCGCAGCCCCAGAGUCGUUCAUGAUUGGACUUAACAGUCAGGGGUCCCUUUACCUAUAUCUAUAUAUCUGUGUGUGUGUGUGUGUGUGUGUGUGUGUGUGUGUAAUCUUAAAUGUGUAUUUUGACAUAUGUGAAAUUCAGUCCUGUACAUAGCUACUCAGAAGCAAGCCUCACUGAGUUCAGUGAGUAUAGGAUUGCAGCAGGGAUGCCAUCUGCCUCCAAUUUUCAAGAAAGGGGCCAGGCACCCUCAAUAUGCCGCAAUGCGCCUUGGUGAGCAUUCCUGCCACCCCAGAGGACCUUGUGGGGACUACCCGUAACUGCAGCAGGCUCUGUCAGACCUUCCUGUGGCAACAGGAGGCCCCGCCAGGCCUCCUCCUACCGCAUUAUGUCACACAAAAAAAGGUUGGGCAGAGCCCGUUGUGUGUGGAUUGUAGCCUUUAACUGCCACAAACUGCUUUGCAACACUUGGCAUAGGGCAAAAUCCAGUGGCAAGCUGAGUUCCAUGCGUUAGUUCAAAAGGUGUGGAUGAGGUAAUUUCAUAGAAGAAUUUACAAAAACUGAAUCAGGAAUCAGUAGAAAACUUGCAUGCUCAGGAAGGGAUUAUUUCAUUCCCAGCCAUUAUGCAUUAGAGAAGUAAAAUCCCACAAUGUAUUUUAUGCAGUUAAACCAAAGCCAAAUUUUAUUCCAUGUCAUCAUGAAACCCAGUUGCUCGUGUUGAUCUAAUAUUCAUGUUAGAAUUUCAUUCUUCUUGGUCAAAGGAACAGAAUUAUUAAUUUAAAGAAAAGUGGCCCCGCUAUAUGCCCAGUGAUAGAAUAAAUGAAACCAAUGGGAGCAAAUGCUUCAGCUAUGGCUAGAAUUUCCAGCUCUGUUGUUGCUGUUAUUAUGAUGUCAUCACAAACCUUUGAUGUAUGUGUCUGGCUGUGCAGACUACUAUCUCUGAUGACUACAUUGCCUGAGAGCUUUCAGCCCCUUGAUGUACUUGUCUAGCCUUAGAGCCUAGCUCAAAGUGUGCAUGAUGGAUGAGAUUUUCAGCCAAAGCUUUUGAACAGGCAAAGUUCCUUGCUGGGCUCUCAACACAGCUUGAAGGUCUGUAUAGACAAACACAUAAACCCACACAUGUUUGAGUACUAGGGCUACAACAGCUCAGGAAUCAGCUGUUGUGCGGCCAGCUUCUGCUAGUGCAACUGUUGUGUUUGAUGCUUUUGUCACACAGACUUUAAACUCUGCUGUCUGCUGGUGCAAAGGCUCUUGUGCUAGGAGACAGAGCAUUGGGCGUGGCCAUUUGCAUUUAGACUUGGAGCAUCAACACAAUGGCUGACCUCUCUUGCUUAUUUGGUGCGUUUCCAGCUCACCGUUCUUCCAUCAUACAACUCAAGCCAGCAUACAUGAGAUUUCUAGGAACUCUCCACAAUGAGGCAUUUGGACUGUGCUCCCUGCCACAUUCUCAUCGCCCUUUAAAAGAAAAAUCUCCCACUGUUUUCUUCCUUAAAAAGAUAUAGGGGGACUGCAGUGGUAAUGUUUAUACGUGUGCCUACAUUCUUUCACUAUUUGUGAAAGAAAAUAGUGGUGACCCAUUUCCUGCAGUCGACUAUCUGUAGUUUAUAAGGUCAAAGUCUUGUUUGUUAUAAUUUUCAGUCUAAGAUUAUAUUAUGAAUAUGUCAGUACUGUAUAUUAUAAAUGUAUUAAGAGCCCACUUGAGUCAUGAAGCCACGAGAAGCCUACAGAUUUAUGGUUUUAUAAUAUUUGUAUGUAGAGCCUUAUGCAUUGUUUGGUCAGCUACAGCGCAGCUGGAAAGGAGAUCUUUAAUAGCAGUUAGUAAUAUAUCUUUGGAAGGAAAUAGUAUUUGAUUCAGCCUUAGUAACAAAAGAUUCCUUCGCAUAUAACAAAUCUUAGAACAAAAAAAAGUGAUGAGGUUGUAGGAUCACUAUCUGAAGGGGGUGGGAAAAGAAUAGCUAAAAUAAUUAUGUACUAAUUAGAAGCAAUUCAGUCUUGAAGUUUUCAACACUGCUUGUUUUUUGGAGGUGAUUUCUAUCCUAAAGACUAAACGUAUUUUCAAUAAAUGGUUUGAAUCAAUCCAAGCUCUUUCAAUCCCCUCAACAGCUCAGGUAAUCGUUAAAGUCGAAAUUCUCAGCCUGUCUCCAUAGGGCUCUGGUUUCCAGAGGCUUCCCCACUCCAAGUACAUUACACGUGAUGGUUUCAAGCAUCAAUGACCCCAAAUUUAGUUGUUGGGGUCCAUAGGAGCCAACUUUCUUAGCCCCCCCCAAAAUUGAGCGGCCCCCCAGUUAAUGGCCAUUGACAUUCAAAUGGUGUGUGUGUGUGUGUGUGCUGUGUCAUGUAAUUGGUUAUGUGCAGCAGGGCUUACAUGCCCCCCCCAAUAUUUCAUUCAAGUUGGCACCCCUGCCGGGGUCUUCCACCAAAAAGACCAGAUCAAAUCAGGUGAUCUCAUUUCCUUGGCUCCUUAGAAAGCUUUCUGGAUCAAACUUCAUCUCUGUUCUGAGCAAUCGGGCGACCUGUUUUUUGCCCUGUCUCAACCAUGUGUAUGGUGGCAUCUGCAGUAUAUAAAAAAAUACAAGACUAUUCAUAGCAUUUGCCCAGAAUGAACAUGCAGAAAUCUCCAGCCUAUAUUGCAGAUAUAGUUGUCUAUGUUAUCUUUUAUUGGGAUAACAGCUCAGAGCUAUUCCAAAGUCAUUAUUCUGGAUAUCAUUUGCCACCUCAUUUACUACAGAAAGAUCUCUCAUACAGAACUCCUACACGGAAGCAAAUAACACCGUCUACCCUCUCACCACUUUUACCUACAUGCUUGUCUGUGUCUCUGAGACUUAUUACUGCGUGACAUCACUUUAAGGAACCUUAAUCAACUUCCUUUUGUUAACAGAGCUUUCCCCUAAAAUUUCAAAUUGCUGCAUUCAUACUCUUGGUGGAGCUUUUGUUUUAUUUAUUGGACUUCUGCUUUACAUUAUGCAUAGGGUUUCUUUAUCUGCAUUUUAACCACAUAUAAGGCAUUGUCAGUGGAGUGAAAAUGAUCUAAUAAAUCUUAUCGCUACCACUCUCUUCUUCAUCGUUCUUAAAAAAAAGAAAAAGAAAAAAAGUGUCUCAGAAGGUGUCAGAAAUAUAAAACCAUUUGUUUCUGCAACCUCCCCAAACAUUUUUACAGCAAUGUCAAUGUUGGUUCAUGGCUCCCGCUUCCCUGUUUAAUAACGGAGAAGCAAAAGUUGAAAGUAGUGGAAAUCAGGCUAGCCAAAAGUAAAUCUGUGAUUGUAGAAAUGACUUGUCUACAUUUUAUCCAGUUAGCAAGUCAGGAGUAAAUAAUCUAAUCAAAAUUUGGUCAUCCUGAAAGUAACAUUACAGAAUCCUGUUUACAUUAAGCCAACAUUUCAGAAGCUUGCAGUGACAAAACUCUUGGUAUUUCUGUGCAUCAGAUGAUAAUGAGACAAAGGAAGACAGAAGAGCAAAUAUCUAUUUAUUAAUGUUUUUCAGGAAUCCAUGGAAAUUGUUUCUGUCCCUUAAAUCACUGGUUCUAAACAAGAAAAAGAAAUGUAUAGGUUUGUUCUGUGCAAGCAACUGUACAGUUUGGUCCAUUCCUCAUACGUGGUACCCUGUGGGCAGCACCCAAAAGUCAGCCUAGGUGCACCCAAUUGAAUAUAUAUUUAUUUAUUCAUUAUCGUAUUCAUUAGCAACCCACCCCUGUCUCAAAAUAGACUGGUGUACGAUAUUAACAUGCACAUCCUCCUACCAAAGUGGCUUGCUGAGUGGGGUGGAGCCACUUAUGGUACCUCUGUGGCAGGAGGGCCGCUGUAGCUUAACAGCAGGGCGAGAAGUGAGGUGGCAAGGAAGUUGGUGGAGGGCAAACACACCAGCGGAGCCAGUUAGGGGGUCCUGACAGUGUGUUUGCACCAUGCCAACUUCCCAGUUGCCUUGCCUCUUGCCACCAUGCCUGUCAGCAACAGCGACCCACCUGCCAGAAAGCUUCUGAGCUGCCUCUGUCAUGCUCUGACAGGCCUGCUCAUCAAACGGUCCAUGCACUGAGUACAUCAUUACAACAGGGUGGUAAGGAUGUAAUAUAUUUUGACACAACCUGACAGUAUCUCAUUUUGUAAGCUUUCAGAAUGGAGAGGAGUGCUUACCUGGUGAGAAAAGAAAAGUAGUCCAGCUGGCAGAGGGGAAAAUCUAAUUUUCCAAUGACUCUGAUGGAUAUUUGUCAUCAGUUAAAGGAAUUAUUCACUGCUGUGACCCUCCUUAACUUAAGCUUGACCCAAAGAAGAUCAAAGAUUCCCUAGCAAGAGAUAAUUAGUAAAGAUAUUAAUUUAACAGUCAGAGGCUAAAAGAGAUUGAUUUAUUAAUUUCUCUAAAGGGUUAGAGCUCUGUAUGUUCUUUUAAAACAUUUUUUCUCGCUUAAAGGAGAUAUGUUUAUGUCUAAAACAUUUUCCAGUAAUUUAUAUUGUAUGUGAAGCUUUCUCUAUUGAUUAGGGGGCUCUAAGGUUUUUUCAGUAGUGAGACUUUCAAGCUGUUGAUUCCUGCAUGGUUCAGGAUAACUCAAAUCUUUGUCAUUUGGUGUGUGUGUGUGUGUGUGUGUGUGUGUGUAAGUGAUACCCUGUUUUAUUUUUUGAGAUUGACACCUGUUGAAGAAAUGCUGCCAGAAUAUGAAGGGACAGCAAGCUCCUUUCCUUCCACAUCUCCAUAGAACAGCUUAUAAGGCAGGAAUGGGGGAAAUGCAGAUGUUGCUGGACUUUUACAGAUCCAUUAUCUUUGACCAUGCUGAUGGGGGUUAGAGUCCACCAACAUCUGGAGGGCCACAAGCUCCCCAUCCCUGAUACAAAGGAUUCUGUUCCUCAUUCUUCUUUAUCCCCCACAGCUCCGUUCCUUGUGAUGGCUCUACAAACAUUUUGAAGAACAUUAUGAGGGAAGUGAGGAUCUGACAGUAAGAGCUGUUCGACAGUGGAAUUUGCUGCCAAGGAGUGUGGUGGAGUCUCCUUCUUUGGAGGUCUUUAAGCAGAGGCGUGACAACCAUAUGUCAGGAGUGCUCUGAUGGUGUUUCCUGCUUGGCAGGGGGUUGGACUCGAUGGCCCUUGUGGUCUCUUCCAACUCUAUGAUUCUAUGAUUCUUUAAUGACAUGGUCACUUCCCAGCAACAAAACCCGGAAGCAGAACUCUGAAAAGUGACUCCACAAGAGAUACAGAUGGCAGAGCCAGCUCCUGAGACCAAGGGGAUAGGUAGCACAGACACACCCUUGGGCAAAUCACUUGAGAGGUGAGUACUGAUAGCCUGUGAAGAUAUGCUUUGCCAAGUACAGUUGUGCCUUAGAUCCCAAAUGCCUCGGUACUUGGACGUUUUGGCUCACAAACGCCACAAACCUGGAAGUGAGUGUUCUUGUUUGUGAACAUUCUUUGGAAGGCGAAUGUCUGAUGGGGCUUCUGCAGCCAAUCAGAGGCUGUGCUUUGGUUUCCAAAUGUUUUGGAAGUCAAACGGACUUCUGGAACGGAUUCCGUUCGACUUUCAAGGUACGACUGUAUACCUAAAGCUUGGGAUAUUUAUGAUAGCCAUUGGGCUGGGGUAGUGUAGUGGACUAGUGAAGGGGAGACCUGGUUCUAAUCCCUGAUCCGCCAUGAAGCUCAUCGGGUGAUUGUGAACAAACGUCAGGGCUGGAAUCAGAUGCAGGUCAGCACGAAGAGUCAGAGUCAGUUGUCAAUGAAGUCAACUCUUUAUUCAAGGUAAUGGCAUGCAACUCAGCAACACUUCUCAGUAGGUUUUGCCCCCAUAGAUCAGUUGCCAGGACAGAAGCUCCCUGCCUUCUCCUCUUUCUAAGACUCAUUCUCUCCCAGAUGUUUCCCAAGCAGCCUCAAACUGCUCUGGUCUGUUUUGCUCUACAUAGUCUUGGAGACCAGGUGGGUAGGAGAGCUUGUUGCAGCUGGAGAAGAAGACUCCCAGGAUGCUUCAGCAGUCUCUUGACCACCACCCCUCCUCUGCUUCAGCCACAGAGUCUGAACUGUUCCCUGUCACAGCUUCGCCCUGCUCACGAAACCUUGUUGGCCCUUCAGCAUCCAGCCCCUCCUCCUAAUCUUCCUCUGACCUCUCCUUGGUGUUCCACCACAAACGCUCUGGCUCUGAGCCUUCCUCCUCUGGGGUUUUCCCUGGGAGUUCCUCAGCUGGUGCCUCCCACCACUCCUGUUCAGCCAGUCCCUGACAAGAAGUCACUCAUACUUAGCAUGUUUCUUCACAGAGGUGUCAUGAGGAUAAAAUGGAGGGUGUGGCAGGACAGUGGGUGGGGAGCAUGAGCACUGCCUUGAGCUCCUUGGAGGAACAAUGGGAUAUAUAUGAGGGAGGUGUUUUAAGGAGUAAAAGAACCAACUUGAAAUAUGAGUCUCUAUUUCAGUAUAGAAUGCUGCCAGCUGCCCACUGUCUUGACUGUAUUAAAUUUCACAAAACUGGCUUUGGGACACUCUAUAACAGGCUGACAUGGGGUGGAUUUUUUGAUACAUGUUUGUGCAUUUAGCAGAUAUAAAAUGGAGUUGCAGUUCACAAUGGAAAAAGUUAUUUUUAAUUAUGCAUGAGCAUGAAUAUGUAUUUAGUGAAACAGACCCUAAGGGUUUUUCGUUGGGCUUUUUUUUUUUAACUCUAGUCACUCUUGCAAAAUUAUUCUCAUUUAGGGUACAAGUUACAUUAUAGCAGAAAUCAUGAUUGAAAUUCAAAUCCUAAUACUGUUAAAACACAAUGUUAACAACGAAAAUGCUUAGAGUGGCAUUAAAAGCAUCUAAGAUAAUGAGAAUAAAUGAUGUGAAUUAGAGUUAAAUUAACAACAGAUAAUACAAUUGCAGAUCAAAAGCCAGAUUGCUGUGUUAUUAAUCUUACAGUAGAAAAGCUAGAAUGAGGGGCUUUUCUCCUCUUUAAGUUCUCUUUUGAGAAGCAUAGCUUUAUAGAAGUUCUCACUUUGGGAACAUUAGCAUACUCAUAACAGGAACAUUCUAAAUAUUCAUUCGGUGUGUUCAUUUCUAAUAAAUCUAACUGAUAACCAGGGGAAAAAAUGUAUAACAUGUUAUGUUUAUUCCAGAAGUCCCUGUAAUACAGCAAAGUACAAUCAGGAGGAGAAAUUAUUGGGUCUCAUAGUUAGUAAAACAUGGCAUUUUAUGGUUCAUUCUAGAAAGAUACAAAUUAUGAGUCCUAUUACAUUGUGGUUCAUACAGUAUAAUUUCGCAAAUAUAUAUCGAGCUGUUUAUUUGAAAGAAGUGGCGUUGCCUUUUCAGCAAAAGUAGCAGGUGUUUCAGUAAUGAUGUAUUUUGGAUGUUAUUGGUUCUUCCUUCAGAGCCCUCUUAUCAUGCAGAGUAAUUUGGCAAGGAUGUUCAGUCAGGUUUCAUUUCAAGAAAAGCUUUAAGCAUGGGUUUAGUUUGCAACCAGUUCAAGACAGUGCUUAAGCACACUUUGGAUUUCAUAUCUUCCAACAAUUCCCAAAUGGAAAAGCAGGGGGCACUCUCCUUGCAUACAGUGCUGGAUUUAGGUUCAGGUGGUUCCCCAGCAUAGGGGGCCAAGUUGAGGGGGGCAAAAUUGAAAAGAGCCGUCACUGAGAAGAUUCAUUUGGGGACACCAAACUUUGGCCGUGCUCAAGGUGCAAUACUACAAAAGAUUAUCAAAGUCCGGUGGCACAUUGGGACUUGCAGGAAGAGGAGGGCAAGGGGCAUCAGCUGCUGCUGCUGAGCUCAUCGGCUCUGUUGCUGGCAUGGAAGUGCCGCCUUGUAAACACCCGGAGCGGGUGCUUUCUCUGAGACCCAAGGCAGGCUGAUGGAAGCCUCAUGGUUAGGGUAGCUCAGCCAGCCCCGUCUUUUUUCCAUAUUCCAUCGACAGUGCAUGUAUAUGGGGCGCAGGGGUGUGUGUAUAAACUGAUGUAGAAUAGAAGGUCCCUAUUUUCAUCUGAGGAAUAUUGGAGGAAUAUGCCAUAGCUGGAACAGAAAGCAGGUGCUACAUGUAGAAUUCUCCAUCUCUAAUCCAACCUAAGCAUGUCCAGCUUUUGUUAAAAUGCUAAAACCUGAAUAACAGCGAUUGGUGUCUAAGCAGGGUGGGAGGCUAACAAGGAAGGUUCCUCUUUACCUGCUGAUAGAUGCUGAUAGGCAUCUAGCUUUUCCAAAGGGGCCUGCACUCAUAUGAACCUUCCUGGGACUGAGGAUUCUGCUUGCCGGCCCACUGUCAAGGUCCAUGAGAUUGGUGGGCACUAGAGACAGGUGCUUUUCCUUUAUCUCUGGGAUUCUCUCUCAAAGGAAGUACAUACGCCCCCAGUUUUGUUAACUUUAAUUGGACCUUGGAAACUUGUUUCAAUCUGUAUUUUACGAGGAGUGCUGUGCUAAGCUCUUAAACUGCAGCCAUUUUUAGUUUUGUGAUUGGAUUGCUUUGUGUGUAUUGUAAAAAAAUGUGUCCGGAGGAGGGCAAUCAGGUUCGGAAGCAACAUCCUAUGGGAAAUGCUUGAAAGAGUCAGGUACGCUUAGCUUGGGGAAUAGAAGAUUAAGGGGAGGCAUGAUUGCCGUCUUCAAAUAUGAUGGCCUUUCGCAUAGAAGAUAAAAUAUGUUUCUGAAUGCCAGUUGCUGGAAACAGGCCAUUGGCUUGACCCAGGAGACUCUUCUGAGUAGACAUCUCUGUUGCUCCAGCAAGCAGGACUAGAACUAGGUGCACAGGAAGAAGCUGCCUUAUACUGAAUCAGACCCAGUGGUCGCUCUAGCUCAGUAUUGUCUACAUUGAUGGGCAGUGGCUAUCCAGCAUUUCUGGCAGGACAUCUCUCCCAGCCCUACCUGGAGAUGCCGUGGGUUGAACCUGGGACCUUCUACAUUCAAGACAGAUGCUCUACCACUAAGCUGUGGUCCUUCCCCUCUGUAACUAAUGAAUGGAAGUUGCAGGAAGCAGAUUUCAUGUAACGUUCAUAGAAACUUCAUAACAGUAAGAACUAGCUGACAUUGGAACAGAUUGUCUUGGAAGGUGAUAAGAUCUCUCUCACUAGAGGUCUUCAAGCAGAGGCGGGACUGCCAUUUGUCAGGUCUUCUCUAGCUGCACCCCACAUUACAGAUCCUGCAAUUAGCGCACUGUGUUGGACUAGAAGACCACUAGAUGACUUUCCAGUUCUCAGAGUCUACAUUUGUAAGCCUCCUUGGGAGACCUUUGCCUUGAAUGGCAGCAUAGAAAUUCCUUAAAUAAAUACAUUUUUGUGCAAUGCAGUAAUCAGUCUACAGGGUAGACAUGACCAUAGACAGCAAGGUCUGUGUUGGGGAGAUAUAGUUUUCUACUUGAACAUGCAUCCAAUACAGCUCUCACUCACUCACUCCAAGUGAGUAACAAAUUAUAAUAAUUUUUAAAAGGCAAAUACGGCCUCUUAAGUUCCCUCCAUCUUCUCCUUUUAACUUACUAGCAUCUGUCGUUCUUGUUAUUAUUUUUACUAUGGGGUAGGUCUUCAUGUUUUACCAAGACUAAAUAAAAAUGAAGUACAGUAUCUUAACGUAUUGUGCAUGUCUUAAUACUGCAGUAUCUCCAACAUGCCUCCAUCAAAAUUGCAUGGUUGAAUAAUGCCUUUUAAUGGUUUAGUACAAGCGAAGUUUAUAAAUAUUCAUGUGUAAGCACCCUUAUUAGUAUGUGUUAGAUAAUGAAUAUUAAUGACUACCUUACUCAUGCAAAAGCAAGUGAACACUGUAUGAGAUGAGCAUGGAUAUUUUCAUUAGGACAAAGCAAGGAAGAGCAUAUCAGCCCAGCCUCUUGCAGGUGAUACUACUAUUGACAUUCUUCAUGCUGUAAUAUGUCAUGCUGUAAAUAAUAUUUAAUUGUUUUACUGCCAAUUAUCUCCCCCUGCCCAAAGAAAAAAUGUGAUCUGUUCAAGAUAUGAAUAUCUUUUUGUUUUAAGACUCCCAAUAGGCAGGAGUAUGAUUAAGCCAAAUAUUUGACAACAAUUAAACUAAACCAACGAACAUUUGCAUUAAUUUUAUGAACACAGUUUCAGUAUCACUAUAAUUUCAUAAUUUUAUUAGCAUGCAAUGCAUACCUAACUCGCAGGCUUAGUAUAUAAGAGGAACAAACUGAUACUAACCAUGUGUACUUAGAAGUAAACCCCACUAAUUUAGUGAGAUAUGCUUCCAAGUUAGUUUACUUAGGACUGUAGCCAGAAUUCCUAAAGGGACUCGAAAGUAUACAUCAAAAUAGAGCAUUAAAUAAGCAGUUAAUAAAUACAUUUUAAUAAUAAUAAUAAUUUGUACACUUAGCUGUACGGCUAGUUCACACAUGCUGGUUCACUUGAACAGCAGCAGUGGUAUGAUAGAAUCAUACAGAAUUGUAGACCUCAAAGGGCAUGUAGUCCAAUCUCCUGCAAUGCAGGAAUCACAACUAAAGCAUCCAUGACAGAUGGCCAUUGGGAUUUGAAUAUAUAUUGCAGAUAGGGCCUAAUUUACAUUCCCCAAACCAAUACACAAAUCAAAACAUAGAUAGCCUUUGAAAUUCACACUUCUCUGUCCAUUCCCCCGCUUUAAAAUGUAUAAAAAUAACACAAAAAUGCUUAGAAUUUCCAUGCAGAUCUGUGUCUAUAUCUAUACAUAGAGCAAACUGUUGAGGAAGAGGAGAAGCAAUAAUAAUAAUAAUAAUAAUAAUAAUAAUAAUAAUAAUAAUAAUUUAUUUAUACCCCGCCACUCUGGGCGGCUCCCAAUAGAAUGUUAAAAACAUGAUAAAACAUGAUAAAACAUCAAAAACUUCUCAAAAUCUUCAGAUGUUUUCUAAAAGUCAGGUACAGUGGUACCUUGGCUUAAGAACUUAAUUCCUUCUGGAGGUCCGUUCUAAAUCUGAAACUGUUCUUAACCUGAGGUACCACUUUAGCUAAUGGGGCUUCCCGCUGCCACCGCCGCAUGAUUUCUGUUCUCAUCCUGAAGUUCUUAACCUGAGGUACUACUUCCGGGUUAGCGGAGUCUGAAACCUGAAGCAUCUGUAACCUGAAGUGUCUGUAACCCGAGGUACCACUGUAGUUGUUUAUUUCCUUGACAUCUGAUGGGAGGGCAUUCCAUAGGGCAGGUGCCACUACCGAGAAGGCCCUCUGCCUGGUUCCCUGAUUCAUCCAUCAUCACCCUGAAUCUAUAGUUCAUUCAUUUGUAUCCUUUGUCCUCCUCUGAACCUCUAUGAAGACACACUGAAUCAUUCCAGGUCUCCUUCCUCUUUCCCUGCCUGUGUUUCCUGGGGCACCCACCCACCUUCCUUGGCUUUCCCUUCUGCCCCAAACAAUGCACCCAGCCCUCGUUGCAUUCCCUUUUUUCAUGGAAGGUGAUCAACGGGUUGUGAGGGAAACUUAGGCCACACUGUGGCAAGAAUGUGAGCAUUGAGCUGGAAGAAACUGGAGUUUAAGUUGCUGUUCCCUGCCCCUGCCAUUUUGAGUUUCCUACUCACAUAAGAGUCAAGUUUGCAUAUAAAUACCCUUUUCAGAGAUUGCUCACAUCAGCAGGAUUUUGCAUUUAUUGCAAUGUAUUUGUUGACUUGGUAGUGGUACUUUUCUUUUUUAAAACAUGACCUUCAGUCGAUCAGCUUUACAUUAUGGUGAAUAAAUAAUAUAGUACUUGUACUGUGAUUUCAAGUGUCCAGAGUGGUUAACAUAUAGUUCUUGUUGUAAUAGCUGCCUUGCGUAUCCUUUGAGAAAGACAUGGCAAGCAGGCCCAGCCCUAUGAUGAGGCAGAGUGAAGCUGCUGCUUCAGGUGGCAGAAGUUGAGGGGUGGGGACAGAGCUGUGAGUGCCCUGUGGCCUGCCCUGUGCCACUUUGCUAGCCUGCUGCCCUCAAGGGCAGUGGAAGAUAUUUUCCCAGUAUGGGCCCUGGAGAAGGGUGCCAUAUUGUCCUUCAUCUUGGGCAACAAAAUGUCUUGAGCCAGCCCUGACUAAUUAUAGCAAUGCUGUGAUGUAAGAGAGUGACAAAUAACCGACCCAGUGCGAUUCAAACUAUUGGCUUUCCCCCAUUCUUAAGUUUUCUUCUCACUUUUAUAGCAAAAAAGAGAACAAUUUUACUCUAAUAGUCAUCCCAUUUAAAAAUGGAGUCAAAUCCUAAGUAACCCCCCUCCCUUUGCGGGAACAAAAAUUGACACCAGGGCACUUAAGAGAGGCUAUGUCCCAAUCAAAAGGCAAUGAAGUGGGCGGAACCUAUAUAGAGCAAAUCUUAACUAGCAUGGCUGAGAACUUUUGCUAAAUGGGGCUCAUUCAUGAAUAAACUUUAUAGAAAGAUCUUGGCAAUGGCUAAGGUCGUGGCUGAGUACUGUCGUUUUAUAUCAAGUGCUUAUAUUAAGAAUUUCGGUGUUAAUUCUUCUUGCAGCAAAUUGCAGGAAAAAAAACAAUACUUCAGCAACACUUAAAGGAGAUCAACUAUAGAAACAAGAAGCUCCCCCACAUCAACAGCUUUUAGAGCUGGCUGUUGUGUCCUUGGGAGUUCACUGUUGGAGUUCAGUAACAACUAAGGAUUUGCAUGGGUAUAUAACUACAAAAGAAUGUUGCACUCUUUCUGUCUUUCCAUCUGUGCCACUGUAGAUAUGUACUCAAAAGAGAUUGAUCCAAACUGAAUUUGUGGUAGGCAAGAUGCUGGCAUACUUAUGUUGAUCUGACUAGAAACUUUCAAGGAAGUUCCCCCCGCUGCUAUCCUUUCCCUUCACUCCUCAUGGUGUAAACAGUACAUAAAGUAGCACUGGGGGGAAAACAAAUAUAUAUUUUGUCCCCUAACCAAAUAUUUGAGUUUGGUAGGGAAUUACAGCAUCACUAUUGAAGUUAGGACUCGGGUGGCACUGUGGGUUAAACCACAGAGCCUAGGGCUUGCCGAUCAGAAGGUCGUGGUUCGAAUCCCCACGACGGGGUGAGCUCCCGUUGCUCGGUCCCAGCUCCUGCCAACCUAGCAGUUUGAAAGCAUGUCAAAGUGCAAGUAAAUAAAUAGGUACUGCCCCAGCGGGAAGGUAAAUGGUGUUUCCGUACGCUGCUCUGGUUUCACAAGUAGCGGCUUAGUCAUGCUGGCCACAUGACCCGGAAGCUGUACGCCGGCUCCCUCGGCCAGUAAAGCAAGAUGAGUGCCACAAUCCCACAGUCGUCCGCGACUGGACCUAAUAGUCAGGGGUCCCAUUACCUUUUAUUGAAGUCGUUCCUUAGUUUAAAGAAGCAUCACCAUGAAAAAUAUGCAAAGUAAGACUGUAGACUUGGGAGUUAUAUUGGGGCCCCAGCUGUAAAGAAUCUAAAACCCUUUCCUGAACUUUUAAUUGUCAUUUAAAAAGGGUUGCCAUAUGUCCGCUUUUUCAUGGGUAGAGUCAUAAUAGCGAUCCAUUGUUAAAAGUAGUAGUCGGCAAAAGUGUCCUCUUUUUUGCUCUUCAAAAUAUUGUUGUUUAUCGUUUAGUCGUGUCUGACUCUUUGUGAACCAAUGGACCAGAGCAUGCCAGGCACUCCUAUCUUCCACUGCCUCCCGCAGUUUGGUCAAACUCACGCUGGUAGCUUCGAAAACACUGUCCAACCAUCUCGUCUUCUGUCGUCCCCUUCUCCUUGUGCCCUCCAUCUUCAAAGUCUUUUCCAGGGAGUCUUCUCUUCUUAUGAGGUAGCCAAAGUAUUGGAGCCUCAGCUUCAGGAUCAGGGCUGUCUUUAGCAGAUGCAGCGCUGGGGUGCAAAUAUCCACUCAGUGCCCCCAAAUUACCAUGGAUGGGGGGGGCAGAAGCUGCACAUUGCCAGCCAUGGUGUGUGUGUGUGCAACUCUCCCCCAUGCCGCUGAGGGAGAGCAAUCCCCGCAGAGGCUUGGGAGGGAAGCUGCGCGCCCACCAGCCCUAUAGUUAGCGGGGCGCAGCUUCCAUCCUAAGCCUCUGCGGGGAUCGCUCUCCUCCCACGGAGGCUUGGGAAGGAAGCUGCAUGCCCGCCAGCCAUAUGUUUGAUGGGGCGCAGUUGGCGGGCCUGCAGGGAAAGGGGAGGCCACCGGUAAAGCUGUGCAGCUCCCCCACUCGCUGGGGCGCCCUGAGAGUCCGGCACCCUGGCACAACGAACCACUAAGCCGUAUGGGAAAGACAGCUGUGUUCAGGAUCUGUGCUUCCAGUGAGCACUCAGGGCUGAUUUCCUUCAGAAUGGAGAGGUUUGAUCUUCUUGCAGUCCAUGGGACUCUCAAGAGUCUCCUCCAGCACCACAAUCAAAAGCAUCAAUUCUUCAGCGAUCAGCCUUCUUUAUGGUCCAGCUCUCAGUUUCAUACAUCACUACUAGAAAAACCAUAGCUUUAACUAUGCAAACCUUUGUCGGCAAGGUGAUGUCUCUGCUUUUUAAGAUGCUGUCUAGGUUUGUCAUCGCUUUUCUCCCAAGAAGCAGGUGUCUUUUAAUUUCAUGGCUGCUGUCACCAUCUGCAGUGAACAUGGAGCCCAAGAAAGUAAAAUCUCUCACUGCCUCCAUUUCUUCCCCUUCUAUUUGGCAGGAGGUGAUGGGACCAGUUGACUCAUGGGCUCAGUUGACUCAUUUUCUGUCCCUCUCCUGGCCCUACCUCAGGAACUGUGAUAGACUGUUUAAUUCAUCCCCUGGUGAAGCUCACAUGCACAGCACAAUAUGCUGAUGUCAUUUGCUGAAAUGUACACCCCUUUCAGCUCACUCACAGAGACUACUUGUGCUCCAAAGGAGAGGACAGGCUGUGCCAAUAGUUCCUAGCCCUGAUAAUUUCUACCGCACCCAAAAUGCCAACUCACUUCUGUGGACCUAUAUGCAGGCCAGAAAAGGGGGGUCGCAAUUUUGCUGAGUUUUACAAGGAGCAGGAGGAGUUCUACAUAUUUUUGAGAAAUGGCCACCACCUAGUUCCCUCAACAGGGCCUUAUUCAAAGCAUUAUGAAUAAUGGAGUGCAUUAUGGAGCAUUAUGGGAGACUACUCUGCUUCUAAAAGCAGGAUCACGUUGCAUUUACAAAGGGGAAAUGGCUCUUUUGGAUUCAGAUAGAAAAUAAAGAAUACCUUUGCUCUUUAACAAAUUAAUUCAUAGGAUGACGAUAGAGAGAAUAAAAGCAAGGCCCAAACUGACAAUUUUAUGCCCCUCUGCGUUGGCCGGAGAGCUCCCUUUGGGUAACAAUGUAUAAGGACUCCUGACAGACAAAGUGCGGCCCUAAUGUUGGCCAAAGGCUAAGUGGGCUUCCCAUUAAGCAGGUGUGCUAUGAGGGCUUAUAUAUCUUCAGUAAAGCACCUGCUGUUACUCAGGUUACACAAGCCACAUUUGGUGUUUAGGCAACACACCAGUUUCCCACCAAAGUCAAAACACCAUCCGGUAUUUGGGUUUCCCAUCCAUUUCCCACCAAUGUAGUUCACUUCUGCCGUUUGGAUUUUCCACCAAACAGUGAAAGGCUAACAGAGACUUGGCAGGAAAUCAACACAGAUAAGCUUCUGCCAAUCUCACACAUUGACACUUGCAGUAGGGAGUUAUCAGCUUGCCUAGGAAGCUAUCUAGAAUAUGUGUCUUGUGCGCAUAAGAUGUGUCUUGUGCGAUCUCCUUCCCCCUUUGUUUUGACUGAUCAGGGGAGGCUUGGGAGUCGUGGGCAGGAGGCCAUUGCCCAGGUUUUUUUUAACUCUGCGCAUUUAUGUUUCACAGGGUGCAAAAGAAGGGCUUUGCACCUUUAUACAAUAUGCAUGUGUGCUUGGGCCCAGGGUCUUUUGCCUCACCAUCCCCACACCCUGUUGCUACUCAGCUUCAAAAAAAAAAAAAAAAGGGUCCCCAGAUUCUUUGAAAGAAAUAUGGUAACCAUAUGUUAGUCCCUUUUCCAUAGAAACCAUACUCAAUGUAAAAGGGCAUACACUGACUUUCUUGCCUCCUCCUUAGGUCCCCUACCAUAAAAUUGGUGGUUGAGGUCUGAUGCUAGAACUGACUCAUUUAAAUGGGUAUGCCAGUAUCUAUUGCAGCCAGUACCUCUAUUCUGUGUACAGUGGUACCUCGGGUUACAUACGCUUCAGGUUACAUACACUUCAGGUUACAGACUCCGUUAACCCAGAAAUAUUACCUCAGGUUAAGAACUUUGCUUCAGGAUGAGAACAGAAAUUGUGCUCCGGUGGCGCGGCAGCAGCGGGAGACCCCAUUAGCUAAAGUUGUGCUUCAGGUUAAGAACAGUUUCAGGUUAAGAACGGACCUCCGGAACGAAUUAAGUACUUAACCCGAGGUACCACUGUAUUCUGUAAUGUCAGGGGAGGUUUGUGGGUUGCUUGUAUUAUCUUUCAAGGAAUUCUCCACAGUCCAAGAAAGGGAAGAUUAAGAAAGAAAGAGUAAAUUAAAGACCUUUAAAGCGUGGGGGUGGGAGACACACAAAGAUACAACAGAGUCAAUAUUUUCAAAUUACCAUCAUAAUGGAGCUUAAAAUAGUUUCAGCAGUAUAGUUUGAAUGUGUCAAUAAAGUAUUGGAUACAGAAGCACUGGCUGAUUAAAAUGUAUUUAAAGUUUGAAAAGCCUUCGGCAAGGUCUUUUACAAGAUGCUGUUCCCAAGUCAAACAAAAAACAAAACCUACAUAUCUAAGGGUCAGGAGGUAAAGUACUGUCAAAGAUCAAUAACUGGCCCCCAAACCUAGAAACAAGAGUAAAAACAAAUUGUUAAAUUUCAGCUUCAAGGUUGCAUAACAAACACAGAGAUCAGAUAAAUGCAGCUCUGCAACUGCAUUUAGACUUGCUUUCUUCAGAUAAACAAAUUGCAUAAUUUUGUCCCCAAUAAUAAAAGAAAGCAUGGAACUCUGUGGGACGGUAUAACUACAGCUCUCGAUUCUUGCAUGUAAAUUAGAAUGGGGGUUCACUUUUUAAUUCAAAGCUACCUAACACACACUUUCUGAACCAAUAUACAAACCAAAACCCACCUUUCAAUCAAAAUUCACACUUCUCCAAAUUCUGUAAUGCAGUUGUCUAACCCCCCCCCAAAAAAAUACAAAAAUGUGCACAUUAGAAUCAUAGAAUUGUAGAGUUGGAAGGGAACCAGAUGAUAAUCUAGUACAACCCUCUGCAAUGCAGGAAUUGUUUGGCCCAACAUGGGGCUCAAACACAUAAGUCUCAUGCUCUGCUGAGGGGAAAGAGUGCGCAAAAAUGUGAUUAUUAGAGGAAACAAUCUACAAAAAUGUAAUGUAUUGGGGGAAAUAGCUGGAAAAGGUGUAUAUUAGGCAAAGUCAAAGAGGGUUUCAGUGUAGCACAACUGGAUCAGCUGCAGGGGGCGCCACAAAAAUGCUGUAGAAUGGAGCACAAACUUGGGUGGGUGUGCCAAAUUUUAGUGUCACACUGGACACUUGAAAUUUGAGAGCCCAAAGUCCACCACUGGCAAAAUGGCGUAUGUUCACAGAUUGUGCCUGGAAUUGUGUGUGAACAUUAAUAAUUGCUUUUUAAAACAAAACCACAAGCUCAUGAGCAAAUGAGAUGGAAUGAAGUUAAGACUAGAGAAAUGAGAAGCCGGGAUAAACAAAAAAACUAUCAAGCUAACGUAAGUAGAAAUGAGACACAUAAAAGGAGUUUGAAUUAGCGACACAUUUAUUGGCAUAACAUCUGCAGGCAAAAUGAAAGCAGAGUGGGAAGCUAUUCUCGAAUGACUCCCUUGUGUUUGCCAAAUCCUGUCCACGUCCAGGGGAAUGAGAAGGCAAAGCUACAAGGCCUGGAUCCCCUCGACCAGUGAGUAGGGAGACCUUUCUCCACUGCCUCUCUGGGCCCCACAACUCCUGGCAAAUGAGACAGCUUAGCCUCAAGAAUGUUCUAUAUCCAGGAUAAGUCCUACAAGCCAACGAAGCUGGCUUCCAGAAAGGCCCCUUAGCUUCAGAGGUCCUAUUGGGAGGUCACUUGCUCACUUCUCCCAUACUAACUUUUCCUGCAAAUUCCUGCUCAAAAUGUGACCAGUUAAUGCGACACCUGUGCUGAAAUCCUUACUGUUUCUGGCCUGCAGUAAAGAGUAGGUGAAAUAACCUGUUCAACUCGAUCAAUCUGUGGACAAACAAACAAAAUGCUCCUCAUCCUUUAGGUGUCUGGAAAUCCUGGAUUGAAAACUAAAGUGGGAAGACCAAAAGUGACCAAAUAGAACAUGAUGUGGGUGUCUUUUGGGAAUUAUCAGUAUAGUGGAGUUCCAACCAUGUCUUCCUCAGAAGCUAGCUUCACCAAACAGUGCACAACAUUUUAUGUUCUCACCCUAAAGUGGAACACUUUUGCAGGGAAAUGUUCAAGGAAACACAAGCAUCAACCCAUCCUUCAACCCUGCACAUAUGCAAAAAAGCAAAAAGCAAAACACAAAGCAAAAGAAGAGCAAAAGAGACUUUGCUAUGUGCUUGAGAAGAAACAGAGUUGUGGAACACACACUAUUAAUAAUUGAAACUUGUAAAUAAAUAAAGCAACAAAGAGCUUACUGUCAUUGAAAUGAUUAAGUGCCUUUGGUCUUUUCUAGCUCUGCUCAGCAGCUGCCUGGGAAAAGAAGCAUUUCUAAACAAAGCGUUGCCUCCUUUUUGCUGCUGUACCCUCUGCCGUUGUAAAAAUGCUGUCGUUAAGAUUCUCCUCCAUCUUUUGAAACUAGAAAAGGGGGGUAUUUCUAGUUUUCUUCUUCUAAAGUUUCAAACAUACACACAGCAUAGCUUGUUCGCAAUAUCAUAAACAUUUCAAAGAUAUUACUGCCAUUAAAUUUGAUUUUCUAUAUUUUAAAAAAAACUUAUGAGGUGUUCCAUUGUCAUUUAAAAAAAAUAGUAGUUGUUUUAACAUUUCUUUUAAACUCCAGGCUAACACCUGCAAGCUACAUCUCCCUAGCCAUAGUCAAGCCUCGUCAUCCUGGGAAAUACUGACAAGUGGGGUGCCACAGGGUUCUGUCCUGGGCCUGUUGUUGUUCAAUAUCUUUACUGGAUGAAGGAAUUGAGUGGACACUCAUCAAAUUUGCAGAUGACAUCAAACUGGAAGUCAUAGCUAAUAAUACAGGAGAGAGAAUCAGAAUUCAAAGUGACCGUAACAGAUUGGGGAACUGGGUCCAAGCUAACAAGAUGAAUUUCAAUAGGGAAAAAUGUAAAGUUUUGUACUUAGGUAGGAAGAACCAGAUGCACAAAUAUAAGAUGGGGGACACCUGGCUUGCUAGCAGUACAAGUGAAAAGGAUCUAGGGGUCUUGGUGGACCACAAGCUGAACAUGAGUCAACAGUGUGAUGCAACAGGUCAUUUUGAAUUCUGAAUAUGUAUUCUACAGCAUUAGCUACUGUAAUGAGUAUGGGUUGCUCGUGCGUAAGUUGCCGCCUCUCCUGGCUUUGUUGCCUUGUUAAACCUUUCAGUCUGGGCAGCCCUUCACUUCGUGGCUGCCUCAGUCGCUAGCAGAAUCCGUCAGUGGGCGUUUCUUAAACCUCUUCCAACAUAAAAGUUGUUUGACGCCCAGUCUCCUCCUACUCUCCCUGCGCGGAAGUCUUCUGUGCAGGGAGGGCGUGGGUAGCGGAGGACCUGUGCUCUCCCCGCUGGUGUCCGGUGAAGAGUCUGGGAGCCCUCUCGCCGAUUCCCCCAUCUGCCCCUCUUUAUUCCUGGUGUUGCGCUGAAUUGCUUCCCCAUCUGCUGAGCUGCCUCUCUCCCUGCUGGGCCCUUCUCCAGCAUCAUUUGAGAGCCUUCCCUCCGCCUCUAGCUCCGAUGUCAGUUCCCUGACAGCUACCCUUCCCAGUUUGGUGUCACCUGCAAAUUUGAUGAGCAUCCCCUCAGUUCCUUUAUCCAAGCUGUUUUUGAAGAUGUUGAAUAAGAACGGGCCCGUGACAGAACCCUGCCGCACCCCACUUGUCACUUAUUCCCAGGAUACUGAGGAACCAUUAAUGAACACUCCUUGGGUUUGGUCAGUCAACCAGCUACAAAUCCACCUAACAGUUACCUCGUUCAACCCACAUUUUACCAGCUUCCUUGCAAAAAUAUCAUGGGGGACUUUGUCAAAAGCCUUGCUUAAAUCAAGACACACUAUGUCCACAGCAUUUCUCUGAUCCACCAAGUUUGCAAUUCCAUUUUUAAAAAAUACCAUAUUGGUCUGGCAUGUCUUAUUUUUGAGAAACGCAUGCUGGGUUUUAGUAAUCACAGUAUCCUUUUCUAAAUGCUCACAGACCUACUGUUGAAUUAUCUGUUCUAGGACCUUUCCUGGUAUCAGUAUCAAGCUCACUGGUUGGUAGGUACCUGAGCCUUCCUUUCCCCCCCUUUUUGAAGAUGGGGGCAACAUUUACCCAUCUCCACUCUGCAGGGUCCUCAUUUGUUCUCUAAGAAUUCUCAAAGAUCAUAGACAAAGGCUCUGAGAUUGCUUCCACGAGGUCGUUUAUGACACUAGGAUGCAGCUCAUCAGGCCCUGGAGAUCUGAAUUUAUUUGAAGUAGCUAGGUGUUCCCUUACUAUCUCUUUUUCCUGUCUUGGACCACAGCUCCCUCCUUACAUCAUUUAUUCUGUUAUCACUAGGUUGGUGAGAGGAAAUAUGAAAACCAUCUUCAGAUAUCUCAAGGGCUGUCACGUGGAAGAGGGAGCAAGCUUGUUUUCUCCUGCUCUGGAGGGUAAGACCCAAACUAGUCGCUUCAAGUUAUGAGAGAGGAGAUUCCAACUAAACAUCAGGGAAAGGUUUCUGAUGGUAAGAGCUGUUUGACAGUGGAUCUGACUCUCUCGGGAGCUUGUGGGCUCUUCUUCCUUGGAGGUUUUUAAGCAGAGGUUGGGUGGCCACCUGUCAUGGAUGCUUUAGCUGAGAUUCCUGCAUUGCAGGGGGUUGGACUAGAUGACCCUCGGGGUCCCUUCCAACUCUAUUCUAUGAUACUAUGUUUCUAAGACAGAGCUUGCUUUAUUUGUAUGGGUUUAAGCAUUCCUGACUCUGAGCUGGACAGUGACCCUUCUUUUCGUCCCCACCUCCUAUAAGUCAUUAGCCACUUUUCCCUGUGUUCAUCAAACAUUCUUUACCUUACAUUACCUUAUGUCUUCAGGCUGUUGUGGAAAGCAGGUUUUUCAUAUUCAACUGCAAUGGCCAUGAAACCAAAUUCUGGCUUACUAAAAAUGUUUCUUGGGAGAAAAGUGUGAUUUACAACUGUUCUAAUUAGGCUCUACUGUCAGUUAAGAGUUAACUUCAUUUGAUCUGAUUAUUUAACAAACAAACAAAGAGUUUUAUGCAAAAUAUAAUCCAGCCAUCACUUCCUGCUUCACUGAUCUUUUGUAGUAUUCUGUAUGCCAUCCUUCAUUUGCAUGUUGUCUUUUCAGAUUGGCAGCUCUUUGGGGCAGGGGCUUAGGGUCACAUUAGUAUCUGACCCACUGUCUGCCUGCCUGUCUGUAGCCAGAGCAGCACAGCAAUGCUAUAAUGCAAAUCCAGUCAUGUGGAUCUGAGGCCAGAACUAAGUCUACCUCUGCAUUUUUGACUGGCGUUUGUGAGAUAAAAUCAUCGAAUAAUUCAUAAGUUUUAAUGCAGAGAUUCUGACAGAUUUAAUAUCAUCACUUGCUUUUAUAGCACUUGUCCUAGGUACUCAAAUUGCUUUGCAUUAUGUGCAUUUUCUCAGUGACCCUUACUACAAUAUGCUAAAUCAAGCCAAUAUUAUUAACCCACGAGGGACACUGAGUUUCAGAGAAAACAUCCUGACUAAGGUCAGGCAAUAAGUUACCAGUAAUUCCUCAUGUCUGAACUACGAUCUUCCCUGCCUCAACCACAGCAAGCAUACCAGAUCUGCGGCACUGCCUUAAAACACACACAAACCACUUUCCCCUCCUCUUCCUACAAUAAUUUUUUUACAGUUGUAUAAGUAUUUCAGUUGCCCUUAGAUAAAAAAUAUUGCCCUUAAAAAACAAAUCCAACUGAAAAGAAAUUCAGGACUGCAACCUGAUUCAGACUAGAUAUAAUUCCCUCCACAUCAGAAACCUGCUUCUGAAAGAUCACUUGUAAUUGGUUACUAUGGAGGCCGUCUAAUGAAUGUCUUUAUUGUUUAGGGGAACUGGCUUCCAGUCAGUUUCUGGACCCCCUUCAAAAUUCCAGCAUUUGUAGGGGUGCCCUAUCCCUUUUUGCCACCUAAGCCCAAAUAGGAAUGUGCCAGCCACUACCCCUUAUGCCCUACCACUGCCCCCAACACUUCAGCCAGAUGGGCGGGGUAUAAAUAACAAAUUAUUAUUAUUAUUAUUAUUAUUAUUAUUAUUAUUAUUAUUAUUAUGCCAGAAGAAACAAGCUAAUACAGGCAUAGGCAAACUGCCCUCCAGAUGUUUUGGGACUACAAUUCCCAUCAUUCCUAACCACUGAUCCUGUUAGCUAGGGGUGGUGGGAGUUGUAGUCUGAAAACAUCUGGAGGGCCGAGUUGUCCUAUGCCUGAGCUAAUAGGAAGGCACACUUGGCAAACCCUCACCGUGAUCAGCUUGGCCCCAGCAGGUCAUGACUUGCCUGCAGAUAUCUCAAGCCUUUCCUUGGGCCUUGUGACAUGUGUUCUUCCUCUGCCUUGUGCCUCCACAUCCCUUCCAUUUGGGUGUCUUGUAUUUUUUAGUUUCCAAACCUGAGGACAGGACUUGUCUCACCUUUUUUGAAAAAAAUCAGUGUCAACUGCUUUAGGAGACAACAUCUGUCUGAAAAGCAGGGAAUUUAAAAAAUAAUAAUUUAAAAUUAAAAUUAAACUUAUUAUUGCUGCUGCUACUACUACUGCUGUACAUUUAAAAGAAUAUAUACGGGUGGCACUGUGGUCUAAACCACAGAGCCUAGGGCUUGCUGAUCAGAAGGUUGGCAGUUUGAAUCCCCGCGACGGGGUGAGCUCCCGUUGCUCGGUCCCAGCUCGGUCCCAGGUCAAAAGCACGUCAAAGUGCAAGUAGAUAAAUAGGUACCACUCCGGCGGAAAGAUAAACAGCAUUUCCGUGCGCUGCUCUGGUUCACCAGAAGUGGCUUAGUCAUGCUGGCCACAUGACCUGGAAAACUGUCUGCGGACAAAUGCCAGCUCCCUUGGCCUAUAGAGCAAGAUGAGUGUGCAACCCCAGAGUCAUCUGUGACUUGACCUAACUGUCAGGGGUACCUUUACCUUUACCUUUAUACCACCCUUGAAGUGCAUGGAAUUAAAUUUGUUCUGACCACUAUGGCACACUGACUAUCCUAGAAUCUUGGCAGGGUGCAUUCCAUUUCUCCAAGGGCUGUUGCUCAGCAGCGGAGCCUGUGACUGUUUGAACUGAGAUUCUUGCAUCCUCAUUGUGUAGACGUUUGCAGAGGUUUGCUUUAGGGACCCUUGCUUCACUUGGAUUAGAAUAUGGCAUCUGAAAGACUCCUGGAGGUAAGUGAACGUUGGCAUUUCCAGUGGACUUGAACUCUAGAACAAAAAUAAUGGCACCACCAAGUUUGGCAAAGAGCUAUCAGAGGUCAAAGAAAGUCUUGAACUUUGGGCAGGUUUAUGGAAGGGGAGAAUGAAUUCUGUAAAGGAAAACUUAGUCUUCAUAUUUUUAUUUUUUUUAAUGUUUAAAUUUUUUAUUUUUUACCAACAACCAAACCACAAACAGUGAAACCACACACCCCCAGGCAGCUGAUGCAUUGGGUAUACAUAAUCAAUAAUAACAUAUUCAAAUCAACCAUAUGUACAAUUUUAUAUACGUUAACACUGCUCCAUCCACAAGGUUUAUUUAACUUUUAACAUUUUAAAUGCCCCAAAUUGUUCAAACCUACCCAAAUAAUUCAAUAUCUUCUCAAACCAAUCUUCCUCUUUCUCACUGACCUUAAACCCUUUCAUUCUGUGUAUCUUCACAGUUAGAUAUUCUAAAAUUAUAAUAUUAUUCAGUUUUUUCCUCCAUUGGUUCACCCCUAACUCUUCCGCAUUUUUCCAAUUAUUCGCUAUAACCUGUCUGGCUGCAGUUACCAUCAAUUUUACCCAUUUACAUUCCUCUUUUGUUUUUAACUCUGUGCUACUCAGACUAAUAAGAACCAUUAAUUUAGAUAUUCCCACCUUCCUACCCACAAUUCCCAAUAUUUCUAUACCAAUCUGUUUCCAAAAUUCAUAACUUAACUAAGUUAUGUGUCCCACCACAUAACUUAGUCUUCAUAUUGUAGUCAGUUGAAUAUUAUUUUAAACAGAGCAUUCUUUAUUCUGUGUAUGUGUGUGUGUGUGUGUGUGUAUAUAUAUAUAUGUGUGUGUGUGUGUGUGUGUGUAUGAGAGAAUCCAGGAGACGGUUAACUUAAAUUUCUAAAUAAUGAAUAUUAACUUUAGUUUAUUAUAGUUGGAAAGGGAAAGAGAAAAAAGAGAGAAGAAAGAUCGCAUGAGCAGCUGGCCCAGGGGAUGGGUAGCCAGGUGGAGCUGGUCUUUCCGCACAGCUGAUUCAGGGAGCUCUGCUGCCCACUUCUCCCGUGGAGUCAGUCUGAUGGAAGGGCUUCUCCCAAGUGCAGACGAGGGGGAGACAGGAGGCCUGGUGGAGCUCUAACAUCCGCUAAGACAGGCCAGCUCCAUCAAGCUACCAUCGUAGGGGAGAUAGGAACAGCACUUCUAGACAUUGGGACCUGGUUUUUCAGUUUCCUUUUUCCUUUGCCCUCCUUGCCCCUUUUCCUUGUAUGAUGUAUUUCUGUUUGUUGGUUUGUUUAUUAGAAUGUAAGUCUGCAACUAGGGAGUGUCUUGUUUUUGAUUUCACGUAAGCCUCUUUGGGAGCCCUUUUGAGGUACAAAUGCUCUGAAUGAAUGAAUCAGCUGUCUGUGGAGACCAUCAGUUGGUUUCCAUUUUAAUGCAGACCUACCUCAUCUGUGCUUCCCAGAUCAACACACAAACAGAAAUUUGCUUUGAGAUGCUCACAUGUCCCCAUUUUGCAAAUAGGUUCUCCACUCCCCCUUGCCCCACGUACAUAUGAGCAUAUUUAGAAAUACAUCAUAAGAUACCUGCUUUAAAAACGUGGAGCUUAGGCUUAAUAGCACACAAAAUGGAUAUCUUAAUAGACAAAUUAAUCGUAUGCUAUAAAACCCUUAAAAUAAUGAACACUCCCACUUUACAUUGUGGGUGCCCUUUGCGGGAUCACGGGUGGUGCUACAGUUCCCAGGGAGCUUACUGGCAAACAAGGGCAGGCUUGCCUCUCAGUUUUAAUUUUUGGAGGUUCACGCCCAGCCUCAGUAAUCAAGUUUCUUGCUGGGAGGUGGGGCCAGCCCCAUUUAUAAAUAGGGGGUGGAACCAACAAUAGCCAGGCAGUCUGCUCUGGAGAUUCACCCUCCCUACCCUCCCUUUGUUUAAUGUUUCUUAUUCGCAGGUUAACUUUUUCUUCCUCUUUAGCGGGCUCUGCUAUGGUCUUUGACUGGUUGCUGUUGAAGGACCGGGAAGAAAUUUUCCUGCAUUGGCAGGUUUUGUCUUCCCCAUAGCAAUUCGUCACAACUUUGACGGUUAUGACCUUGGGUAGAAUCCUUUAGUCUUUUUUCCCCCUAUAUGGGGGUGUGGGCAUGAAGUAGUGACUCCCCCCCCUGUGGUGGCGAUUCCAGGGUCCCCCUCUUAAAGGGGUUAUAUAUAUGGGUGUCACUGGCCAUACACUGAAAGGUCGUCAGUGAUAUGGGGAUGUGGGGAUAUGGGCUUGGCUGCCUGCUAUACUUACGUCUCACAAAGCACCCCAUAUCCCAUUUACCCUGAUGAGUGCCAGUUCCCCCCGGCUGGGGGCCUGGGAGGGAUACACACCCAAGGCCUAAGCCAAGGUCUUCCUAUAUUCAGAAGUUUAAUAAAAUUGUGGCCUAAUUUUAAUUCCGUAUAAUGUUGUCAGAGCUUUAUUCCUUCCUUAUGAUCCCUGGGGGCCUGGGCUGUCGCCGCCUGGUCCAUGUGACAUUUCAAACCUUUCUUACAGAGAAGAGAAGCUGCUAUUUACACAAACACCCCCACAAUUCCUCUUCUCCCCUCAGCAUCUCAACAUGUUCUACAGUGUCACAUACCGCUGGCAGCACACCCAAAGGAUCCAGUGAGGACCGACGGAAGCAUCAACUGACAGCUGUUGUCGUGGGGAAAAAGGGUAAGAAGCUCUACGAGAUCUUUCCGACCUCCUGAAGAAGACCAAGGCAUAUGUGAGUUACUCAAGGGAAUCACUGCAGCCAUGCAGGGAUGUCAAAACCCUUCAGCCUGCCCCUUCCAGGCCCACUCUGCAAAGUGUCCAGUGGACAAUCAGGCAUCUGAGCGCAUAAGUGAUCUAGAGAACAGAGUUGGGCAAUAGUACAGCAGAUCCUAGUAGGCUUUGCAGUUGGCAUGGAUCAGCCAAUUGGUGCCGAUUGUAAGCCUUGUUUUCGGCAGGAACUGGCUGCCCUCAGGAGUUUGCAAUUGGGAAGAGGGCUGUUGCACCCAGGUCCUGCUUGCAGGCUACUCAUAGGUUGGCCACGACGAGAACGUAAUGGUGGACCAGAUUGGAUUAUCACAGUGGUGUCCAAACUUUUUUCAAAGAGGGCCAGAUUUGAUGACGUGAAGGGCCGUGAGGGCCGACCAAAGGGCCAACCUUUUUUUUUAGGAUUGAAGUUCUUGAGCUUUUUUUAUGAUUUUACCCCAAAGUUGUUUUUAGGGUUGAAGUUGUUGAGCUUCUCAUAAUGGUGACUGGGGAAGGCACACAGUGGGUUUGAAUUUGAAUCCAGAGGGAGACAGAUCUCCCCUCCCCUCUGCCAAGUACUUAGGACAGAAAAAAGCAGGAAAAAAUAGGUCCAAACCAAAUUUUGUGGUUGACAUCCAUCCUUUAUCCCCUCCAUUGGUUUCCCUAAAGACUAAAAGGGUGUGUGUGUGUGUGUGUGUGUGUGUUAUGUAUUAAGAUUAGUUGCAGUUCUCACUCAGGGCCACCAGUAUGUAAAUGAAGGAUUGAAAACUGUCGCUCCUGAUUGGUUAGCUAGUUGUGAGUUGCUACUGUUUCAAGUUACUUAGUAUUAUAUAAAGCAGCCAGCUAGGCUGCAGUUAGUCUGAUUCCAGGAGCAGUUCUAAUUGCUGCAAUAAAGAGCUGUGAAUCCAACAGAGCCGUGUCCUUCAUCCAUCUCUUCCACUAUUCAACAGUCUAAAUGGCUCAGGUGCAAGCCAUCUGAAAGCCGUAUUCCCUCCUACCAACCUGCCUGGGUUUUGAGCUCUUUGGGGAGGCCCUUCUCUCAGUACCGCUUCCCUCACAGACAUGCUUGAUGGGGCUGUGUGACAGGAACUUCUUAGUGGCUGCUCCCACACUUUGGAACUUCCUUGCUAGAGAAGUCAGACUCGCUCCCUCUUUCCUGUUCUUCAAGACUUUCUUGUUCCAACCGGCUUUGGUGAAUUGACUGCUUUGAAAUAAAGGGCUGGUCUCUUGCUGUUUGAUUGUAAUUAUAUGUAAGCUUUUAAGCGAGUUUAUAUAAGUAUAGUUUUAGUUCUCUCCAUGUUUAAUUGUUUCUUAAUGGUUGUUUUUUUCUGUGUUUUUAGUUCUUCUUGUUUUUUAUCUGUAAGUUGCCUAAAGUCCAGUCAGGGGGGAAAGCAGGUUAUGCAUAAAUAUAAUCAUCAUCAUCAUCUAGCAGUGCUUGGUGGCUGAAGCACUGCCAUCGAUAAUAGGCUGAAAUAUAAGCAAUGGAUUACUGAAAUAACUCAUGAUAGUGAAGUUUAUAUUAUAAGAACACAUGUAUUGUAAAACAGCUAAUAAAAAGAAGUAAAAAACAAACACCAGGAAAGGAGGGGUGGGAAGUCGAAAAGAAAUUUAUGUUGAUUUUUUUUUUGUAUAUGACAUUAAAUGUUUUGGAAUACUUUUAAUAAAAAUAAAAAUAAUAAAAUAAAUUAAUAAUAAAUAAUAAAAUAAAUAAUAAAAAUAUAAUAAAAAUGAUAAAUGUAAAAAAGAUAAUGGGUUGCUUGUCUUAGCAGUAACUUCUCUAGGUCUCUUCUCAGCCACUUGUAGCGCUUCCCACAUCCGCUCUCCUCUGGCCGAAAUUGGCGAGAGAUGGGAGCAUCCUGCAAGGUGGUGGAAGUGGUGGGCUGGGGUCUUGUACUUCUGCCAGCUGAGGCUGGUGCUUCAACACACCUCACUGGUGGGCCAGCUCUGGACAUUUACCUUCAAGGCAGUGUUGGGGGACUUUAGGUCUGCCAGGCAGCUUCAGCUGACCAAGGCACACUCACCUGUCCUAGACCUGGCAUCAUAUAUAACAUCAAAUGCCAUGCAGAUAAAGACAAAUUUGGGCCCAGAAGGUGGUUGCAAGCAGCUGAUCAUCAAUGCUUGCAGAAAGCUGUGUGCAGCUCCUUGGAACCCCAGUGGUCAUUCCCUAUGUGAGAAUCUUUUGGAGGCCAAGUUUUUCUUACCUUCCCAGACAUUUUAUCAACCAUGAUUUUACUGCUUUUGAAGUUGAACUAUUUCCCUGUGCCUUUCGGCUGUAUUUUCAUGCAGCCUCUUAAUGGGGUUAUGGUGGUUUCGGUACCAGUCUAUUUCUGUAAUUACUGUUUUAAUUUCGGAAUUAACGUUUAAAUUGUGAACCUCCCCGGAGGAGAUUGUUGGUUGGACAUUAUGGAAAUGCCAUAAAUGAAUACAUAAAACAGUUACCCAAAUAUGCCUAAGUAUAAGUUUCCUAUAUACAGUAUAUGCACAGGUCCGAAACUGUCAGUUUGCAUUUCUUAGUGCAGAAAGUAUUGAUUUAAUGUGUAGAUAUCUUUCCUGUUCUAAUUCAUUCAAGAGGGUUUCAGGAAGCUACUAGAAGCUUCUCUGUGAGAGAGAAACAGAGGCAGAAGGAUUAAUGAUUGUUUGGGUUAUACCGUCUGGGAAGCUGGCGUAAACUAGUUCUCUUAUCUCUAUUAUGCAGAGUCCCACUGACUAUAAAUAUAGGCCAGAAGGAGCCUGGAUUUUACUUUCUCUUUCUCUUCCUUCCUUCUUGUGUGGUGAUUCUGUACAUAGGAUGCUUAGUGCUAAGGUUUAGUCUUAUUAGGGAUGUGGGUGGUGCUGUGAUCUAAACCACAGAGCCUAGGGCUUGCCGAUCAGAAGGUUGGCGGUUCGAAUCCCUGGGACGGGGUGAGCUCCCAUUGCUCAGUCCCAGCUCCUGCCACCCUAGCAGUUCGAAAGCACACCAAAAAGUGCAAAUAGCUUAAUCGGUACUGCUCCAGCAGGAAGGUAAACAGUGUUUCCGUGCACUGCUCUGGUUCACCAGAAGUGGCUUAGUCAUGCUGGCCACAUGACCCGGGAAAACUGUAUGUGGACAAACGCCAUCUCCCUCGGCCUAUAGAGCGAAAUGAGCGCUGCAACCCCAGAGUCGUAUGCAACUGGACUUAACUGCCAGGGGUCCUUUACCUUUUCCCCCCUUUAAGCCUUAUUAUGAAUUAAGUUUAUAAAUGCUGCAACUGGAUUUUGUAUGGACUGAGCCAUGGAUUUGAUAAACCAUUAAACUACAUUUGCCUUCAGCACAAGUAAAAGCUCUGCUGGAUGAAAUAUUGCCUAUUGAUCUAUUUUUGGGAACUCUGCUGAACUCUACUAUGGUGUUUUCAGUUUUUCCUCCACACCUAUGACAGAAAUAAGUGGUAAUGGAACUAGCAUGGGGUCACCACCCUAUUUUUACACGUGUGGGCUCUGUUCAGAAGUUACACUAAAGCCACAAACACGACAGGCAGCCACAACUUACUACUCACUUGGCAAAAUGCAGCCUACCAAUAUAACAGCAUCUGGCAGGUUACAGUGCAAGGGUAAGAGGUAGAAUUCAGUGAUGGGCCAUCCGUUGAGCUUGCCCACACAUCACACAAAAGUGUUCUGGGUUUUGUUUGUUAUUUCUGUAUUAUUUCACUAUGAAUAUCUCGUUAAAGCAAGUUCAGUUUCUAGUGUGCAGUAUGAACUUCCUGGGGUGCCAAUUAGAAUGUAGUUAAAGGAUGCAUGACCCUCUCUACCUUCGUCAUAAAUUAUCCUCUGGGAUCGUUGCCAAAAAGGAGAGGUCAUGCAAGCUAUGUCACUAUUUUAAAGUGUGCUUUGCCGUAAUGUGUUCCACUCAAAUUUGUACAGAAACGAAGAGGUUUAGCACACACAUACACACAUGAAAAACCCUCAAAGCCCCUCUCACUUAUAAUUCUGUUGCUGUAUCCCAACUCCUAUAGAAAGCGUUCAGAACUAGGGCAUGAAGAUAAAACUGUUUUCAAGGCAAUUCACUUUGUUUUAUUAUUUGUUAAAUAAUAUGGACAAUUCGGCUGCACCACUGGGGAAUCAGAGAUACUCCUUAUUCCAAUAAGCUCAGUGUUCUGACAGCUUUAAAAAGCAUACUGUUAUUUGUUUCUCAAACUCAGCUGAAGACCAUUCUAAGCAGGGGGGCUUAAAAUUAGUUGAUUGUUCCACUUUUUCGUUGCUGAUAUUCCACUGUUCCCAUAUGCAUUCAAAAUGUAAAUGAAGGUCUCACAAUAGAUAGGAAGUUCCUCGAGGCAAAAGUGUCUUCUCCUUUGCAGUGAGCGGCAUUACACAAUGUUGGCAAUCAGAAAAUGAACAAUAAUAAUGUUUAAGACUUCCAUCAUUUUAAAGGACAUGCAGUGUCCCCAAUGAACCUUACUUGUCAUUUCCUUCUUAGCAAUUAACUUCAAGGCUUACAUAAGCCACAUUUUCAGCUCCCUUUUGUUUAUUUUAUCCUUUUUAGCCAUUAAUUUAGAAUUCCAAACAUUUUAAAAAAGCUUUCAGCUAAGUUUUAUGUACAUAAGAAGGGCAGCCACAUCAGCCUAUGGAGCAAACUCUCAUAUCCCUGAAUGCAUACUGGAUACACUAUUCUAAUACGCUAUGUCCAAGUCUUAUGUAUUUUGUUGGCAUUUGUCUGUCUUGAGAGAUAAUAGAGUGUGCAUCUGACGUGACUGUUCUGGGGUGCAAGCCAGGGCAGUGUGUAUGGGGGUCCUGGGCUGCCCAGACAACAAGACCCCCCUCUUGACCUCACUGAUGUAGUCCAAAGGAGAACAGAGCAAUACGUUUGGGAGCAGGUUGGCUGAAGGAGUUGCUGGAAGGAGGCCUACAAGGCACCAUCCAACUACCUUAGGGACUCUACUCCGUAUUUGUGUAGGGUUUUUACUCCUUAGCCUUUUCUUCUCCCAAAAAUAUCCUACAAGGCAACAGAGGUUUAGGAACAGAGCUUUCCUUCUCCUAGAUGGGCUACCUUCCCAGGUUGAUGAGCCCCAUCUGCCCCUCACUUGCCCAUAUAGCACAUGCAGAAACUGCCUUCUUGACUAUUGGACCCACUAUUGGUACGCUCAAUUUUUUUUUUGAUGAUUUUAUAUUUUUUUAAUAACAAUUUUAUUGAAAGUUUUUAAACAUAUUAAAUACUAAAAUUCAAACUCAUUUAUAAGAAAAUAACAAGAAACAAUAUCUAAAACAUAAUAAAGAAAAAAAAUCCUUACAAAACACAAUUGCAUAGAAAAGUGAAAGAGGAAAAAAGAAUAGAGAAAGAAUAACUAAAAAGGCCUUUUAUCCCAUUUAUAUUGUUCACAUCAUCUCAUCUAUCCACACAUAGGCAGAUUCCCCAUCUCUCACCUAGGUGCCUUCCACUUUUCCCAGUCUCCCACCUUGAGAGAGCCUUCUUACCCUGCCUUUCUUUCAGGUACCUCUCACCUCCAGCUGUGUCCUUCCUGUGUGUGUCUUCCUUGAUUCAAAAUAAAGGAAUCUUAAUAUAAAAAAUAUAAAAAUGGGUAAAAAGGAAAGGAAAGUCCCACCUCCCCGUUUGACAUUUAUCUUUAACAGCAAUUAUUCAGAAUAUUUAACAUACGCACUCCAGAAUAAUGAAGGUUUUAUUUUUAAUUGUAUUGUUUUACCAAUGUCCUGUUUGCCACCCAAAACUCCUUUGGAAGUAAUGGUGGGAUUGAAACUUAAUAAGCGUCAACAGCAACAUCUGGGAAGUCACAGGUUCCCUAACCUUGCCCUACCCUUUCCUCCAUAAUUUGAGCUGUGAGGAUGACUUUCAAUGCAGCUGGCACCAAGGGUAAAUUGCAGUCUGUGCUGUUGAUCAGGACUGGGGAGGAGGGCAGGGAGGUGCAUAUAAGCCAAAGAAGCAGGAGAAAGAGUGGGAGAACUUAACAAAGACAUUGGAGAGGGGGUUCCUUUGUGCUUUGUGCUGGUGACAUAAGAUGUCCAGAAUGAGGAGAGCAAAAUCUCAUGUUCUGGUUCAGAAUAACCCAGGAUGUAAGAACUCCAGGAUUAUCUUUCUAUCUGUCUGUCUGUCUGUCUGUCUAUCAUAUUUAUAUACCACCCUUCAUCACAAGAUCUCAGGGCGGUUCACAGAGAGCCCUGAGUCCUCCACAGGUUUCUUGGACUCUUAAGAAACCCUUCAAGUAUUCUUCUCCCUGAUUCCUCCACAGCUUCUUGAGUUUCUUUCUGAGAUGCCCUUGCAUCUGUGGACCCCAUUCCACCAACCCUGUGUUCUGGACAGGACAUAAUGAAGGAGAUGAAAUUUUGACCCCACUCCACCCUCUCUAUUUAUCCCUCUCUACUGCCAGCUCUUUAGUUUCUACAGCAAUUUGUAGAACUGAAUGAAUCCACAGCAUAGCCUCACCAUAGGUUCACCACCCAGUCUCUGGAACAGUCUUCAGAGUUAGCAAUUGAUGUGCCAUCUUGCUAUAUUUUCUUUGUAAAAUUCAGUUUUGUGGAUGGGGGAGCCUCUGAUCUCUUCUUUGUUGCUUCCCCAAGUACCUUUUGUGAGCAUUCUCCACAAAUAUAAAAUGAUCUGAAUGAUUGAAGCUUGAGUGCAUUUGAUAAGCACGCCUAUUUCUGGGCCAGGUCUGUUGCACAGACAACAGUCUAUCCUCCAGCAGAACAGACCCAGGAUCACAGUGGGAAGCAAUUUUCUUGGCACAUUUGAGCGAAGUCAUUUAUGUUCCAGAAGGUCUUAUUCCCCAAAUAAUAGCUUGCAGACGUGUAUAGAGACAUGCAAUCUGAGCAAGCACAGUAGCAGGGUUGUGUAACUAUGCCAAUUUGGCAUGUAUUACACGGCAGAUAUUUAGAUCUGCUGCUUCUAUUGCUGUCUAUGCUUCUUCUUUUAAAACUGGGAGCAUGAUGGGCAAUUAGGCCAGUGCAAGGGAUAAUCCACAACAGUGAUUCAGGUGUGCAUUGGAAAAAUUGUGUGUCUGAUUUUUACAGAUAAGGACCCCACACCUGUAAUGCCAGUAGAAAGACGUCAUCAUGUGUUUGCCCUCCAAAAAGUUCACAGUUGUGUUCACUGGAAAGCAUUUGACAAGAGCAGGCCAGUGAAGUCAAGGGCUGAAGCACUGGGACUCUGGGCAGGAGUAUUAAUGCAAAAGGCAGGUUGAGAAAGGCACAUAAAGCCAGGAGACAAGCAAGCAAGUGAUUCGAGCAGAAAGAAGCCAGGUGUGUGAUCUAUUUCUCAGAUAGAAGAAAACUGCCAAUAAAGUUCUAAGGGAAAAUAGGGAACUGUGCUGAGGGAUUUUUGAUCAGUGAAAAAUGCCCAAGAGGUAUUCUUGAUCAGAGAUUGUGAUGCCCAUUUGAGAGGUGGCAAGGCACUGCUAAAGAGUUGCCCCAGAACCUCUUGUUCAAAGUAUCUUCUGACCUUGUUGUUGUCAGUAUGAAAUCCAUUGGUGCCAACAGCCUAGUAUGAGACACAAAUCUGUGUCAAAGUACAGUGGUACCUUGGUACUCGAAUGUAUGGUAAUCCAUUCUGGAAGUCCGUUCGACUUCCAAAACAUUCAAAAACCAAGGCACAGCUUCCAAUUGGCGCAGGCGCCACAGAAACAAUAGUCGACAACCACAUGUGAUGUUUGGCUUCCGAAAAACGUUCAAAAACCGGAACACACACUUCUGGGUUUUCAGCAUUCGGGAGCCAAAAUGUUUGAGUACUAAGGCAUUAAAGAACCAAGGUUCCACUGUAUUGGGAUCUGUAAAUAUUACAAGCAUUUCCAAAGCAUUGACACACUUUUGGGACCAACAGGUUGGAAUGUUAACAGUCUACCACAGAGGGAAGCUUACUAGAAUUAUUUGUGUUGCAGAUGUGCAGAAGAUCAGAGCAAAAAUUGUCUAAUUUGCAGCCAUGGAAUCCCAAUGCACCCUAGGGCGGCUCUUUAUAAGCCAUACGCGGUUCACCUGUCUGAUGUGCUUGGGAGCUUGGUGCAGUGUAUGGAGGUGGAGCCAAACUGACACGCCUACUGACUUGCCUACACUGUGCCAAGCUCACUGCACCUUGCAGCUCCCCUCUUCCUCUCAGUACAGUGGUACCUCUGGAUGCGAAUGGGAUCUGUUCCGGAGCCCCGUUCACAUCCUGAAGCGAACGCAACCCGCGUGUGCGUGGGUCGCGAUUUGCCGCUUCCGCGCAUGCGCGUGAUGUCAUUUUGAGGGUCUGCGCAUGCGCGAGCGGCGAAACCCGGAAGUAACGCGUUCUGUUACUUCCGGGUCACCGCAGAGCGUAACCCGAAAAUGCCCAACCCAAAGCAUAUUUAACCCGAGGUAUGACUGUAAGUGCUUGCAACUCAGUGUGCUGGGAAGCCAUCAGAAGAUCAGUGCUCAACUCACACAACCUCACCAGCCACUACAGGCAACAAAAGCUUUCACACAACUAAUUCAGCCCUCAGCAGUACAGAUAAAAAAAAAAUGUACCAGCAUAAAUGAAUUCUGCUUCACAUCACACACACACACUUUUCCCAGAUUUCUGCUACCAGUGCUGAAAUAAAUUUCUACAGGGACAAACUCAUAUCUCUUAUUGUUCCUAGAGGAAGCUUUACCGACCUAACAAUAUAGCACUUUUUAGUCCCUGCCAAAUCUUUUAUAGCAACAUGGUAUGUGAUUGAGAUUUAUAGGAUUACUUUGCAGUCCUCCAGAUUUUAUUGUAAUCCACCAGAGCAUCAUGGUGGAUUGUUUCUCUAAACCCCCCAAAAAGGGCAUCUCUCAUGCCUAUCCUAAUUUUCUCAAAGAACAGUUCACAAAGGAUGUUCACAAAUAUUAGGCUAAGACGUGGUCACAUUUUGUGGGGGGGAAAUGUAAUGUACUCAGAUCAUUAGUUCAUGCAGCCUAAUUCUGUGCUUCAGAAUGAAUAAAUUCAGUUUAUUUAUUAGGUGGAUUGUUUUGAGAUUUACCCAACUUCUCAACAAUGCUUUUUAAGAAGCAUAUAAACCAAUAUAAAAUAUAACAAAAUUAAUUUAUAAUCAGAGCAUUAUUAAGGUGAUGGUUCAUCUAAGCAUAAUAAACAGCACAGAAUCAUAACACUACAAGCCUUGAUUAUUAGCAUUUCAGUAUCAUGUCAAAUGAAAGUUUUACCUUCCUUUGAAAUAACAACCGCAAGCUAACAAGAUGAGCCUAUCUGAACAGAGUCCUAAAGGUACGGAGCCACCAUUAAGAAGACUCUGCUUUCAUAUCGAACCAGAACCCUCAGCCAACCCUCUGAAAUUAUCUUAGAUCACAAAGGAGUGGAUGGGGAGAGAAACGUGGUGAAGGCAUUCCUUCAGAUAACCAAAGCCCAGAUCAUAUUGAGAUUUUAAAGCCAUAGUCAGUAUUUUGAAUUGUACCCAGACACUAACCGGUUACAACAGGUGUAACUGGGGAAAAGCUUCUCUGCACCAUUUGCAUACCAAACAUUAAGCCAAGUUUAUCAGCACUCCUAGGCAGCAAACCUGCUCCUUUAGGGAUGUGUGAUCCCACCUGGAGCAGCACAUUAACUUACUCCGAAACUGAUUGGCCCACCUACAAUCAGCACUCAUCCAGACCACUGCUAAUUCUAGAUAACUGUUCACAGAUUUCUCUGCUUUGCUUGUUGUCUACAAAAAGUCAAAACAUAAGUAGCAGAAGAUGUGCGGUAAUUUUACUGAACACUGUGUAUUGAAAACAUACUGAUCUUUAUUUCAGCUGAGCGCUGACCAUUUCGGAUACCUGUGGCUAUGUGAGCUAACAGGAACAUGAUAAUGGUUUCACACCAAGAUGCAAAAUAUCUGCUAACAUUAAAUAAGAUAUUUUAGAGGAGAAAACCAAUCUCCAUGUCUGGCAUGGUGCCACGUCCUUCAGUCUGAAUGUCUAUGGGACAUAUGUACAGAAUGCAUCUUCCCCCAAGCCUGCCUUUUGAGAUCAUCUUUGAUGAAUUUUCUACUACAGGUGUUUACAGAUGGAAAAAUGCACCAGAAGUCACUUUGUUGAUUUGGAUAGGGGGCUGCUUCAUUUCAGAAAAGACGCUGUUUGCUUCAGAUCCAAGGUUAAACCUCAAUUUGAUUCAGUUUUUGAAUCUUUGGGUGUCUCCCAGUUGAUAGUGAUUGGGAACUGGCUAUAAUCUUCCUUUAAAUGGCUUAAUUCGCUGAGAGGGAAGAAUGGACCCAAAAUUAGACAUAUGGCAGUAUGGUUUGAGGGUGUCUGAAAAUAAUCUUUAAAGUUUAAACUAUUUUUAAGGAGAUGCCGAUAACUUGUUUAUUUUUUUAGUGGAAACGGGAGGAAAUUGCAGACAUAGUAGUCCUUUCUGAGUGGGUGAAGCCAAUCCAAUUUCAGAAAAGUAAGUACAGAUUUCUUUUCUGAAAAGAGAUUUCAAAUGUUAAGGCUUUUUAUUUGUUUAGGGAAUAGACUAACUUUUUUAAAAAAUAUUUUUUGUUGAACUGGAUUACAUUUGCAAGUAUAGCAGACCCUUUGGAGGAAAUGAAGCAUGUCAAAUUUAGGAGUGAUAGGUGCAUUUCAAGUUGAUCUGAGGGAGCGAACUUACCUUGUUACGCUUAUCUUUACACAUAAACUGCCUUGGGGACAACAGAAGCUUUGCCAGGCAAUUGAUGAAUGGCACUUUAUUGAAAAAUAAAAGUAUAUACUAAUGUGGUGCCUGUGCACACUAUAAUACCAUGACUGUGUUUUUGUGCACAUGGAAUCGAGAGAGAGAUACACUAAACAAGGAACACAGGCAAAGAAUCAAACUGAUAUUAUACAAUUACUCAGAGGCACACAGGCAUACAAAUAUUUAACUUAAAUAAAAUGCAAGCAGAGCCAGAACGUGUGUGUGUGUGUGUGUGUAGGAAAGUCAGUUACCUAACAGUUUAUUCAGAAGAGACACAAAGGGAUUGACUUUUAUGAAAGAAUGUGGGCUGUGAUCUGCUAACCCCUCCCAUCAGUGCAAGGAUUUCUGCUUGUUCAACAAGACUUCCCUCCCCGCACCCUCCCCAAUUGUGCUCCAGAGGGUUGAAGGAACCCCCUGAACAGAUUUUUGGGGGGUGUAGGGUAAGGAAAGGGGGAGAAUAAGAUCACACAGGGAAAGCAGCCAGCACUGGCUUCAGAAUUCUUUUAGUGCUACUGUCCCUGAGAAAAUCAACUUGCAGCUUGCAACAGAGUACUGAAAACAGCAGAGCAGCUUUUGACAUCUUGCUUCAACAUUGCUCCCAAAGUCCUAUGAUUGGAGAACCCUUGUAAAGUCAUUCCCUGGUUGGAAGCUGUCAGUGCAUGGAAACUGCAAGCCCUUCCUCCCCACCCCUCCAGCACUCUCCUUCUCUCAUAGGCAACUGAAAACAAUUUCAGCUAUCAAAUACUCUGCUCUUAGAGCAGGCAGUACUUGAGAAGUCUCAGGAUUCUGCCAUAUCCAGAACUUGAAGUCUACUCAGAUGAAGAGCAAGGGGAGCAGGGCUCUCCAGCAGAUUUCCACAGUGCCAGUGACUCUGAGGAGCAACCAGACCUUGCUAUCUCUGCCAUAGGUCUUCAGGUUCCCACACCAGAUACCUGGCUUCCUAGUCAGCUCUCAGACUGCCCUGUCUUCUCCAAGGCCAGAGAAGCAAAGGAGAUGUCGAGCCAGGCCAAAGUGCCCAGCUAGCUGCACGUGAGGCUAUGAGUCAGGGGGAGUCCAUGGAAACGCUUGUCCAGAUCAGGGCCUGACUGAGAGCUAGGGAGUGAGGCUCCAGCCCCUGUGUAAACGGUCAGUCUGAGCUGCUUCACUGCUGAAACAACCACUCUCCUCCUUCCUGGCUCAGGAAAAUAGGUAGCUAGAGGGGCAAAUGGUUUGAUGCAACUUCAUUAUCAAAGGCAGUCUCAGUAAGAGCUAAGCGAUGGCUAGUGCACCCCACAAUAGUUGCUGGGCAGUCUUAUGAAAAGGCUAAUAAUAACAACCUUAAUGAGCCUUGAAGCGAGACAGUUCUAUUACCCUUUGCAAAAUGCACAGCUUUCAGUCCAUUUGGGGAACCUUUGAGAAAGUACAUCACCACUAUUAUUUCUAACUUCAAUCCUAGUCAGAUACAUUAUAUGCAUGCUUCUAUGGAUGAAAUUCAAAAGAAGUUACAAGUAUUCUUGACAGUUGACAGUGUCUAUGAAAAUCAUCCUUAUAACUAAAAGAGGCAAAUAUGGAUUUAUUUAAUUAGAAAAAAAAAUCUCUGGAUGUGAAGAAUAAUGUUUCAAAGAGAUACUUAAUAUAAGCAGAAAUGACUUUUCCUUCAUGGAAAAUUAAGUUUUUUCCCCCUUUCUAUUAGCAUUUCAAUUGAAAACAUUUCCACUCAUUUCCUUCUUAAUGGAAGUAUAUAAAUAGCAAUAGCCAUUAAGUACUGCAUUUUUCGAAAAGAUUUUUUUUUUUUACAUUAAGAGCCUUAAUAAAGUCUCAGAGGAGCAGCACAAACAGUGUACAAAUGAAACAACUAAUUUCAAUCUCAUUUAAUAUAUAUUGAUUUUGUAAGGAUUUGUUUUUAUACCUGUUUUAAGCCUUUAGCGUAGUUUUCCAGGUGGUGGUCGCCUUAAAUAAUAAUAAAAAAAUCCAGAGAGGAUUACAAUUUCAUAUGCACAUCUGCAUUAGGAGGAUUUUCCAAAAGGCUUAAAGUUUGGAACAUUAUGAGCAAUCAGGAGACUUUGAAUUCACUGAGACACCUUUGAAAAUGUUGUUCCAUAGAAUAGGUCUCUAUAGGAGAGUUCCAUUCUGGAACUAAAUGUUUCAAAUUUCUGCUAGAAAUGCUCUUCUCACAAAAGUUAAUUGUGAAAUCUUCUAUGGCUUAGUUUGUGCUUUCCAGCCUCAGGAGCCUGUUCCCGAGUUGUUGUGAAUGACUAGAACACAGAAGCUGGGGAAAAUGAAAUGGUAACAACAGUGUGGAAGAAAAUAUAUAUAUUCUGGUAGUAACUUUGGCUCACUUCGCCUCACAAUCUUAUUCCGAUCAGGUCCUGAAGUCACUUCCCUAAUAACUUGGUUGUUCUGGGGAAGCAGAGCUACUUCAUCAUCAACUGGUCUGUCUUGUGUUAUAGCUGUGACCACACUGAGUGACAUAUAGGAAGCUCUUUAUAAGUGGGGUAACGAAUAAAUGUACUUGGCCGGCUCCCAACCAGUCUCAGAGAGAACUUUUGACUAACUGAACACAAGGCUUCUUAUAAGACUCCUGGGCUGAUUAAGGAUGCCCCUUUGUCAAUGGCAUGUUGUCACUUCCAGCCAAGCCUGAAGACAACCCGUUGGCCAGUUCUCCAACUGCACUUCCCAUGUAGUGUGAUCUGAACUGUGGGUGACGCGAGCUCUCUCUUUUGCUGCUGGCCUAAGCAAUAGGCUAGUAGCCCUCUCCAGCAUGGUCAAACUAAGAUCACAUAUUACACAUGGAGAACAAAAUGAUCACAUUAUAUUUGGUGCCAGUGAAAGUAAGAAGACUGAUUAUGAAUGAAUGGCAUAUAGAAAGAACAGUUUCUGGCUUCUAGCAAAACAUUUUGCUUCUGGACUCACGAACAAUAGAGAGAGGAUAUUUAUUUUAGAUACACAGUGAGGGGGGGGGGAGAGAGAAUAUCUGCUCCUUCUUUAUAACUUACAUCUUUGACAAAUAGCUGCUCAAGAAAAAAAAGGUGUGAGAAAAAUGGCCAUAAAAGGAGGGAAAGGGUAUGCCUGAAAUACUGGAAGAAGUCCCAAGAUGCUGAGUGGAAUUUUUAUUUAAUAAAACACCAAUGUUAGAACAACAUAUUUAUCAGUUCAGAUGGGGGGAAAUGUCUAAAUGCACUACAGGGAGAAAAAGGGAAAAUAAUGGGAAAUCAAGUUAACCACCUUUUAUGUGAAAGAAAAGUAUAAUCAGACUAUUUCUGCAAUGAAUCUGUGCUACUCUAAAGCCAUCUGUACUAUCAUUCACACACACACACACACACACACAGAGAGAGAGAGAGAGAGAGAGUACAAAAGAUAGAAAGAAAAACCCUGUUUUGCUUUACUUUUAUUCGGUUCAGUAGUGCUGGCAUCCUCCAAAGACGAACAUACAGCAUUGAUAAAUUAUUUCUUCUCGUCAUGUUAUCCCUUUGCCAAGCUAUCUUCUUGCCCUUGACCUCUCCAAGGUCUUUGGUUGGGUGACCCUUCGUACGUGUUCUGCAGGAGGCAUUCAACCCAGUAGGUUACAACCAAGCACCCCAUGCUUAAGUUUUGUCACUCUAGUUCUGAGAGUCCAGGAACUUUAAUGAGGAUGAUACAGAUAUAUUACUGUGCGUAUGCAAAAACACACAGACAUACCUACACUGUGGUGCUGCAUUGGAAAGGAAGAUUGGUAGGGAUGGGCAAGCUUUGUUUCAGGGACAUUACCCUACCAUUACUGAAGUUUUCGUAAGUUUUCAAGGAGCCUGAGGUUUUGCCCAGAACAAAGUCUGAAAAAUGUUAUCAACAGAGGUCAAUAGUCAUCCUUGUUUUUCUCUUUUUAGAAAGUAAGUAGAUCUGUGCCUUUGGUAUGCCUAAACCAAUUUAUAGAUCCAUUGAAUUAAUUGUUCAGAGUUACGCAAUGUAGAACAAGUGAGUUAAACAGAGAUAUGGGUGUUCCUAAGUAAUAAUCAUACGCCGUAUGGUCUAUAAAGAUGGCAGCACAAUCUCCACCCCCACUUUUUCUAAGUGGCAUCUCGGAUAUGCAAGAUACCUAGGAGCUUGCUGCAAGCUUCAAUUUCUUCCCUCUAAAGAGUCAUUGAGUAAUUUCCCAAAGAUUAAGACAAACUCAGGGCUAUUGCAAGGAGGGUCUGAUUUAGAAUUGAUUUAACACCAUGUGUACUGAAACUGUAGAUGUGCUCCUUCAUACACAUCUACAGUUUCAAUACAUCUCCAAUCUCUUUCACAGCACAAUCCUAAAUGUACAGGUCUUCCACAAGUCUCAUUGUAUUCUAUGGAGCUCCCCCCCCACCAGGUGAAUGUGUAUAGCAGGGAUGGGGAACCUGUAACCCUUCAGAUGUUGUUGGGCUCCGUUCCUACCAGCCCCAGCCAGUAAGGCCAAUGGUUAGGGAUCAAGGGAGAUGGAGCCCAACAACAUCUGUAAAACCACAGGUGUCCCUCCCCCCAGGUGUCUAGGAUUAUAGCCUGAAUUUCUUCUAAAAGCAUGCGCAGGAAGCCCUGAAUUGGUUUGGAGCACUAGAAUCGGGGGGGGGGCACAUGUUCUUUCUCUCACUAUCUUUAUCUAUAUAUGAAAUAUACGGCUCUUUAUCUUGAUAUGAAAUUUAUACACCGCAGUUCAAAGGCCGAUCUGCCAAUCAUCUAAAACAAGAAUACGGUAGAAACAUACCGCAUAAUAUAAAGGUAAUGGUUCCUUUCCCCUGUUAUACUGUGAUCCAGUUCACUCUUACCCAUUCCCCACUGAAUACAGUAGAACACACUUUUGAUCUGAAGGAAUAUGAAUUGGACUGCAUGCCACUUUUAAAGCAUUUUGAAGUAUGGAGUUUCAUAACAAUAAUGAAUGAAUGAAUGCUCUAAAUGUAUUUAUUGUAUUUAUUGUAUUUUUAUUCAGUAUUUUUCUCUAAAGAGGCCAGAAAAGCGCACACUAUUCUCUCCUCUGCCUUUCACCUUCACAAUAAUAAGCAGGUUUUGCCGAGAGAUCAGUGGCGGCUCAUAACAUUUUGACUUGGCAGGGCUGCAAUUUUUAACCUUGCUGUUUUUGUCACGUGUACAGCACUUGUUUAGGAAACUGCGUCAUUACACAUGUAAUGUCCCCUUCUUUUUCAAAAAGGAAAAAAAAAGUCAGUUAUUCUCUGUACAUCUAUGGAUAAGGGGAAAGCUCUUUUUCUGCUUAGAGACACAUGGGCGGGACCUUUUUGCUACAGCUGUAUUUUGGGAUUUGGAUUGGCAGAGUGGCGCAGAGAGCUGAUUGGUCAGAGAACAGGAGAUUGAUAUAAAUGUCUCUGUAAUUCAAAGGAACUAUAAAAUGUUUGGUGUGAAAGAGUGUACAGUGGUGCCUCGCAAGACGAAAUUAAUUCGUUCCGCGAGUUUUGUCGUCUUGCGAUUUUUUUCGUCUUGCGAAGCACGGUGUCGGGAAAGUUUUGGAAAAGCUUCAAAUAUCACCAAAGUCUUUAAAAACCUCAAAAAAGGCUACCACACCGCGUUCUAUGAGUUGCUCCUCGAAGUCAAGUCGCAACUGUAUUAACGGUGUUAAGAAAAAGGAAACAAACUUGCAAGAUGUUUCCGUCUUGCGAAGCAAGCCCAUAGGGAAAAUCGUCUUGCAAGGCAGCUCAAAAAACAAAAAACCCUUUCGUCUAGCGAGUUUUUUGUCUUGCGAGGCAUUCGUCUUUCGAGGUACCACUGUAUGGCUUUGAGAUUUGGGGGAAGAUCUCCCCCCCUCCAAAAAAAAAUAUGUUUGAGAUUUUCUGUGGGAAGGCUGUGUUCCAGUGGAACAGUCUUUACUGUGAGAAAUACUGUGAAUUUCACUGGCCCAAAUCCACACAGUGAGAUUCAGGGCUGAGUAAGAUUUGGAACAAGGUAUACCUGAUCAUCGUGCCACUAGCAGUCACCUCGGCGCUUUAUGUGACAAUAAUAAUUGCAUUAAUAUCUAAAGCUGAGGAUAGAUGUAUUCCUAAGAGCAAUACUGGAUCCAUUAGACUUAGUAGAAAAACAGGAUAGAAAUAAUUAAAUGUGUCCCAUCUUAUGCUGAUGUUGUGGUAUGUUGGUUUGUAACUGCAAAGUAUAGCUUGAGUAGCUUUGGUGAGAUAUAUGGCACACAUGUACAGGAAGGAAAAUGAUAGGUAGUUGUAACAAAAUAUUUCCAAAAGGCUGAGUAUCAUUCAGCAAUCCCAGGACUGUGAACGCAGCUACAUUAGUAAAAAUAAAACGUUAUGAAUGUGUUAUAACACUGUGACACCAGAUGGCAAUGUAGAGCUGAAAUCGGAACUCUAUGAAAUUUUCCAUAGUGAGCUUUAAAAUGUUUUUUUCCAGAGCAUUUUCACAGUGUUUUUAUAACCGUGUAGAUGCAGCCUGUGUGCAACUAAAAAUUAUGUACGUUCAGACGAAUAUUUUCCCAUCUUUUAUGAAGUGAUUGCCCCUCUUUUCCCCCUCCCUCCUUCUGCCAUGAUUUAUUUCCCUCAUAUUCUCCACCUACUCUUAAAAGAAAAAGGAAUAGAUAAAACUAAAAACUGCAGGUGUGCUCCCAAGCCAUGUGUCCUCCAUGAUUAGCACACCUUAGGAUUUACACACCCUGGCAUGGGGCAGGUGGCGUCUCAGCCCAGACCACGUUAUUAUGCACGACUGCAUGGAGAACAACCAAGAGAGAAGGUGGUUUGUAAGAAGGUGAGAGGUGUCAGGAAAAUCAAUAAAUGCUCUAUGUGACGGCCUGUAAAACCAGCAUAACCUAUUAAAACACUGCAAGUUAGGGCAGCCCUAGGCACCAAUAACUCAUGCUUGGCAGACUAUGAACUUCUAUGUCUCCGAUUAUAACCUUUGUCAGCAGCCUCAGGAAUGCACAGGGAGCCAUUUAUACCUGGCAAAACGGACUAUUUGGAGAGUGAACAGAGGUCAGCACUCUUUAUGGGAAACCAGGUUGUGUUCAGGGGUAUUCUGUAACCCUUUAUAAGCAUUUAACUGUGUCCCUUGCCACCUGCCUCCACCCAUUCUUCACAACUGCUAUAUUUUCUAAUACAUCGUAUAAACAUUUCCCCUUAUUCUUGCAUGUGCUUCAUUUCCUUGUGUAUAUAAUAUAUUUAGACUUAGACACAUGAACCCAUAAAAUCAAUGCUUUGCAUAUCCCUUUCGAUCUUCCCACUCCCUAUUUUUUCAUUUCAGAUUUCUGUUUUCUCUCAUUUUCUUUAUCUCUUCGCCCUCAGAAGUACUGCUUUCAUGCUAUUCCCCUUCCUCCUUCUACUCUGACAAAAGGAGAUUAGAACUGCUGUAAACAUUACACAGAAUGAGCAGGUACAGCAAGGAGGCUGGUGUGACAAGUCUCGGCUGUACUACUUUAGAUUGUCUUAUUGUUGAAUGCUCCCCAUGCCUUGCUUUGUUUUAGGGAACAAUCCCAUACAAGCAAGACGGUGUGAGUUAAGCUGCCAUAACGUACACCAGAUCCAAACACUGUUCAGCAGCACUGAGCUGGCCUAAGCCUGGAAGUGUUGAGUGGGGAGAAAGUUUCUAAAAUAGUGUUUCAUCUACGCAGCCCUUUUUGCUGGGCUGGUCACAUGACUAGGUUGAACAGUCUUAGGAUCAAUCUUAAUUUGCCCCAUCUCUGCCCACCCCCCACCAACUCCAGUAUGUUCCUUUAUCUGGUCUUACUCUGGCUUAAAAUCCCUGGGUUCAGUGAGCCAAGAAGGGGGAGAUACAUGGGCAUAUAUCCAUCUGAAGGUGACAUAGGCAAGUUUCACGAGGAGCGUGCUAGAUCAUCCAGGCAUCCACGAUAUCCCAACCUGCUCAUCCCAGAAGAUCCUGCUAUAGAAUUGCUCUCUUAAACACUCUCUGUGUGACAAACUAGCACACAAGAUUAGUCGGUCCUAGCUCCUGCCAACCUAGCAGUUCGAAAGCACACCAAAAAGUGCAAGUAGAUAAAUAGGUACCACUCAGGCGGGAAGGUAAACGGCAUUUCCAUGCACUGCUCUGGUUCGCUAGAAGCGGCUUAGUCAUGCUGGUCACAUGACCCAGAAAAAUUGUCUGCGGACAAACAUCGGCUCCCUCAGCCAGUAAAGCGAGAUGAGUGCUGCAACCCCAGACUGUCAGGGGUCCUUUACCUUUACCUUUUUAGGUGGCUUAACAUAGCCAUCUCCCCAAUGUGAUAUGCUAAGGUCUGUUGAAAAUUCUAUUGGAAAUGGAAAUGGGUCCAGAAAUUGCCCCAAUCCCUGCCAGGAACAGAAACAUGGGUGCGAGCAGAAUUCACUAUUAUUAGUCUUUUUUGUCCACAAAUGUUGUAUUACUAAUUGCAUUAUUUUCUGCUUUGUUUUUUAUGUUUUCCUUCCAUGGAAAUACAUUACACAAUUCAUUACAUAAUUAAUUCAGCCAUGGCGGAUAGUAAGACAAAUAACCUAGCUUUUAGUGGAAACCAAACUGUAGCAGAACAGAGACAUAAAGGGAAAAGUGGCAACAUCACCCUCCAUCCUUGUGAUAACAAUUAUUUUCUGCAAUGUGACACUACAAUAGUGUAGUCCUGCACCCCAAACUCCGAGUGGUGUGAGAUUCCUGGAGUUCCAAGCUCUUACCCAGGGUUCGUGUUUCCUUUUAGAAAUGAGGCACAGCAGAGACUGUGGUGUCUUCAUAAUAUAUGGUUUAUUUCCACAUAUAUACAAUCUGAGUCUAUCAUGGAGGGUCUUGUUACUCCCACAGCCACAGCCUUGGAUUCAAACAGAAAUCAGCUAUGGCUCUCUCUAAGACUUUACCUGUACUCUAUAAAGGAUCGGGAGAAGACCCCAAAUAUCUCUCUACUUUUCAUUUAGGUCACAGGACUAUGGGACUUACAUCUGAGUAGACACAUAUAGAAUUGCGUCCUUGGAAUGCAAUUAAAAUGGAUUCAGUAUAUAUAAACAAAUGCAUUUUCUCAUUUGGAACCUUCUGCAUUUUGUUCCUUUUAAUCUUUUCUGCUUGUUAAUUUCUUUCUUUCUUUAAUGUUCUUCAUGAUAGCAUUAGGGAUCCUUUUACAAGGAAAUACAUUUGACCCAGGUUAAGUAAUAAUGGAGCUCAGUGUUCUUCAUAACUUUUUAAUAUCAGUUAUUCUGUAAUCAAUUUAAUUUUAAUGACUGAAGUUACAGUUACAUAAACUUAAGGCAAUAAUAUGAUUAGCUGAAAUUUUAAGUAAAUUACCCAGACAUUUGCAACCGCAAGACAGCUGUGAAAUAAGUUGAUUUAACUAAUUCAGAUGAUUUAGCUCAUCAGCCAUUUGAAUAUUUGCAGGGAACUAAAAUCUGUUUAUAAAAACAGUAUGAAGCUUCGCCCCACCCUUCUUCAAGAUGUUAGAAUGAGAAGAGAAAACCUUCUGCUCCUAUCCAUUCUCCAGGGCAGCCAGAUGCUUCUGUCCCUAAUAGUUGUACACUAGAUGGAAAUUCGGCAGGUGCAGCUCUCAUGCAAGCUACACCUGCUCAAGUUCCAUCUUCUGCACAACUAUUAAAGGGGCAGGAGCCCUGUUGUCUUUUUCAUCUGGGCACCCCUAAAUUCCGAUGGUCUCUUACAAACCAUUUGCUCUAACAUCAGAUGCUUUUGCCUGCUCAGGUAAGAUCAGUUGUUGCUAGAGCAAAUUGAUCCAAGUCUCUUUUUAAACACACAAACAAACAAAUUAGAGAACACCUGAAGAGGCUAGGCUGGUGUAAAAGGGCACCUGAUACUCUUACCUGCCCCUCUGUUUCCAAGUGAGCAUGGGGCAGUAAGCCAAGUAAUUCUACAUUGCCUAUAAUUCAGAAUGCUGAUGGCUAGGAGCUCAUUCACCUCCUUUAAAUUUUGCAGGACUUAAUCCAUGCAAUGGAAUAUUUGAACUGAGAAAGGUCCUCAUUAAAUCUGGCAAUUAUUUUCUGCUUCAUCAGUCAAUUAGUUGCCCGUUUUUAUUUUAUUUUUUGAUAUCUGUUAACUGGGCAGGACAUGCAGAGAUUUCUGGGUCCAGGAAUAGAGUUCAAAGUGAGUUCACAGAGUCCAUACAUUUCAAUGGUCCUGGGGGACAAAAGGUGCCAUCCAAUGGCAUCAGCACACUUGUACGUUUCCUGAACCCAUGGGAUGCUACAUGGUGUCCGAAGUGGACCUGCAGCUUCAGUGAGCCAAAAAUAUUUCUAGCAAAGUGUUUGCUGGAAGCUGCAAAAUGAAUUUCUUCAAGCCAUCUGAGAUGAGGGUGACAGGAGAUUUGAGAGAGGGCAGGAUGGAGUGGGAGCAAAAUCUUCUUCUGUACUUCGCUAUAUCCAGAGCAAACAACAAUCUUCUGUAUCCAGAAGAUUAUAGGGUUGCAAUUAUUUUGCACUACAUUGGUGAGAAGGCACUAGAUACCCACAACAACAUGCAAAAUGUGUGUGCAGUUCCAACCAAAAAACAAACAAACAAAAAACCCUUGCUAGAAGCCUUCAAAGAUUUCAGACAGUAUUGUGAGCCUAAGAAACACCCAGUGUUUAAAUGCUGUCAGUUUUAGCAAGUCAGAAUAGCAGACAGGAAUUGUUACCUGGGCGAGAGUAAGGAUCCAGCUAGUUCCCAGUUAUCUAAGGAGGAAGCUACAUCCAGUGAGGGAAUGUCACACACGCCACAACAAACAUAUGGUGUCAUAAAAUGGAGACAGUCAGUUUGAAUCAUAGAAUCAUAGAAUCAUAGAGUUGGAAGAGACUAGUUUGUUUCAAUACAAAUGCAUACAAGAAUAAUGAAGUGAAAAAACGUACAAGCAUAAUUAUCACUUAAAAAAAAAAGAACACACACAUAGCAACUCCACCCGACGAUCUCAGAUGCAUUUUCUGUUGACUUUUAAGUUAUGUGUAAUGUUGUCUUUCUAUAUUUUAACUUAGUAAUAGUUGUGAAUAACCCUAUUUUACACUUGUUUAGUGUGUCAGGAACAUUAUUAACUUGCUGACAAAGGAACAUUGCACACAGUUCCUUCUAAUUAUUUAAUCUAUUCCCAAGUCAUGAAACAAGAAAUCUCACCUAUUCCUUACAUAAUUGGAAUGCUGAAAUAUUGUAGGAAUCAUUUGGGGAGGUCAGAUAUGUAUACAUAGCUGAAGUUUUUGAUUCCUCGCAGAAGAAAUGCAUGUUGCAAAAGGAAAGAGUAGUCAGUCAUUCAGGUAACUUCUCCCUUAGUCUCCUCCUGGUUUGAAGCUUUUUUAAAAAUAUGUGGCAGUCAGUUUGUGAGGAGAUUCAGAUCAACCAUGUUGUUUGGUCCACCAUGACCUAACAUGGUAGUGGUCAGGGAUGAGCAGACGGCUUAUGAAGAAGAGGACUUUCUGUUUUGAACUUUUUGCUCCUCUGGUUUUGGCAUCAGUUUAAAAGGUGACAAAUGGAGGGGUGCACUUAGAACUCAUCUAAGAGCCAGUGUGGUGUGGUUAAGAGCAGUGGACUCGUAAUCUGGUGAACUGGGUUCACUUCCCUGCUCCUCCACAUGCAGCUGCUGGGUGACCUUGGGCCAGUCACGCUUCUCUGAAGUCUCUCAGCCUCACUCACCUCACAGAGUGUUGUUUGUUGUGGGGGAGAAAGGGAAAGUAGAUGGAUAGCUGCUUUGAGACUCCUUAAGGGAGUGAAAGGCGGGAUAUCAAGUCCAAACUCUUCUUCUUCAUCAUCUACACUCAAGCUUUUAAAUGCUAAAAAUGAGUUUUAAAAAGGAGUUUAUGAUAAUCAUAGCCAUGUGACAUUCUUUUAAAACGUUCUUAAUGUGUUACUAAAAAGUGACACCAUGCCAGAGGGUGCGACAGAGCUCUCUCCCUGUCAAAUAAGUGGGUAGGCAUUGUAGGAAAGGAAGCGAAAGAGAAAUCAAAUGCGUUUACAUUUUAGAAUGGUAUCAAAAACAUCGUUCUAAGGACGUUUAAAGAGUGAGUAUAGAUCUAGCCUGAGUUGACCUAGUCAGACUAGCCAUCUAGCUCAUGCCCGACUGGAGCACAUCAGCUGGUGAAAAAAAUCAUGUUAAGCCCAGUGAUGAGCACCCAAACUCCUUCUUCAUCCCUUCAUUCACCAGCCAAAAGUAAACAAGAAACCAGGAAGCAGUAAUUCUAGCAGCACUUUUCUUCUUUGGCAUUUUAAGGGUGGUUUGCCCAGGAUAUCAUACUUUUUAAGUUCAGGGAUGCGGGUGGCGCUGUGGGUAAAACCUCAGCGCCUAGAACUUGCCGAUCGUAUGGUCGGCAGUUCGAUUCCCCGCGGCGGGGUGAGCUCCCAUCGUUCGGUCCCAGCUCCUGCCCACCUAGCAGUUCGAAAGCACCCUUAAGUGCAAGUAGAUAAAUAGGUACAGCUUUAUAGCGUGCUACGCUGGUGCUGGCUCGCCAGAGCAGCUUCAUCACGCUGGCCAUGUGACCCGGAAGUGUCUUCGGACAGCGCUGGCCCCCGGCCUCUUAAGCGAGAUGGGCGCGCAACCCCAGAGUCGGACAUAACUGGUCCGUACGGGCAGGGGUACCUUUACCUUUACCUUUAAGUUUUAAGAAGAGCAGAUUUCCUGCACAUUCCAGGGAGAUCUGAUUAUUAAUAAAAAUGACCCUAAUUUACUCCAACUACUGUUUGAUCUAUUUCCCACCUCCAUCCACAAAGCAAGAGCCAACAAGCAUUUUGGAUUAUGCUUACUGACUAUGCGGCCAUCACAACCUGCUUACAUACAGUACCUUCCAACAUGCUUCCUAGAUUUCCAACACUUCAAAGAUGAAAACAAGGUCAUACCUGUGAGCUUUAUUCUUACAGUAUGGAUUACUGUCUAACCCCCCUCCCUAUUGAAAGUUAUCCUCUGCCAGCUAACUAUAGCCUAUUUGACAAGCAUCAUUUGGCAAUUUAAAUUCCGCCUCACUAGCUGUUGUUGUUGUUUAGUCGUUUAGUCGUGUCCGACUCUUCAUGACCCCAUGGUCCAGAGCACACCAGGCACUCCUGUCUUCCACUGCCUCCCGCAGUUUGGUCAAACUCACGUUGGUAGCUUCGAGAACACUGUCCAACCAUCUUGUCUUCUGUCGUCCCCUUCUCCUUCUGCCCUCCAUCUUUCCCAACAUCAGGGUCUUUUCCAGGGAGCCUUCUCUUCUCAUGAGGGGGGCAAAGUAUUGGAGUCUCAGCUUCAGGAUCUGUCCUUCCAGUGAGCACUCAGGGCUGAUUUCCUUCAGAAUGGAGAGGUUGGAUCUUCUUGCAGUCCAUGGGACUCUCCAGAGUCUCCUCCAGCACCAUAAUUCAAAAGCAUCAAUUCUUAGGUGAUCAGCCUUCUUUAUGGUCCAGCUUUCACUUCCAUACAUCACUACUGGGAAAAUCAUAACUUUAACUAUACGGACCUUUGUCAGCAAGGUGAUGUCUCUGCUUUUUAAGAUGCUGUCUAGGUUUGUCAUCGCUUUUCUCCCAAGAAGCAGGCAUUUUUUAACUUUGUGACUGCUGUCACCAUCUGCAGUGAUCAUGGAACCCAAGAAAGUAAAAUCUCUCACUGCAUCCAUUUCUUUCCCUUCUAUUUGCCAGGAGGUGAUGGGACCAGUGGCCAUGAUAUUUGUUUUUUGAUGCUGAGCUUCAGACCAGGAUAUGAAAGAGUAGAAUGUACGCUAUAUGGUGCAUUAGUUGUGUGCAUAUGAAUUUACAUGCAUGCACCUCCUCAUAUUCAGAAACUGAAUUUCUGUAGAGCAAGGGUCAGGGGGUCUUAAAACUGGAAGAAUGGCAACUGUAGGGACCUGCAUCCAUUUUUUUAAGCAAUUGGCUUUUAAAAAAGAAAGGAGUCAUGGCUCAGAGGUAAAACACCCGCUUUUCAUGUGAAGGUGACAAGCACAAUCUUUGGCAUCUCCUGUUAAAAGGAUCAGUUAAUGCAAAAGGCCUUCUUGCCUGAAGCACUGGAUAUCUGCUGCCAGUCAAAACAGACAAAUAAUCUAACCUGGUAAUGCUGUUUCCUAUUUGCAGUAAAAUCAAAAUAGGCUAUAUAUGGUGGUGCUUUUUCAGGGAUGAGUAUCAAAAACAGUAGGAAUGAGGGAGAAUUUGGUUUGGCUCACAUUUUAAUGUGGAUCUACCUAAUUCACACUUCCUGUGAACCAAAACAAAAUGCUUAUAUUGGGGGAAGACUUGAGUGCAUGAAAUAAGGCCAUCUGUGCACAUUUUACUCAUAGUACUGUACCUUAAUAAUAGUAAGAAUUACAUACAAAAAUACCGUAUUUUUCACCCCAUAGGACGCACCGCCCCAUAGGACGCACCUAGUUUUUUUGGGGGGGGAAUAAAGAAAAAAAAAUUAUUUCCCCCCCCAGGCAUGGGGCUGGCACGGGGGAAGCCUGAGCUUCCCCCGACCCCAGCCCCGAGAACAGCCUGCUAUCCGCAAGCCUAGGGAGCCCGGCGAGAAGUCGCGCCGGUCUCCCCAGGCUUGCAGAGAGCUGCGCGAAGCCCGGGCGCGCUCUUCAGCGCGCCCCAGGCUUCAGAAUGCAGGCAGCUCUGCGCAACCCUCGGGAGACCGGCGCGACAUAAACACAAAUGAAAGUAUGCACAUCUUACUGGGUUGCCCCAGUCACUCUGGGCAGCUACCAACAGAUAUAAAAGCAUAAUAAAACAUUAAACAUUUUUAAAACAUUCCACUAUCAAAGCUACAGUGGCGAGGUAGAAAUUUGGGGAUGCAGAUGAAGAAAAACAUUAUAUGCUAGAUCAGUGUUACCAACUCUUUGGGACUCGUGGGCACAAGUGAAAAUGGAAAAGAAUGUCAUGGGCAGCACCUAUUCUUGUGGCAUACCCAGAGUCUUCCAGAGUACCAUUGCACCCGGGGCACCACAGUGAUGAUCUCAGAGCUAGGUCCACCAGUCCCAGACUGAGCCAGCCCCACAAAUUCCCAAGUUCUAGCUCUUUGUUCCCCAUUUUUUCCAAUUUGUCAGAGUUCAUAAGUUCAGUCUAUGCUACAUUCUGAGUGCAGUUCCAUUUUUAAUUAUAAUUAUUUUUAAUUAAAAAUGUACAGUGACUUUGAAUGUUCUGUAAUAGUGUAUAUAUGCAGAAAUUAACAACAGAUUAGUUAUUAAUGUACUAGCUACAUGUCCAGUGCCUCCGUUUUUAUUUGUGUCAGAAAUAAAUAGAGAAUGGCCUGACUCUGACUCAACACCUGCAAUUUUUUUGUUCUGACUAAUAUGCUGUAUAUUUAUUACAUACAUUUCCAUCUGACCUUUCCCAUAACUUGAGGCAAUCUGCAAACAAGAUUCAACCAAGUAUACUUCAAGAUAAGCACAUGCUUACCUUUUCCAAUGAAAGCAGUGGGGCUUAACUUUAUCUGGCAGGUGCCCUGAUACACAGGUAAAAGCCCAAAAAGCCAUUCUCCAAAAGCAUUCUAUCAAAUCCAAAAAUACAAAACAGGUAUCUCAUAUUGGCAGUAAUAAAACCAAUAAACCAGCAGAUGAAAACAGACAGCAAUGCAGCCCUCUAACACAUCUUGGUCUUGUUUUAAUACAGUGGUACCUUGCGUUAAGAACUUAAUUCGUUCUGGAGGUCUGUUCUCAACCUGAAACUGUUCUUAACCUGAAGCACCACUUUAGCUAAUGGGGCCUCCCGCUGCCGUCACACGAUUUCUGUUCUCAUCCUGAGGUAAAGUUCUUAACCUGAGGUACUACCUCCGGGUUAGCGGAGUCUGUAACCCGAGGUAUUUGUAACCCGAGGUGUUUGUAACUCGAGGUACCACUGUAGAUGCAUUUUCUACUCAAGAGGAAACCCUGUGUGCACAUCAGAGUUGGACAGGAGCAUAGCUGUCAACUUUCAGAUUUGAAAAUAAGGGAUCAGCAGCCUCGAAAAUAAGAGAUCAGCAGCCUCACCUGUCCCGGGGACAGUCUAUGGGAUAUCUAACAAUCCGGGAUAGCAGCGGGAAGCAGUGGGAAACGGCGCUGGAAUAAGGGAAUUUCCCGCAAAAAAAAAGGGAAGGUUGACAGCUAUGCUUGGGAGGCCAAGGUUCAAACCUCUACUCAGCCAUAAAGCUCACUGGAUGGCAUUGGAACAAUGACUAUCUCAAGGGCUGGUUUGGUGUACGAGGCCUUGGGAGAGAGUAUGAGAUAAAAAUAUAAUUAAUAAUAAUCACAAGAAUGUUUGUGACCUCAGAAAUUCUGCUGCUGUAUAACUGGCGGGGGGGCAAUAUAUUUUUAAUGAGGAAAUACGGAAACAUAUAUAUUUAAAAAUGGCACACUAUUUGCAUGGUAUUGUCCCAUUCUUUUCGAGACAUAAAGAAUCACAAACUGCUCCCAGUCUACACACUGGUGUUGGCUCCUGGAUAAUUAGAGGCAUUCAUUUGCUGAACUUGUUGCAGCGGCAUCUAAUUUUGACUGUCCAAAAUAAGGAUAUAUUUGACAAUUAAUUGCAUUCUUAGAAGUAGUUUUACAAGCAAAAGUGAAUUCAUAUAAAUCAAAAGUAAAUCCAGGAUACAUUAACAGGUAGCUGAAGCGCUUCCUCUUAGUGUCCUGCAGUAGCUUUGGGCAGUUGGUAUAGCCUAAUUGGGAAAUAACUCUUAAUUUUAGGGUAAAUGUGUUGUUUAGUGUGCGGCCCCCGGUGAGCUUCUUCUGCCAAAACAGAUCUCCAGCCAUAAAAGAUAAAUGAAUCGCAGGCACAUGCUAAUUAAUUUGUCAUAUAUUUGUGCUAACAUUCUUCUGCAUAAAGCAAUAAGUCUUCAAGAGUCAAACUAGAAAAAAGAGACAAGGUCUUCAUUGUUUUGUUUCUUCUAAUUCAAGCCUCUUGGCGGGUUGCUGUUAUCCGUGGCCUUACACCAGCCAGGGCUGAUCUAGAUAAAGGAGACACUGAGCAACAGCUGCGUUUUGGCCAUUUCUGCCAGUCUUGCUAAUCCCUACUCAAACACAAUGGAUAAUCCCACAGUCCUCACACUCUGAAAAUGGCUAGUACAGUGGAACAUGGGGCCAAGUAGCUCCAGUAUUAUUUUUCCAGUAGGAAUGGUGACACCAUCUGCUGCUGCGUUGGUACUUGACAAUGUUGCAAGCCUGGGCUGGAGGGAAGGCACAGGAUGCCUCUGACUUAACAACAUGCUCGCCACUUGGCCACCCUUUGCCAACUCAUUAUUCUAUGACUGACUGUCAGCUGAUACAAAUGAAAUGGGUAUUCUGCUAUGUAUUACUGCAAUUUGGGAUCUAGUUGGCAAAUAUCUGUCUCGGGAGACAAUAGAGGAGUGCGCUUUUGGGGGUGAGGUCAAACUGUUGGAAGGUUGCAGCACCUGCUGUGGCUAUAGAGACAUGUUUUGUUGCAGCAGGGGCAGAUUAAGGUGCCUGUUUGUUUGUUUUUCCCUGCUGCAGGUACACUAUGGUGUUUCUUCUCUCUGUGCUCUUCUCAGCAGUCAUUCCUCCUCUGGUCACUGCUAUGGACACACAACUUGAUAUAUAUUCAUAUAAUGGAUCCAUACAUCUGCCAGCAUUGCUGGAUUUUUGAGGGCAGACUAUAGACUCUCUUUAGAGAUGUGACCAAGAGCUCCUGCACUUCAGACUUUGGCCACUGUCUCACUCCCGGAGCCCUGCUGUCUAUUACUGGACAGCAGUACUAGACAGCAGUUCUGAAAUUGGGAACUUAUCCUAGGACUGGAGGUGAAAUAGGCAAAAGAUGAUGUUCUAUUGACCUGGCAAGGGCAGUACAACAGGAUUCUGGUACUUAAACAAGUUUGACUAAUCCACAGGUUUUGUAUUACUUUCCAGUUAUUAGGACUAAUAUUAUUUCUUCCUGUUCUGUGACUGAAAUUCCAUUUCUAUGGUGUUUAGAAGAGGACUUAAUCUCUCUCUUGAGCAGUGUGGAUGGAAGUCCUGGGCUGCCCAGAGGACUAGACCCGCUUCUCAGCCUCGCUGAUGUGGUCCAAAUAGUACGAGAGCCUGAAGGGGACAUUGAGGUCCAAGCAGCCGCAGUCCUGGGUAGCUCACUAAGCUAAAUCCCAGGUUCAGCUCUUGUUCCAAACCAGAAAAUCCAUGAUGCUUCACUGAUUCACCAAUAGAGGUAGUUCACUUUCCCUUCAGAUUGUUGGCUAUAAACCAGCAGGGAAUUUAAAUCAUAUCACUUUUCAGCUACAAAGCUCUUUCAAGGCUGCCCUUGGUAUUUCCAAUAGAUAAGAAUUUCAGCCUAGAAAAUCUCUACCUGUCACCAUUUAUCAUGAUCACUUUAAUAGCAUCUCCUGUUGACCAGAUCAUCUGGUCUGCCUACUGCAAACCCUUUACUCUUCGCAGUCCAUUAAUUUUACAAAUUUUAAUUGUGUACAUUUUUGACAGCUUUAAUUUUCCUGAAAUCCUGGUGUGAUCUUAUAGUCAAGAGACAAGACUUCUAAUUGGUCCACAAAGUUUUCCUGUAGAUACUUUGAAACGAGAGAAAUAUCCAAAUUUGUGGAAUGAAUAAGGAUUAUAAAUGUUCAAGAUGGUUACAAAGAACACUCACUAGAUAUGGAUGCUUAUGGUGGGUUUAAGUGCCCUCCAGUAUAUUAUGGGCAAGGAGUGCCGUUUGCUCCACAAUUUGGAAAGGAUCUCCAUGGUUGGCAUCUAAUGGAAUAUUCUCAGAUCAGACCGUAGACAUGUAGAUUAGACCGCAUGUUUUCAAACAGGGCCAGAUUUAGGUUUGAUGGGGCCCUAAGCUGCUGAAGGUAAUGGGGCCCUUUAUAUGUCCAUCUGUCCUUUGUCAACAAAAAAAUUGUUGCUGUUUUUUGUGUUGAAUAUAUGCUAUAUGGUAAUUUAUGGACCUAAUAGGUAUCUAAAGCCAUUUGCACAUGCAGAAUGUAAGCACCCUAUAUAUAGAAAUGAGUAAACCACUGAUAUUUUAGGGAGCAGGCUAGCAGGCGGGGGCCAUUACUUACAUCAUAGGAGCCUACAAACACUGUUGCUGUAUGUAGGGUUUUUUUUUUAAUCUUAUAUUUGGAAAUGUACGUCCAGUUUUUUUCCUUUAAUUUCUUGGGCACCCCAAGAGAGUGGGACCUAAGCUAUAGCUUGUUUAGCUUAUAUGUAAAUCCGGCAGUGUGACUACAAACCAUUCCAAGCAUUGGGUUUUGGUUUUGGUUUUAUGAGGUAGUUUGUAGGCUUCCCUGGUUCUUGCCCCCCCCCCCCCAUUUCUUAGUGCAUGUGCCAGCUAGCAAGCAUGGGGUUUGCCAUCCUUGUAGGAAACAAUUCUACGAUUCUAUGAACUCUGUGAAUUGUAUCAAUAACCCCCACCCCCCAUAUCUAUGGCCAUUACCACCAACUAUUAUGGGAUCCUUGGCUCCAUUCUCACAGGCUGUACCUGAAACCUAGGGAAAACUUCAGUGCAGGUUACUAGUCAAGGUGUGUUGUGGGUAUCACCUGCCUCUUCACUGGAUGUCCUGCUGGGAUUCCAGGGCUUGUGAGCAGAGUCCAUGCAGCAAAGUUGUGCAUGUACUUGGCAAAUGUCACAAGAUCUGGGACUGGAAUAGCCACUGGAUUACUGAUUUUAGCGAUAUUUUUUGACUUCAGAAGCCUAGGGGGUAUGUAAAUCCAGAGCUUGUUUGCACUAGUGGAUAGAAUGAUGAAUGUGGAUUGAGGAGCCCUGGAUUCAAAUUUCUGCUCAGCCACUUUGUCAGCCUAGGCCCCCCUCACAGGGUUGUUGGGAGGAUAAAUUGGGAAAGCCGAUGCACGCUGUAUUUCAAGGGUAGCAUUUUGGGGUGCCGUGUGCACCCCGAAAAGUCUGUAACUAGAGGUGUCGCUUCUGUGCAUGGCACGCAGAGUGCUUAUGCGCAUGCGCAAGCAGCAAAACCCGGAUGUAUACACUUCCAGGUUUGCCGUGGCCGUAACCCGAAGAUUCCGUAACCUGGAAGUUACGCAACACGAGGUACCACUGUAAACUGAGAUAUAACCUUCCCCCAUGAAGAUCAGAGUGGCAGUAAAGAAAGAUGUUUUAGCCUUACCAAAGUUUUCUUCUAAUUCACUAACUACUGCUGUUGCCUAUUUCUAAGUUCCAUGUGGCAGAAACAAUUUUUAUUUUUAGGUAGUAUUUUAGAUUUUAAUGAAAAUGUGGUUUUAAUGACAGUUGUCAUUACGUUAAAAGCUCAGAGACAGCUGUUAAUGUCAGCUUCUGUGUUGUCGCUAUUCACUGAUCGUGUUUUCCUUUUUAAAAAGAGCUGUGAUAACUGCAUAUCAAUCUUUAACAACAAGUGGAGAAAUGAGAUUCCUCCCUCUCCCCCCCCCCCCCCGCCACCCAAGUCAAUACAGGUAACACACUGAAUAUUUAACGGACACAUAAUCUGUUGGAUGACAGAACAUUUCUCAAUAUGGCAUCAGGUACCUUUCUUUUUCAUCAUUGGCACAGAUUAAGGCUGUGUUUUGUUUUGCAAAAACGCAAUAUGCCAGCUUCUACCUUUUCAAGCUGAAAAUAAAAAUCAUUAGAAAGUGUUGUGGGUUAUUUUAUGAACACUUUCCUGAUCAAAAUAUUUGCUUUCUUGAUUAAAUUUGGUUGCCUCUUAAGCUGCAAUUCUAAACACACUUACCAGGGAGCAAAUCCCAUUUGGUUCAGAGAGGUUUACUUUGGAAUCAACAUACACAGGAGUGUGUUGUUAGUUGUUAAUAUGGAGGGGUUUUUUAAAGUGACAUAUCUUAGCAUUUGUUGAGACAUACUGUAUGAUAUUGUUGUUUGCCAGGAAAAUACUGCAUUGAAAUCAGGGCCUGCCAAAGAUGUUUGGCUUGCAAAGGGUGGGGUGCCUGAGAUCCGUCAACCUAUUCUGGCACCUGGCACAGAACUUCCCAUAAAUAUACCACCAGGUAGUAACAAUGGAACAAUGGCAAAAUAACUAACAUUUUGCUGUCCACACAUGACAGCCUGAAUCUGCUGCCUGAAGUGGCCAACUCACAAUGCCUAAUGGUAGGGCGAGUCCUGAUUCAAAUGAAUGUGAUGCCCCUCAGUUAACUUUGCAAUAAUAAUAAUAAUAAUAAUAAUAAUAAUAAUAAUAAUAUAUCAUUUAUACCCCUCCCAUCUGGCUGGCUUUCCCCAGCCACUCUGGGCGGCUUCCAACAAAACAUUAAAAUACAAUAAUUCAUCAGAUAUUAAAAGCUUCCCUAAACAGGGCUGCUUUCAGAUGUCUUCUAAACGUCAGAUAGUUGUUAAUUUCUUUGACAUCUGGUGGGAGGGUGUUCCACAGGGCAGGCACCACUACCGAGAAGGCCCUCUGCCUGGUUCCCUGUAACUUGGCUUCUCACAGAGAGGGAACCGCCAGAAGACCCUCGGCACUGGACCUCAGUGUCCGGGCAGAACGAUGGGGGUGGAGACGCUCCUUCAGGUAUACUGGGCUGAGGCCGUUUAGGGCUUUAAAGGUCAGCACCAACACUUUGAACUGUGCUCGGAAACGUACUGGGAGCCAAUGUAGGUCUUUCAAGACCGGUGUUAUGUGGUCUCAGCGGCCACUCCCAGUUACCAGUCUAGCUGCCGCAUUCUGGAUUAAUUGCAGUUUCCAGGUCACCUUCAAAGGUAGCCCCAUGUAGAGUGCAUUGCAGUAGUCCAAGUGAGAGAUAACUAGAGCAUGCACCACUCUGGCAGUCGGCGGGCAGGUAGGGUCUCAGCCUGCAUACCAGAUGGAGCUGGUAGAGAGCUGCCCUGGACACAGCAUUGACCUGUGCCUCCAUGCACAGCUGUGAGUCCAAAAUGACUCCCAGGCUGGGCACCUGGUCCUUCAGGGGCACAGUUGCCUCAUUCAGGACCAGGGAGUCCCCCACACCCACCCGCCCCCUUUCCCCCCAAAACUGUCUUGUCAGGAUUCAACCUCAAUCCAUUAGCUGCCCUCCAUCCUCCAACCGCCUCCAACACCACUCCUGUAGUGAUGUUGAGAAGGUGAGAGGGAAUUGCCAGAGCUCUCCUUAGAACAUAAUCCUCUCUCUCAGCUGUCCUCUGGGGGCAGCCAUUCCAUCAGCCUGCCUCAGCUGGACAGAGGGGGAGCAGAGCUUGUGAAAUUGGCUGAGCUGGAGGUCCAGAUCCGCCAGGCAUGUCCUGGCUCUGAACUGUGCCAGCUGGUGCCGGAGUUUUGAGAUUGUUUUUCUUCUUCUCUCCAUGUCGCCUUUCCCUUGUGUUGUGUGUUUUAGACGGUAAACCUGUGGGUAGGGAGUGACUUGUUUUGAUUUUAUGUAAGCUAUUGCGGGAGCCUUUUUGGCUAAAAUCAUAGAACCAUAGAGUUGGAAGCAUAGCUGUCAACUUUUCCCUUUUCUUGCAAGGAAUCCUAUACGGAAUAAGGGGAUUUCCCUUUAAAAAAGGGAAACGUUGACAGCUAUGGUUGGAAGGGAUCCCAAGGGUCAUCUACGCCAACCCCCUGCAAUGCAGGAAUCUCAGAUAAAGCAUCCAUGACAGGUGGCCAUCCAACUGUAGUCAAAUGCUGUAAACAAACAAACAAACAAACAAACAAACAGAUGAAUUAUUUAUUUUGGUCAUUUCCUCACUCCUUCUCUAUUCAAACAAUAUCAAAAGCAGCUUAUAAGGUACUAAAACAAAUGAACAAUUGUUUGAUCAUGGUUUGCGGCUGUAGCUGACAGUCUGUGCUUGAGUCUCCCAAUCUGAUUCAGGACUCAUUCCGAUGCUUUGAAGUAGCUGUGAUGUGGCCCAGGAGAAGCUGGAGCUAUCCUGUCCUGAAUCACAGUCCCAAACUGAUUUAGGGGUCUCAAGCAGUGUUUAAUUAGGAUUUUAAACCCUAAUUAAACAUGUGGUUGUGGGGUGGAGAGAGAAUCGUAUCGCCUCCUGUCCCCCCAUUCUUGGCCACAUGCUUAAGGGGAGGAGAUUAAAUUCAGUGUUUGAAAUUUGCUUGGCACAUUAUGCCUCUGGCUAUCGGCCACUUGGAACCAAGUGAAGAUGCCAGGAUGGUGCCUGACUUCUCCACCAUCUGGAGAUGUUGCCUGGGGAUCCUUGGAUCUUGACUGUUUUCACACACGAGCAACACAUUCUGUAGAAUUCUACCUGUUAUAUUUUAUCUGCACAAUCAGAAUGAAUUUCAGGAACCAAAAAGUUAUAUUGAAAAAUAUGACUUUUGAGCCAUCUGGCCCAAGAAUGGCAACCAGGCAUUCUGUUUUGAUUACGCUAACCCUGGUUUGAGGAGCCAUUUGGCACCUAGCUUAUAUAUCAGAGUUUCUAACACUGGUUAAAUUACAUUGUGUUUUCUACAGUACAAGAAUGUUCUUGAUUUUUAAUUGGAAGAGGAUUCCAGUGUUUUGCUUUCUUUAGUUCUUGCUAAGGCAUUUUCUAUAAAAGUAUUUAAGACCUUUGUCUUUAGGAGCCCAGGAAUAUAUUAACUGUACCUUAUAUUAUAAAUAUUCUUCACAUGGGGUUGAACUAAUAGCAGCAGCCCCAAGUGCUUGGCAUUAUGUAGAGCAACCCUGUAUUUAUUUGUUUGUUAAUUUUGCCACUGUCACCAGCAGUCCCAAAUGAGAGCAUAAAAAGCACAGUGUAAUAUCAACACAUUUUGUUUUAAAUCAGGUUUAUUUCCAGAUGGCUCAGCUUCUCACUCUAAACGUUUUGUUGGAUAUUUUGAUGUGACACCACCGGUAAUAAAGAAUCGUCUUUAACAUUGUCAUUUUUCAUUAAUCCUGCUGUUAAGCAACUACAGCCAGAAUUCAUUACAAUGGCUAUGGAUAUUUUUGAGUCAUCAAAUUGGGACUUCUCUCCCCCCUCCUUUUUUUUUUGCUGCACUGCAAAAUUAGCAUUUACACAACAGCCAGCCAAAGUUAAGUACUUUGACACCACAUUAGUUUCAAUGGGAAGAAUUAAGCAUGUGCUCCAAUAAUCACAGUGAAUGCAAAGGGCCCCAAAAGUGCUUAAAUCUGGUGGGAUGCACAUCCCUUUACAGAAAGGGAGAAUCAGAAAUAUGUGGGGACAUGGACAUAGCCAAGGGGGGGGGCAGGGGGCAGCUUCCCCCCUAGAUCAAGUAAAGCAAUAGAAAUACUCAGUGCUUUUUUUUUCUAAAAAAAUGUUUGGGGUACUUUCAUUUUCCUAGUCAUAUUGAAAUACUGCUCCUCAAUGAGACCAAACUUGGAUUCACAAAAUGUUUAGGGGUAUACAUACCCCCAGAAAAAAAGCACUGGAAAUACUCAACUAACUGACAAAUCAUGUUGGUUCUGUCCCCCCCCCAACAUAAAUCCUGGCUAAACCAGGGACUUAGGGGACCCCCAUUCAAACUCACUGUGGGAGCAACCCUAGGCACAAGUAGCUGCCGUAAAGCAAGCAGCAUUGGUUCAGCUGAUGUAAAAUUGCAAACCCUGUUCAGAAGCAAACUAUUUCAUGAUCACCUCUGCUACUUUUGUGGACUGCAGUAUCUUUAUCCAGAAUUACAAAAUCAAACCAUUUGCAUCUCAAAGCCGACCUAGAAAAUGAGGACCAAAACAGACAUGAGCUUAAAUGUGUGUCAGCCUUUUAUGUCAUAUAGUGCAACUGCCCUGUUUUGAGCCAAGCAUUCCAGAUUGACAGAAGCCACCUCAGCUUCUGAUGCCAACCGGUGAACUCCCGUUUGGGCUCUGCCACCACGGCCUCGGCCGUAAGGGUGUGUGGCAUGGUGGGGGCAGCCGGGGUGGCGCGUAAUGGCAGGAUGGCAGGAUGGCAGGGAGUGGCGGUGUGGGGAGGCAGUGACCGUGAGAUGGUACGGGGAGGUCGUGUCCGGAUUUGCCCUCCAGGAUGUUGUGUGCAGGAUUUGAAAAAUACAAGUUCCAUCAGAUGUAAAAAGGUAAAGGUAAAGGACCCCUGACAGUUAAGUCCAGUCACGACCAACUCUGGGGUUGCGGCGCUCAUCUCGCUUUAUUGGCCGAGGGAGCCGGCGUACAGCUUCCGAGUCAUGUGGCCAGCAUGACUAAGCUGCUUCUGGCGAACCAGAGCAGCGCACGGAAACGCCGUUUACCUUCCCACCGGAGCGGUACCUAUUUAUCUACUUGCACUGAGGUGCUUUCGAACUGCUAGCCUGGCAGGAGCAGGGACCGAGCAACGGGAGCUCACCCCGUCGUGGGGAUUCAAACCGCCGACCUUCUGAUCAGCAAGCCCUAGGCUCAUUGGUUUAGACCGCAGUGCCACCCAUGUCCCCCAUCAGAUGUAGGGACUGAUAAUUAAUGGGAUGAGAACAGGAAUGUAAGUGGAAGUUAACCUUAUCCUUUUCUUGUAGUCCUAAAGAAAACCCCUUUUCUGAAACAAGGGUUUGCAUAGGAAGGAAAUCAUGUGUUGGUAUGAAUGGGGAAUUUCCAAAACAAAGAGCAGCUUCAAAUAAAGCAGGGGGUGUUUCCCCUGCACCACAGAAAAGGAGGAAAGGGUUACAUUUGCUCUUCAUACUGGCUCUAAUCCUCUUAAUUAUUAGCACCCCAGCUGAUGCAAUUUGCAUAUUUAAAAGCCUGUAUGUUUCAUGCAAAGAUUCAUCAUGUCUAAUUUGGGCCUUGUAUCUCCCACUGAAAUUUCUCAGAAUAAGUAAAUACAGUCCUGGUAUUAUUUGAGUUUUGUCUUCCAUUUUUCCUCUCUCCUUGGGAUAUCACCAUAACUGGAUUUGAACUGGCAGUAAUCAAUUUACUGUACUUUAGAUACUGUGAAUCAACAUUAUAUAAUGUGGUUUUAUAGGAUUUAGCCCUGGAAAAGAAUGUGUAAAAUAUGUUUCUUAGCAACACAUGCGCAUUCAAGCUUGCAAAUCCAUAUGACUAAAAUAGACCAGAAACAUAUAACAAAUAAUGGCAGGCUUUCAUUAACCUCAGCAGGCUUUCUUUGAAUGCUGAAAACAGUACAAUUGGGGCAUUUAAGUGGUCAGUUUCACACAAGUAAUUGCUUAGACAAGUUUUUAAAUGUAGAUAUUAAUGGAUAUUCAUUGGAAUUAUUUCUUGUAAAAAAGGUAUUCAAUAUUGGCCACAGCAUCUAAGCAAAUAAUAUAUGUACACUACUUGAUUCUGAUGACUGUGAAGCAGUGAAGAAAACUGUUAGUUCAUAUCACUUCCAUUUUUCCAAAACUCGUGUCACUUUGCAUGCACAGUUCUAUAUAGCAGAAAAGUUGGUGUUAAACUUAAAAAGCCUGUCCCAAGACAUUUUGGUGUCUUAAAUGGAACGCCAAAUGGCACUCCCCUAUUCUGCUAGGGCCAACCUUAAAAAUGGCUUGUUGAAUCAUUCAGACACCGAUUUCUGCUUUCACCAGUGUUUAUAUGGGGGGAACCGUGUCUUUUCCAUACAAUUCUUUUGAUGUUUGAGGUGGCAUAGCUCAGUCAGUAAAGCAUGAGACUCUUAAUGUCAGGGUCGUGGGUUUGAGCCCCAUGUUGGGCAAAAGAGUCCUGCCUUGAAGUGGGUUGGACUAGAUGACCCUCGUGGUCCCUUCCAGCUCCACAAUUCUAUGAAUUCUCUCUUGAGAGUACAGUGGUGCCUCGCAAGACGAAAUUAAUCCAUUCCGCGAGUGUCUUCGUCUAGCGGUUUUUUCGUCUUGCGAAGCAACCCUAUUAGCGGCUUAACGGAUUAGCGCUAUUAGCGGUUUAGCGGCUAUUAAAGGCUUAUCGGCUUAUCGGAUUAGCUGCUAAAAGGCUAUUAAAGGCUUAGCGGCUUAGAUAAAGGGGGGGGAAGCGGAAAAAAAAUCUCAAGACUCGCAAGACAUUUUCGUCUUGCGAAGCAAGCCCAUAGGGAAAUUCGUCCUGCGAAGCAACUCAAAAACAGAAAACCCUUUCGUCUAGCGGGUUUUCCGUCUUGCGAGGCAUUCGUCUUGCGGGGCACCACUGUAAUGGAAUGUCAUUGAGUGCUUUCACUCUCAGGGAGACUUGAUCUACUUUGUCCAAAGAGCAUGGCAGCAAGGAUCUCUGGUUGGUAGCAACUUGUGAUUUUGUUAGCUGCUUUUUUCAUAUUAUUGCAUGCCAAUCUCUGAGCAGUGCUAGAUUCCAGGGGUUCCAGGUGCCCAGGGUGGAAAUAAGGCACAGCAUAAAGACUGGUGUCUUUAUGAUAUAUAGUUUAUGUACACAUAUAUGAGGGACUUGGGUGGUGUUGUGGUCUAAACCACAGAGCCUAGGGCUUGCUGAUCAGAAGGUCGGCGGUUCGAAUCCCCACAACGGGGUGAGCUCCCGUUGCUUGGUACCUGCUCCUGCCAACGUAGCAGUUCAAAAGCACCUCAAAGUGCAAGUAGAUAAAUAGGUACCACUCUGGUGGAAAGGUAAAUGGUGUUUCCGUGCGCUGCUCUGGUUCGCCAGAAGUGGCUUGGUCAUGCUGGCCACAUGACCCGGAUGCUGUACGCCGGCUCCCUCGGCCAGUAAAGAGAGAUGAGCACUGCAACCCCAGAGUCAUCCGUGACUGGACCUAACGGUCAGGGGUCCCUUUACUCAGGGGUUUACUUUACACAUAUGUAAUAUUGCAGGUAUUAAUACUGUGCAGUUUGAAGUGACCAGAUCCAUAAAAGUGAGUCCCUUUGGAAUAAAAACAUUGUCAAGGCCCAUAAUUUCUUCUUCAGUCUACCCUUAGGACCUCUUUUCCUAUCUUGAGCUGCAGCUUCUUCCUUGCACCAGGUUGGGUACUUCUUUCCUUUUGGGUGAAGACAGAGACACCUUCCCUUUGUUCUCUCAAUGGCUCAUCACAUUUCCAUUAUUUUCUUAAUGGCUCAUCUCCCAGGCAAUCUCCUGAACACGGGAAGCUGGGUACAGGGAUUAGGAGUUUGGCGUCCCGUUUAACACACACAGGCCUUGAUUGGAUUCUAACACUCACGGGACCCAGGAAUUUAGGGGAGUCUGGCACCCACAAACUCAUAAGAAUAUUUUCAUUAGAGAUGGGGGUUGAGGCACCAGAAUUAUUUUAGACAUAUUUAUUCAGAAGUAAGUAAUACCAUGUUCAGUGGAAUUUGUCACUAAGUCAGGGUGCGCAGGAUUGCAAACAAGAAGAAGGAGAGUUUGGAUUUGAUAUCCCGCUUUAUCACUACCCGAAGGAGUCUCAAAGCGGCUAACAAUCUCCUUUCCCUUCCUCCCCCACAACAAACACUCUGUGAGAUGAGUGGGGCUGAGAGACUUCAAAGAAGUGUGACUAGCCCAAGGUCACCCAGCAGCUGCAUGUGGAGGAGUGGAGACAUGAACCCGGUUCACCAGAUUACGAGUCCACCGCUCUUAACCACUACACCACACUUUUGAACAAGGGUUCAAAAUGGCAAAAUGGUCACCAGCUUUAGAAAUAUAUCUCCAACAGUACCAAAUUCCUAAUUAAGCAAAGCAAUCGUGGCUGCCACCAUUGUGCUUCUAUAAACUCAUUUUAUUAACUAUCUAAUUCUGAUUCUUCAGUAGAACAAAGUAACACAAACAUUUAAAAGAAGGCCUCUUGCCCAUCAAGAUUAGUUUCAGAUGACAGCCUCUACUGCACAAAGAAUGUGGAUGAAGUAAUCUAUGCUAUGUGAAAUGGGAGGAAGAAACAUAUCUUGUCAAUUUCUUUCUUUUCUCAGGUUUGCUUUUUGCAAAGCAAAACAUUCUGCAGUUUUCAUCAAGCAGGAUAUCAUGGUAGACAGGACAGAUUAUGUGAACAAGGACAUCUGUGUUUGGCAAACCUAGAAUUCGUAGUGCCCUAACAUUCUUCGACUGGAUAUUUAUGCAGCCAGACAUUCUCCAUCCAGUCCACUUCCUCUGUCUCACUCAGCAGCACUUUUCACCUGUUCAGUGAAAUGUGGGAGCGGGGAAGUAAGACCUCAUCUGCUGCCUCUCCUCCAAAUCUCCAUGAAUCCAUCCAUAGGUUGGAAUGUAGCAUUGGCACAUGCAGCUGUACUCAUUGUUAGGGCUGAGCCAUGGGCAGAAGUCUGAGGUGAGCAAGGAGCAGGAAUCAGAAGCCAUGGGGCAAGCCAGUUUUUAGGACCCAAAGAGGCAGGAGCAAUGAGCAAGGCAGAAGGUGGAAGAAAUCAAGGACUCAUUAACAUGCCACAGCUCAGGAACACAAUGGUGCUCAAGCAGGACUCAGUUUUGAUGCCCAGAAAGUUCUAUGGAUCAACUGGAUGGGCAGAGUCAGAAAGCUGCUACAUGCAGUUCAGUCACUGACCACACAGAGCUAACAUACACAGAUCCCUGAAACACACAGGUUCUGUACACCCAUUUAGGUUUCUGCAGGCUUCACAGUUGUGCAAAGACUAUACAUACAACAUAUACAUGCAAAAGUUCUAUUCAGACCUUUCUAUUAAUAUGUGGAGCAGGGACAGUGGAUAAGAAGAUCCAAAUUCCUCCCAAUAUAGAUCUUCUGACUGAAUUGGUUCAUGAAUCAUAAAUGCACCUCGAAAUUAGAGACUGUUUUAGGCCUCAUUAUUGAACCUGAAGCACGUGAAACGCAACACAUGAAGGAAUAUGAAUGCUUGUCGAGGACAGUUUCCAAAUGUCAGACUUGCUGCUUGUAGCAUUUGCUUAUGUGUCCUCUAAAAAGUUGUGGUUGAGGAAAUUCUGUUUCCAAUUCAUUCUUUUUAAAAAAAGAAAGAAAAAAAGAUUGCAUGCUAUAUAUGUAGGAAGAUUUCAGGGGUAUUAUAAACUCAUUCCUAAAAGUCAAAAAGUAUAACUUGUGACAAACAGAAGCUAGAUUGACUCUGUGGGUAGGUGGAAAAUGAUUCUGCGAGAUGGAUUUGUCACAGGUCUACACGGAGAUGGAAGUUAAGGAAGCUUCCAGCUCACAAUCAAUACAUUAAUCUGUCUAUUCUAGUAAAACAGGUUAGAGGUAAGUGUGCAUUGGUGCUUCUAACAAUUUGUGUCACAAUUUAUCAAAACAAAACAAAACAAAAGUUACAGAAUGGAAACCAUAUCCUGUUUUGAGUUUCCAUAGACUUUUAUGGAUUAUUUUCUGCUGGAAGAUUCAAUAGACAGAAACAAGCGGUACCUGUGCCAUGGAAUUUCAAUAAUGGCAUAAAGGUUGAAGGUUGACAAAUUCACAGUAAACUGACCCAACCAUAACUUGAUUGUCAAGUUUCCUCUUACUUUCCCCAGUUCAAAACUUAGGUCAACCUGUGGCUAAAGAUGGCUUGAUCCCAAGUUCUCCACCUCUGCAUCCCUGGUCAGAAAAUUUAACUGGAAGCUGGAGCUAGAUAGGCCACAAACGGAAGGUUGGAAAUUGCCUGGUAUUUAUAUCAUGACUGUCCAAUACUGAGCCCUCCUUUUUCCCUUCCUGCCAAUCACACAGACUUAGGCUAGACACAUUCCUAUUCCCUUCUGUGACUAAAAGGGUGCUCUGACACAUGAGUGAAUUCAGAUUGUGGCAGCUCAUUAAGGUAGCAUCCAACUCUGUUUGAUUUUUUUAUGGAUUUUAUCACCACCAUACAUUAGCCACUUAAAUUCUCACAUUCACCUUUCAUUUCCCUUGAUUCAGAAUUCAGUUUUCCUGCAGUAUGAUUACUACACUUUUUAGCACCAGCAGUGUUGAAGACUGUACAAAACAUAGGAAUAUACGGCCUACGUCAAAAGGGUUUAUAAACAGAAAGCAGAACAAUUGAAGAAGGCAUCUUGGUUUGAAUGCAAACCAGAGAUAAGAUAGGGCAACAUGAGCAAUCAAGCACCUAUAAAAUUUCCAAGAGAUCCAGUGUGGUGUAGUGCUUAAGAGCGGUAGACUCGUAAUCUGGGGAACUGGGUUCGCGUCUCCGCUCCUCCACAUGCAGCUGCUGGGUGACCUUGGGCCAGUCACACUUCUCUGAAGUCUCUCAGGCCCACUCACCUCACAGAGUGUUUGUUGUGGGAGAGGAAGGGAAAGGAGAUUGUUAGCCGCUUUGAGACUCCUUCGGGUAGUGAUAAAGCGGGAUAUCAAAUACAAACUCCUCCUCCUCUUCUUCUUCUUCCAAGGAAAAAAGGAAAAAAGAAAACGAUUACUGUAUUUUGGUUUUAAAUGGAAGCUGUUUUGUCUUUCAUCUGUUUUCAUUACAGAUUGACAGAGAUCUCUGAAGGAGACUUUCUAAAUUCAGAUGGAAGGAUAUCAGGGUGUGUAGCACAGGGGAGUGUAUGACUUUGAGAUUUGUGGGGGAAGUUUUUUAAACAAUGCAUGAAAUUCCACUUGACAGGGCAGUGGCCCAGCAGGCUUAGUGGCGCAGCAGGACAGGGAAGCCCCCCUGUUUUGAGACCCUAGAGAGGCAAUUAUCAGAGACAACACUGGAGUAUGGGAAUCAGUGCUUUAAUUCAAGCUGCCUCAUCCUUUCCUAAAGAGGCAGAUUAAUGUUAGGAUUCCAAGACAUACAAUUAAAACACCACCCUGGGAAGUAUAUUCGAGUAGUAACUAUGGUGCAAAAGGUGGUUUCUUCUUCUUCUUCUUCUUUUGCUCACAAUAAAGCAUUAAAUGAAAUGAAAGGCGGUGAAAGAGAAAGGCAGUAUAUUCUUACAAACCAGAGCUAUGUAAGAUUUGCCUUGUUAAAUAUUUCUUAAGCAAUUUUUAAUUGACAACAUAUGUUCAACAUCACAUAGCAACGUGUGCAAAGCACUUUACAUCUGUCAUAGCCUCCUGAAGCUAAUCCCUCUUUAAUGUGCUCGCUUCCUUUGUAUUGCUGCAGGCUUUGUUUCUGUUUACUGUCUUUUGAAAGGAAGAGGGGGAAUCAAGUUAGCUGUCAGCAAGAACAAGCUUAUUCUACAAAGAUUUUAAUUCUAUUAAUCUUUUGACUGGCUAUCUUUUUGGAAAUCAUUUCCAAGGGCAAACGAUGCACAUGGAAGGAACAAGCCAAAUCUGACUUUUUUCAAGGUGAAAUUGUGCACUUGUAUAAUUGGGGCUUUCCUAAAGAAAAACUAAAAUAUGGAAAGAAAGGAAAUUCUGGGGGGUGGUAGGGGACUCGAUUUGAUUAUAACCAAUGUGUUUAUAUCUAUCUAUCUAUCUAUCUAUCUAUCUAUCUAUUUAUCUAUCUGUAAAAGUUAGUUCCUAGCAUUUAAUCACCAUCAAGUAAAACCAAGAAACAGAAUCAAAGAUUUUUUUUGGGGGGGGUCUCCACAAGCCUGCUCUCCCUCAGUCCCUUGAGAUCAUGAUUAGCUUUUGGUAAUGGGGAACACAUCCAGGUUUGUAAAAGCCAGCCUUGCCUCCCCUGCCCCCAUGGUAAAAUCCUCAAGCAUGGAUGCACAUUUGGCGGAUGGGUAAAAGGACAACCACAAGGAGGUGAAUUAUGAAAGUUGGUGGGACAAGGGUCAAGGUCCAGCCAGCUUCUCUGAUUAGGUUGCUCCUAUUCAUAGCUGUCAACUUUUCCCUUUUCUUGCAAGGAAUCCUAUUCGGAAUAAGGGAUUUUCCCUUAAAAAAAGGGAAAAGUUGACAGCUAUGUUCCUAUUUAUCGCGGGUGGUGCUGUGGGUUAAACCACUGAGCCUAGGGCUUGCUGAUCAGAAGGUCAGUGGUUUGAAUCCCUGCAACGAGGUGAGCUCCUGUUGCUCAGUCCCUGCUUCUGCCAACCUAACAGUUCAAAAGCACGUCAAAGUGCAAGUAGAUAAAUAGGUACCACUCCGGCGGGGAGGUAAACGGUGUUUCCGUGUGCUGCUCUGGUUUGCCAGAAGCGGUUUAGUCAUGCUGGCCACAUGACCUGGAAGCUGUCUUGAGGACAAACGCCGGCUCCCUCGGCCUAUAGAGCGAGAUGAGCGCGCAGCCCCAGAGUCCGCGACUGGACCUAACGGUCAGGGGUCUCUUUACCCUUUACCUAUUUCUCAAACAUGACUUAUUAUUAAAUAAAACCGAAAUAUGAAUAUGGAGAUGAAGAGGAAAUUUGACUCUCAGUGGCUGGGUGUCACCAGCCCACAUCUCAGUGGUGUCAUUGAGUGUACCCUUCUUCUUUCCCUCAAGUUAGUGGAUAUUUACACUUCUGGGGGGGAGGAUAAAGUGGUUCACCUGAGGGCAAAACCUUUAUUGCAGGUCCUGUCGCCUGUUUACAGACAUUAUUGAAAUGCUACUGUGGGAUGUUUGCCAUAAAUAAGUCUGUCAUCCAUCUGUCGUAGUAACUAGCACAUUGCUAGUAAAGUAUAGAAUACUAGCAGCCUUGUAUCUGGAAUUGCUUGAGAAUUUUAAGGAACCAAAAAAUCAAUGCAGUUUUGCAAUCAGUAGUUUAAAUCAGCGCAGUUUUGAAAGGUCAGUCCAUCAUCUUGUUACAAAAUGGCAUCCAACUGCAUCUGAAAAUAGAUACAAUCCUGAUCUGAGGAACCACCAUGCAAAAUUUGGUUAAAAUCCAUGCAGUUUUGAAAGGUCAGUCCACCAUCUUUUAAAAAAUGGCCUCCAAUAGUAUCUAAACAUAGACAAAAACCCACUCCUCACUCUUGGGAAUGGUCAUGACAAAUUGGAUGACAAUAUAUUUAGAGGUGUCCAGAUUAGUGCAUUUUGGAACUGUCAUGCUAAAUCUGGCGACAAUAUCUUCAGAGAUGACAAAAUAGCUUCAGUCUUUCUGGACUGCAAUACAGAUCAUCAGUCCUUGCAGGAUCAUGCAUUGCAGAACUGAAUAAAAUGCAGGGGCAGGCAAGGGCAAGAGGAAGAUCCUGAUGUGCAUGCGCUCAAAGGCACAACAUUGUGAGUCACCAGCAUCAAAGCAUUUCCAAGAACCGUGUGCUCCUGUUGUUGUGACAGACAGAUCUGAGAAUUAAAUUAGAACACAUGGCUUCCAAACAAGGCAUGGUGUCAUGCUCAGAAAAAUCUUGGCAAACUUCUGCUACAGGAAAGUAAAGAGACUUCCUUGCCUUCCAUCAACUCUGUGACACAUCGAGCCAAUGGGAAGGCAUUCUGUGAAGGAUGGGAUUGUAGUCAUGCAAACACAGAAGCGGCACUACCCUGACCUUGUCUUGAUCUAUCAGCUUCAAGUUUUGAGUGAAGACUCGCAGUAGCGUGCAGCAUUAUGAGGCAUUAGUGCCAAUGAUUGACUCGGAAAACAUUAGCAAAGGGGUAGAAAAAGUCCUUGCACACUGAUUCGCAAUACAUCUUUGCUUUCUUGUAAAAUUAACUCUGCAUCUUAGUGUCAGAUAUAUGACUUGUCUGCUAUGACUGAGACACUUCCUUUUGUUUAAUCAUGUGUCAUUGCAAAUAGACUGUUCAUGCAUGCAAGGAUAGAGAGGCUAUUAGGGAUAUUUUUUAGGUUCCAGAUGAGUAUGGUGGAGAAGAAGGUCAUUCUCUUCGCUUAUCAUAUGUAGGGUUCACAAAAUUAUGGGAUGGGGAAACCCUGGCUGCAUGGUUUGCUAGAGAGUUUUGCUUAUGCAUCUAACCACCACUGACAAGGUUGUGUAGUUGUUUAUCUAUUUGACACCUGAUGAGAGGGUGUUCCACAGGAUGGGCACCACUACUGAGAAGGCCCUCUGCCUGGUUCACUGUAACCUCACUUCUCACAGUAGGGGAACUGCCAGAAGGCCCUCGGAGCUGGACCUCAGUGUCCGGGCUGAAUGAUGGGGGUGGAGACACUCCUUCAGGUAUACAGGGACAAAGCCAUUUUGGACUUUAAAGGUCAGCGCCAACACUUUGAAUUGUGCUUGGAAAUCUAUUGGGAGCCAACGUAAAUCUUUUAGGAGUGGUGUUAUAUGGUUCCAGUGGCUGCUCCCUGUCACCAGUCUGGCAGCUGCAUUCUGGAUUAGAUGUAGUUUCCUUCAAAGGUAGCCCCACAUUGCAGUAGUCCAAGCGGGAGAUAACCAGAGCAUGCACUACUCUGGCGAGACAGAGCAUGGGCAGGUAGGGUCGCAGCCUGCAUACCAGGUGGAGCUGGUCGACAGCCGCCCUGGACACAGAACUGACCUGCGCCUCCAUGGACAGCUGCGAGUCCAAAAUGACUCCUAGGCUGUGCACCUGGCCUUUUAGAAGCACAGUUACCCCAUUCAGGACCAGGGAGUCCCCCACACCCGCCCGCCCCCUGUCCCCCAGAAACACAGCCAUCCUUUGAAAUGUGCACUUCUCUGAAUUUUGUGUUGCAGUUCUCCAGCCAAACAAUUUUUUAAAGGGUGUAUUAAGGAAAAUGGGCCUAAAGUGACCCACAUUGGUGAAAAUAGCACAAAAGUGUAUUAUAUUAGGGGAAAUUGCUUCACAAAACAUACACAUGUGUGUGUUAGGCAAAAUUACAGACAAAAAUGUGUGUUAGAUAUUUACACUGAAAUGCCAGUGAAUUUUCAUAAUAAACUGAUGUGGAAUUGUGAAGAACUGAGCAUGAGAUUGGAAAAAUGAGAAUCUGACAGACUACUGUCAGAUCCACAUACUGUUUUCAGCUCAAAAUCUAUGACCAUAGCUAGUCCUGCAAUGAUACAAGGGGCCACCUAAUUCACUAUUGGAUAGUUGUGAAUUUGAAAAUCCCAGAGUGCUGAAGUUAAAGACGCAAAUAAAAUCCUGGGACAUUUUUCUUUCCCCCACAAAGCUGGUAAUAGGUUCACAAUUAAUCAUUUCUGUCUUUAAAGAUGUGGCUUUCCAGCAAAUAAAGUUUUAUGUCUUUCAACACCCAGAGUAACAGGAAGACACUUAGAAAAUUGUGGGAAGGCAUCCAAUCAUCAAAGCACCUCAUAUAUAAUCAGAUAAGAAUGUGAUGGAUUUAAAAGUCACUGAAACAUUAAAAGAGCAAGUACAUGUUAACAGUUGUAUGUAAAGCUAAAAUGAAUAGGAACUUAUUUCCCUUUCAUAAAUAACAUUAACACCAGCUUUUUUGUUCAGUUUCCUUGAAAAUGUACAGUCCUACCCCUUAGUUCAUCCUUAUUCUUGAUCUACUCUACUGUAAUGGAAUUUUUACACAGAAUUUCCCAUUCUUUCAAAGAUCAGCCACAAGGGAAAUAUUUUUACUUUUCACCUCUAGGGCACAUGUUAGAAAACUAGCAUGGGAAAACCAUUUGGCGGGGAAAUAAUUGUUUUUAUCUUUAUAUGACAACCUUAUUUUAAGGCCCAAUUGAUUUAUGGUUGUUAUUAGAAAAUCAUUUGUCAACUUAAGAAGAAAAAAAUGCACAUGUGUGAAACAAUGGGGGUUAAGCAGGUCCCUUUCGAGACGCAUCAAUCCAUUUGCUAAAGAGCAAAAGCUUGUUCUAUUCUCGUUCAAGGCCCCUUCAUACAAUUAUAUCAUAUUGCAACCAGAAGCAGGUGGUGAAAUCAUUUUACCCCAUAGCCUCAAGAAAGGAAUCCAAAAAGGUCACAUUUGAAAAGGUCACUAAACCACUGAAUAUAUUAGUGCUUAAGGAAGGUGCUAAUGGGUUUCAACAUUGAAAGUUCCAACAAUAAUGAUAAGAAGGAAGAAACAAUGCAGCUCAAAAAUUGCACUCCUUUCCCCAAUAUUUCUACAUUUUAAGCAUUUGUUGCUGCUUUGGUACUGCUUUGGUACAUCAGAUUGUAUGAAACAUUGCAUUUUUGGUAUUGUUUUCACUUUGUUUUUAAAUUGUUGUACUUUUUUAUUAGCUGGCCUAAGCUGUUACAACAGGAACUGUGGGGUAUCAGAAAAUAAACAACAAAAACCUUUUGGCCUUGUUAACUCAUUUUAACGCUUCCAGAAGAACCCCAAAAUCAAAGGAUCUGUGGCUAAAGCAACAUCUGCUGCCCAUUUAAUAGACUCCAGUGGAAAGUUGUCAAGUUGAAAUUCAUAUGCAGAUUUGACAUUGUUGGGCUGGGACUGGAAUGACUAGACCACAACUGAAAGUAUCUGACCCUCUUUGUGUGUUUUUGCACACUGUUCAACUUACUUGGCCAACUUCUUGUUAGGUUAUUACACCCACUAGGACUGGGUAGAAUAAUAGAAUAAUAGAACUGUAGAAUUGGAAGGGACCACGUCUAACUCCCUGCAAUGCAGGAAUCUUUGGUCCAACAUGGGGUUCAAACCCACGACCCUGCUCUACUCUCAUGCUCUACUGACUGAGCUAUAAUGAAUGUUGACUGGCUGUUGCUUGCAUUUGUGCUCUACAUAUCAGUGGGGCAUGCUUAUUUCUUGCACUGUUGGGCCUUCUAGCCUACAGUAAGACAGCACUUUGUGCAGCAACAACAUCCUUUCCCAAGCCAUACGUGUCAAAUGUUGUUUGGGAUUUGCACUUAAGUCUCCAUCCAACACCUAAUCUGAGGUUCAGAUUUUCUUUUGAAGGGGGAUUUGCACUGCUGCCCACCUUCAACUGAUGGACAGAGCAAUUCACAAGCAAUUCAGACUAAAAUAUGGAGGCCAACCUAGAGCAUUUUCACACCUGAGGCUUAACUUGUGUGUUCCUACAUCCUACAGAUGCUUCCUACAGGCAUCCUACAGGGAGGCAGUGUGGUGUAGUGGUUAAGAGCGGUGGACUCGUAAUCUGGUGAACCGGGUUCGCUUCCCCGCUCCUCCACAUGCAGCUGCUGGGUGACCUUGGGCCAGUCACACUUCUCUGAAGUCUCUCAGCCUCACUCACCUCACAGAGUGUUUGUUGUGGGGGAGGAAGGGAAAGGAGAAUGUUAGCCGCUUUGAGACUGCGUCGGGUAAUGAUAAAGCGGGAUAUCAAAUUCAAACUCUUCUUCUUCAACAUCAUCUGGUUGGCCACUGUGGUAACAGGAUGCUAGACUGAUGCAGCAAUUGGUACAGUGGUACCUUGGUUCUCAAACUUAAUCCAUUCUGGAAGUCCGUUUCAAAACCAAAGCGUUCCAAAACCAAGGUGAGCUUUCACAUAGAAAGUAAUGCAAAAUGGAUUAAUCUGUUCAAGACUUUUAAAAACAACCCCUAAAACAGCAAUUUAACAUGAAUUUUACUAUCUAAGGAGACCAUUGAUCCAUAAAAUGAAAGCAAUAAACAAUGUACUGUAGUCACACAAAUCGAUCGAUCAGUAGCUGACAGUAGCCCACAGUCACAAAAACAAAACGAAAAAGAGCCACAAAAACAAAAAUGCAAAAUAAAUAGCGAAAACAGACAGACCUCAGCGUAACACUCAAAUCAGAAGUGUAACACUCAAAACGAAGCACGUUCAGCUUCUGAAAAAGGUUCGCAAACCGAAACACUUACUUCCGGGUUUGCAGUGUUUGGGUUCCAAGGUGUUUGUGAACCAAGGUACCACUGUAUUCUUAUGCUAUGUUAACCUUUUGAGUUCUCCUCAUGUCAUUUGUCCGGUUAUUGUUCAUGAGAAAAAAAUGGAUGAGAGGCAUUUCUAAUGAAAAGGAACAUUUUGGCAAAUGUAGGUUUUAUGUCUGAAUUACAUACCUGAUAAAAUGGCUCUUGCUCCAAAGUGUUGCAUGUGGAAAUGUACAAAGUCUCAUUCAGUCUGAUCCAGGUUGCUCUUCAUGGGUAGGAAUGAUACUUACAUAUAUUUCAGUGCUCAGAAGCGCUAUGUAUCUCCAUUCAGUUUAGCAAGGGAAGUUUUGGGAAUUGGAAACAGAGAUGCGCGCGCACACACACACACACACACACACACACAACUUUCCACAAUUUAUUGCAUUUGUAUCCUAUUCCACUUCCAGUGAUGUUAACGGCUAUGUUUCACGCGCACCCACUGGGGUGAAUGAAAUUUAGUGCAGCAUCCCAGUAUGUUGGUCAAAAAGACACCGUUCCUAGCACAGCAUUAUUGUUAACAUUAGAAAAUGGGACAGAAGUGUGCAAUAUUCCUCACAUUUGAAUGCGCCCUUAGUCUGCCAGUGAAGGAAGAGACUUAAGGCAACUUUCACCCUUCAUUUCUUCUGCUUGGCAAUGCCAUGAGUCACCUGCUUACCAGCUUCAAGACCGUUUUCUGGUUAAAGAAGCAAAUGGUUGCCGUAGCAGCAAGCAAGCAGGGAGGAGCAAAAAUAACAUAUCAGCUUUUGAUUUGCUGGCCCGCUAGUGAAGAAAGUGUUGUGAGCUCCCCCUUUCACAUUGUGUAUGUAUCAUCUUGGAUAGUACGUGUAGUUUUAAGACAGCUAAUAAAAAAGGAACUAUGAAAAAUGUGGUACUGAAGAUAUUUGACAGCCAACAUAUAGAAAUGAUUUGACAUUACUGCAUAGAAAUCCCCGAAACCAUCAGUCCUCUGUUUUGGGUUGCAGUUAAAAAGACAAGCUGGAUAGUUACACUCAUGAACAUAAGACACAAUGGCCAUCAGGAGAAGAAAUAUCGGUUCUUGACUUGAACACUUUUACACUGGAAAAGGGCUGGCAAAGAUUUCUGAAGAAAAAGCAUUCGUGAUGUCAAAAAAGCAAAGACUGUGACUGAUGAAAUCAUACAGACACGCACUGAAGGUAACGCGGCGAUAUCAAAUUGCAAGCAAAUUUGGAGCAAAAUGCUAAAAGUUAACAGGCAAACAAGGUAGAAUUUGGCAAUCUACCCGUAAAUAAAUAAGCUAUUUCUCUUUUUGUGAAACUUGUUUGCUAAACAGCAUGGUAGAUGUAAGCACUGAGCAACGCUAGUCCUAAAAGGAGUUACAUGAAGAAUGUUUUCAUUAAACUUUUUAUCUUCUCUAUACAAAUUAAAUUGGGACUUCUACUCUGGGUUAAUGAGGGUACGCACAGGAAAGUGAUGGAUGGCUGCUGAAAGACCCUGUGUGAGAGGCAGGGAUGCGAAGAUCUCCCAGGGUGGGAGGCUGGGAGAAGAAAGGUGAGAGAAGGGUCCACCCCCUUCUGUGUGUGACAUGGGUUGAGAUCUGCCUUUGAGAGCGGGCUUUCUAAUUUCUCCCCUCUUUUUCUUUUCUUCUUGCUUUUUUCUUUGUUUUUAAUUUUUAUUUUAACUUAGAUUAGCUUGUUUUUAUUGCCUGAUAUGAUAAAAAAGUGCAAUAACAACUUAAAUUGGAAGCAACAUUUUUACCAUAAUUUGAUAAAAAGUUGAUGGAGCUCCCAGGUGCUCCCUCUUCUCUGCUCACCCUGAAAACUCAAGGCUUUGGUUCUAUGAGAUAAGGGCUGCCUUCAGAUGUGGGGCCUAUUGUGGUAGUUUUACUGCUUAUAAUGCCCGUGCUUCUCUUCCAAUUUUUCUAUUGUUCCUUUUACACUGCAGGAUCUGUUGUGAUAUGUAACUGUGGCCUUUUCAUUGAUAUACUGCCUCAGAGCGGAAAAGAGCUGUAUGCCAGGAUACAGCUCCUGAUUUUGUCAUGUGAGCGUCAGUGGCAUGAUAAUAAAAAUGGCAAAACAGAAAAAUGCUUUUUCAAGUUUGUGGGGUUCUCAACAUCCCCCUCCCCGAAACAAAUUAACAUGGGAAUGAGUGCUAAUCUUCUCCUAGAUUCCAUUCUGUUUCCUGAAGAGGCUUUUACCAUGUGUCAAAGAUCACAUAAACAUAAUAAUUAACAGGUAAGAAAACAUCAGGAAGACGGAAUGAAGUGCCCUCUGAAUGCAGCCAAGAAUUGAAUGUUGGCGAUUCAUUAAACCUGUUAUGAUCUUAACGACAGCACUACACAAUUUCCUUAGGGUUUGCAGGCAGUGGAUGCUGUGAAAUGACAUAGCCGUAUUUUUUUAUCAUUCUGGAAUUGGGUUGGGAAACAAAGAAAAAUGAGAAUUCAAUGAGGGCGAGCUUGGCCUCAGAGUCUGCUGGUGUCAGCGAUUGAGGAGGGGUGUGUUGCCGCAUACCCAAGAAUGCCCCAUGGAUGACACAGAGGAAGAAGACUUAGAUCCAGGACAGUGGUGGUGGGAUAUGGGGGACCAGUCUGUGGAAGGAACAAGCUGGGAGAUGCUAGAAGCAGGGGGUUGAGGGAGCAUGGGGGUGGGUGGAGAAGAAGAAAGCUGUUCCAGGACAGGACUGGAUGCUGAGAGUCUCAAUGCGAGUGCAGACUCUGACAGAGAGGCAGAAGCUGUUUCUAUUGCUCAGCAACUGGAUAGUCCUGUUCCAACUAGCUCUCCUCAUCCACUAACCCCCAGAAUGAGAAGAGUCCUGCACAUUGCUGAGCAAAAGGCCAGACAGGCCAAGAGGGGAAGCCCUCCCACUCGCCACAGUUUGCCGUGAGUGAGGGUGCCAGAGAGGGGCAGGAAGGGCCAGACGCCAGUUACAGCCAUGUCUUCAAGUAAGGGAGACGAGCCUAGAGGAACGCUGUUGUGUUUUUACUUCUGUGAAUAAAAGUUCAUUGCAUUUCACAUCUCAAGUCCUUUCCCCUGACCUGUGGAUGACCUGCAUUCUCUUGGCAGCCCCUUGGCAGCCAGGCCUCUGUAUUUGCAAUGCUCUUUGGAGACGGGAGACGAUGAAUAAUAAAAUGGGUGUGUUGAAUGUUGCGUCCGAUUGACAUAUUGCAAUUUUCAUUGGCCAUUUUCCAUGAAGCAAUCUUCAGAUUCAUCUUGAAUUUCACUUGAGGCAAUUCGGUGCUAACGUAGAUUGUGCAACUUGUCCCUCCCACCAAGAUGUUUCACUAAUCUGAUCUGGGGCUACCAACUUGAAUAAAAUAUUUGGGGCGGGGGACAUGUAAGCCCCACACCCCAUUUCAAUGACAAUGCCCAUCAAAAAAAAUUGGGGGGGGGGUAUCCUCUCAAAUAUGGGGUGUGUGUGAAUGUAGCUUGGCCUCUAGGAAUUGGCUCUUAUGAUCUGAUCAAAUUUUGUUGGCUUUCCUCAAAAUUCCUGUCACCUUCACAGGAAGGAACAUGAAAUUCUGAGGCACUGCUGAUGUAAAUUUUUUUAUAUUGCUGAAGGCAAUGCAACCCAAAGACCACUCAAAAGUAUCUGCCACACAAUAGCUAUAUAUAUAUAUUAUAGAUGAACCUAUUGAGUGUUAACUUCUGCAAUCAACUAUUCUGCACUGAAGCAUUGUGUUUUAGGGAACUGACCAUUGCAGUUAGUUUACUUUCUUUUCUCUCAACAUUUCUUAGACAGUUCCCUCUCACAAUGAAUCUGGCUGCAUCUCCUAGCUGUAGGCUUUCGGUCAAAGAUUUGGCUGAUUAUUUCAAAUUAAUACACGAUCUCUCAUUUGUACAACAGCAGGCAAGGUACACCUCUCCUCUCUACCUUUUUAGUAUGUAUUAAAACCGUUUUAUCUAUAAAAUGUCCAAAGUGACUAAUAGCAUCUGAAACCUGAAAAACAGGGCAACAGUAAUAAUCAUAUCAAAGUGGCAAACAGCAGAUAAAAUCCAGAAGCAUGCAGUCAAGAGCUAAAACAUUAUAGAUAUUUAAGAUAGGCCAGCAGAAGUUUAAAUUUUCAUGGGGCAGCCUCAAAAUCUAAAACCAAGAGGAUUACAACAACUUCAGAACAGAAAGGUCAACUAAGUGAGAAGAAUUGGGAGUUUUGCCCCGGUGGAGUGGCCUGUAAUCACCACUAUCACCUAACCUGUUGAAAAUAUGCACAUCCUUCCGUCUCUCUUUCAUUCCUAUCAGGGAUGGAGAGAUCAUGUUCUGCAAAUGUUGCUAGGCUACAACUCCCAUCAUCACUGACCAUUGGCCAUGCUGGCUGAUGGGAGUUGGAGUCAAGCAAUAUCUGGUUCUUCAUCCUGUCUCUAUAGUUCACAAUGAAUUUCACCCAGGAACCAUCUGAAAUGCUUCUAUUUGAUUUAUUCCUAUUAAAGUGCAGCACACUCUCCUUUUGGCUAGUAGAAUGUCACAGUAGUGCUGAGUUUAUUAUUAGUCAUUCCAUGGCUCCAGGAAGCAGCCCUUGAUAGGAAAGCUCAGCAAAUAAUGGAUGGCACAUAGCACAUAUUUGUAUAAACACUGCUGAUCACUCUUCACUCACAAAUGGAAGAACAGAGGUGGGAGCCAAGUGUGGGUAAAUAAUGAUACCAAAUGAGAGUCAACACAUUUAAAACACAAGGAAGGUCAUGGUAAACCACAGUUACGUGGGAGCACAGCAGAUAAGAAACCGAGCAAGUGAUUAUGAAAUAUCUGUAUCAAAAUAGCAGCUAGAUAACAAGCAAUAUCGUAAUACUAAUGCGUUUCCCACUAAAAUGACAAGUUCAUGUUUAUAUAAAUGCUGCUGUAUAGAUGGGCUUUAGGUAAAGCUGAAAUGGAAAUUCUCAAAUGUUCAAUAUUUGGGAAUUUUCAGAUUUUGGCCUGAACAUAUUCAUAUGGGAAACCUUCAAAAUCACAUUUUGAAUGUGACAGGUUUAAUUCAAAGUGUGAAUGUUUUAGAUUUCUUGGCAUCCCUCGAGUGUUUCAAUCUUGGCAGGCAACCAUUGUGAAAUCUCACAAGCUGUCAGAUGUCAAAUAUUAAUUACUAUAGCAUGUUGUCUACCCUAUGCUGUAUGACAAAAAAUGCACAUACCAUGACGUAACUAUCAAAUACUUUGCAGUAUUAAAUGCCUUUGCAUGCCAGCCACCAUAUAUAGCACACCACUGGUUUUCAGAGUGUCUUCAGAUCCCAUAAAAAUCCCUAGAGAUGACUACAGUUUCUAGAAAGAUGAAGGCAUUUGUUUAAAACUGGGGUACAGAAAUAGAAACCUGUUGGGCUACAAGCAGAAGGGAAAUGGCCUAAAAAGGAAAAAUGGGGAGAAUUCAGGAAACUUUCACUUACACAUACCUUUUAAUACUCGCUAAAAUUCAAACUACAGAAAAAAUUAUAUGCAGCACUACUCCUCUUGUUGAGAUCUAGAUGGUAAUUCCCCCCCCACCCCAAUAUUAUAGAGUAAGCCCUCAGGGCUAAAUUAGGUGUGUAAAUUCAUGUCAAUAGAAGCCAAGAGGACAUCUGGGGGAGAGGUAGGAAACUGUUUUUAACUGUUUCAUACCCUGCUAUAGUCCCAACAUCAUUUUCCAUUGUGAAGCUCUUUGAAGAUUCAAGGAUCAGCAAACUUUUUCAGCAGGGGGCCGGUCCACUGUCCUUCAGACCUUGUGGGGGGCCAGAAUAUAUUGUUUUUUGGGGGGGGGCGAAUGAACGAAUUCCUAUGCCCCACAAAUAACCCAGAGAUGCCUUUUAAAUAAAAUGACACAUUCUACUCAUGUAAAAACAUGCUGAUUCCCGGACCAUCUGUGGGCCGGAUUUAGAAGGCGAUUGGGCCACAUCCGGCCCCCGGGCCUUAGGUUGCCUACCCAUGAUUUAAAGGGUCCCAACCAGCACCAGUAGAGGCCUCACUUGAAAUGACAAUAGGAGCUUCAGAGAGGAGAUUUUCGUUGAGGUCAUGGCAGGGAGAGAAAGAGUUAAACUUACCGUAUUUUUUGCUCUAUAAGACGCACCAGACCACAAGACGCACCUAGUUUUUGGAGGAGGAAAACAAGAAAAAAAAAAUUCUGACUCUCAGAAGCCAGAACAGCAAGAGGGAUCGCUGUGCAGUGAAAGCAGCAAUCUCUCUUGCUGUUCUGGCUUCUGUGAUAGCUGUGCAGCCUGCAUUCGCUCCAUAAGACGCACACACGUUUCCCCUUACUUUUUAGGAGGGAAAAAGUGAGUCUUAUAAAGCAAAAAAUACGGUAAUUGUGAGUCAACAAGGUCUGGAUGUCGCUAUUAGGUACUGUAAUGAGUAUGGGUUGCUCGUGCGUAAGUUGCCGCCUCUCCUGGCUAUGUUGCCUGGUUAAACCUUUCUGUCUCGACAGCCCUUCACUUCGUGGCUGCCUCAGUCGCUAGCAGAAUCCGUCAAUGGGCGUUUCUUAAACCUUUUCCAACAUAAAAGUUGUUUGACGCCAAGUCUCCUCCUACUCUCCCUGCGCAGAAGUCUUCUGCGCAGGGAGGGCGUGGGUAGCGGAGGACCCAUGCUCUCCCCGCUGGUGUCCAGUGAAGAGUCCUGGAGCCCUCUCGCCGAUUCCCCCAUCUGCCCCCCUUUAUCCCUGGUGUUGCGCUGAUUUGCUUCCCCAUCUGCUGAGCUGCCUCUCUCCCUGCUGGGCCCUUCUCCAGCAUCAUUUGAGAGCCUUCCCUCCGCCUCUAGCUCCGAUGUCAGUUCCCUGACAUCCACGCACUACACUAUCCCCCCCCCCCACAUAGAAAUGCACCUGUCAGUUUAAUUUUGGGGGUCUGCCUUGGUAAGUUUUAGGCAUUCAUGGCACCCCAAACAUGCACAUCUAUCUAGACACACACGCAUACAAACAUAUGUAUCCUGUGCAUUGUACACAAUAAUAUGCAUGGUAAGAAAGGCAUGCAAAUAAUAUUCACUCAGGAUGAUAAUCAGGGGGAGGGGUCUUUGCUGCGUGCUCCUGACACCUGCUGUGGUCUUUACACCUUACAAGCUCUAACACCAUGUACUCUGAAGGUGAAGAGGGGCCCAGUUGAACCAGUAGGCUGUUUCCUUGUGCUAUAGACAUUUUGCACAUUUCCGGAUUGAACAUCACAACUCGGCUCAAACAUCUGUUGUGGUUAUACUUGCUCAGCAUUUCAGAGCAGGGAGACAUAGGGGGCCCUUUUCAAGCAGCUCCUAAAGCAGUCUGCUGGAUUAUCUAUACCACUUCCUUUUACACAAAGACAACCCCAUCCUUGUCCACAUUACAUAUUGGACGUUAAAUUCUUUCCCUGCGAGACUAACUUUUCUUUUUGUUCUGCCUGAAUUCUUGUCCUCUGAAGUCUCAGAUUUAAAAAGAGGAGAGUUCAUUUGGUAUAAUCGAGCUUCAAAAAGAAAUCACAGUCUGUUUCUCCAUUAUAAGCAGGAUUAAGAACCGCAAAAAAUGAGCUAGUCCACUGCGUUUACUCCUGAUCUUCCAACUGCCUAGCUGAGAAACAAGACAAUUGUCAUCUCUUCAUCCUCAGUUUUAAGUCUACAAAAGUCUUUAGCAUAAGUAAUAUGUAUUAAAGUGUCAAUAAACUGUCUGCAGUAUUUGAGGCCUAGUUAGCAUUUUUAUUGAGCUCCUUGUGUUAGCAUUUUCUGAAAUUGACUUUUAUUAAUUACCAAUUUAAAUCCAUAACUCGGAUAGCACAGGUCACUAGUAAGUGGGUCAUUUCAACAUUAGAUGCUUUUACCAAGAGCAGUGCUUAAACUUCAGCAGAUUUUGCUGGUAGCAAUUAAAAUAAGCAUGUACCAUAGCCUAUUUAUCAUGGCAACUAGACAAGUUUAAGACAUUUACAUGGUGCUCUUGAUGAAAGGUAGCCUUCCACCCUAUGGCUGUUGUUCAAUAACAUGCUCAUUUCCCAUAAUCGAGCCUAAUUAAGGGAAACUGGUUAUUUACCUGUUAGUAAAGAGGGGGAAAAUAAUUUUGAGUGUAAAAUGCAGCCUGGGGAGAUAUAAUUGCUAAAUUCUUGACUGGCCUCCGUGGGAGAUUUGGUGUGGAAAUUAUUGAUAUUGUUCAAUUAUGCUAGUGCCACACAGUGUUGGAUUCCAUUUUAAAGGGUUGUCAGCAUUUCUUCUUCAAAGCUUAGCAGUAAGUUGUAUUUAUAAGGCUGCAAGAGAAAACUUCACCCUCCUCUAAGAAAACAAAAAAGUCAAUAUAGAAGGAAAUGUUUGGAAGCUUAUUUGAAAAGAAGGACAGUUUUAGUCUAAAUGUCUAUGUUUUAUUCCCAUCCCAUUUCAUUCUUUCCCCGCCAUCUAAAAGGUCUCCAAAAUGACAUUCAAUACUCAAAUCUUGAAAUAUGAAAACUCAUUUAUAUGCUACCUUUUGGCCCUCAAAAUGCCCCAGUGUGCUUUACGGCAUUAAAAACUGACAGUCUAAGCAAAUAAAUGACAGUGCGAGCCUAUAUAUCUCCACACGGAAGUCCCAUUGAGUUUAAUGGGGCUUACGUCCAGGUAAUGGAGUAUGGAAUGCUGUUUAAGACUCCAGGCCUAUUCUCAUUUACCUGGUAGUAAGCCUCAUUGAACACAAGGAGACUUACUUCUGAGUAGACAUGCACAGGAGUUUAGUGUUACUCUGUUUUAAAAAAUCUAAAGAAAAUGAAAGCAAACCUAUAAGAAAUAAACAAAGCCAUUGUAAUCCACAGGCAAUGAUUCCUCCCUCCCUCCCUUUAUCAAAUUGGUAACGGAAGCUGAUAAAGCCAUGAGAGCCAUGAGGCCAUCUUGGUUGUGAGUCCUGGGAGGGUUGACUGACUCCAGCUACAAAAGCUGAGGCUGCUGAACAGACUCUUGGGGUAUUGUUUAGGGACUUUUUUUGCUGUUGUUAAUAUUAUUUGUUAUUUAUAUUUAUAUUAUUUGUUAUUUGUAUCUUUAUUUUUAGAUCUUAUAACGAUUGGUUCUCUCACACACAUCCAGAAAAAGAAAAAGACCGCAUUGGCUUAGGGACAGGGGUGGAGACAAAAUCUGUUCAGCUGGCAUUUCUUCCUUAGCAUAGAGAGGUUCUAAAUAUUUAAAGAAAUUGAUAGGAACCUAUCUAAUUUGCACUUCCCAAAGCAAUAUGCAAAUGGAAAUGUGGCAAUCCUUCAAAAUGUGCACUUCUCUAAAUUUUGCAAUACAAUUCUCCUGCCUAAAAGAAUUUUUGCAAAAAAGCAUAUAUUAGGGACAUAAAAUACACAUUAAAAUGUUUAAUGCUAAUGAAGUUUCCUCCGCACUUUCCUUAUACGUUGACACGUAAAUUAAUUUAAGAUGGGAAGCAUGAAACUGCGAAAAAUUUGACAGAUUUAUUGAUUCUCUACUUAGUCAUACUUUCUAGAGGUUUUUAAAGGCCAAAUCUUCCAUCAUCCCCAUUCCUUUUCAUUGUGUCAUAUAUUCUACAAAUGGUCGAACAGACUGUGGAAUAUAUCCAAGAUGUUUGCAGGUCAUCAUUGCUUGUUUGUUUGUUUUUAAAAAGAAGAAAAUUUCACAAGAAUCUCCGUAGCAGUGUCCUCCACUUGGUAUCCUCCUGGUGUUUUUGACCACAGAUCACAACCUCUCUAACCAUUGGACAUGCUGGCUGGGGCUGGUGGCAAUUAGAAGCCAAAAUCAUCUGAAGGGCACCAGGUUGGGGAAAGAUGCCCUGUGAGGUAAAAUUUGUCUUUUUUUAAUUUUUUGCCCUAUUUUCUAUGUUUGCAUUACAAUACAAACACACGCCCCCCCCCAAAAAAGAAAGAAAUAUGAGGACCACCCCUCCUCCCACAAAGCAAAUGCUCCCAACAAAUUACAUGGUGGGGUUUUUCUAUGGGGGUGGUCGGUGAGGAAGCAAAGCUUUAUGAUAGUAAAUACUGUACACAGGUUUUUAUGCUUCCUGUAUAAAAUGCACUAUAGAAAUGUAAAGUACUUAUUAUCUUGUUUAUUGUAUUUUGACUUGUGGGAUAAACCUCUAACUGAUUGUCUUGAGAAGAGGUAUAAUCUGUUACACUCGACUAACAGUACUAUUUCCUUCUUUCUUAUCUUGUAUUUGGUCUGUUCAGACAUGUUUGUUCUUCUUGCUGAUCUUUUAAAAUGUGUUUAGCAAAGUAAAUGAUGGAUGGAUUCUAUUAAUGUUCUUUAAGUUCAUGUGAAGUUUGCGGCGCACUUUUUCUUUCUGCGUGCCUUAACGUUGGGUUGUGCGUUUUCAGCUUUCUCAAUAGCGAUAAACAGAAGUUAGCCAACUGCUUCCUUGGAUGGAGAUGCACUCUCCCUGAGGGAGCAGGUACACAGCUUGGGGGGGGGCUUCUGGAUUCAGGUAGCCCCAGGUGGCCAGAAGACCCUUUACCAGCUACACCUGGUAUAGUAGUUAUGACCCUUCCUGCAGCAGGAGAGCUUGAGCACAGUAGUGAAUUCAAGACUGCAAUACAGUGGUGCCUCGCAAGACGAAAAGAAUCCGUUCUGGGAGUCUCUUCGUCUAGCGGUUUUUUCGUCUUGCGAAGCAAGCCCAUUGACGGGAUUAGCGGAUUAGCGCUAUUAGCGCUAUUAGCGGCUUUUAGCGGCUUUUAGCGGCUUUUAGCAGCUUAUCAGCUUAUCAGAUAAGCAGAUAAGCGGCUUAGCGACUUAGAAAAAGAGGGGAGAAAGGAAAAAAAAACCCCAGGAACUCGCAAGACAUUUUCGUCUUGCGAAGCAAGCCCAUUGCAGAUUCGUUUUGCGAGGCACCUCCAAAACGGAAAACUCUUUCGUCUAGCGAGUUUUCCGUCUUGCGAGGCAUUCGUCUUGCGGGGCACCACUGUACUGCAAUGCAUUCUAUCUGGGGCUUCCCUUUCACUUGAUCUGCAAGCUGCACUUAAUGCAGAAUGUUGCAGCACAAUCGCUGACAGCAGUGAGGCUGUGGCCUUCAUCUAGACUUCCUUUUGUUAUUGUUUUUAAUUAAAGAUUUUCUGGAGUUCCACACUUUCUAGGCACAGGUCUAGGCUUUCCCGGCAGGUUUUAUUUUGUCCCAGUGCUUUCUCCAUGAAAAACUGCAUUCUACUGCUAAAUCAGAGCAAACAGCAAUCUGCGGAAAAUGUGACUGUCAUUUGCUUCAAUUCAGCAGUAAAAUACAUAUUUUCCUGGCAAAAGAACCCAAAAAAAGUGGGGGGAAAUGCUCAGACAUGGAGCUUUAAAUCAAAUCAAAUCAAAUACCUUUAUUGGCAUCACAGUAUAAAACAUUUCAGGUCACUGGGAUAAUUAAAAUGACAAGGGUGAAGCUGUUGAGAGUCAUAAGAUCCCACUGUGAUCGUGUGCACUUAGAUAUUCUGCUACGCCCUGUCUGUUCCCCAAAAAGGAUGCUUCAUUGGGAACCCUUCUGGGUAAAAUUGUGGCUAAGAAGGAAGCUACUAAAGCAGUGAUAUCUUUCUCCCCAUCUGCCAGGAGAAACCUCAUGGACUUCUUCUCAGAGUUAUAGGCCGGAGGUCCAACAUUUUGACAUGGAGCUUUCAAACCUGUGCCUAGAAAUGUACCACAAAAUGAAUUCCUGUCUGCAUAUUCAACUUCUCCCCAAAGAUCUGCACUGGUUGCCCAUUUGCUACUGGACCAAGUUCAAGGUGUUAAUGUUAGUAAAGUCCCGAACAGCCUGAGACCAUUUUACUUGUAGGAACAUCUUUUGCUCCAUUUAAGCCCACUUGGUCGCUUCAGUCUGCAAAACUGGCAUGGUUAGAGGUCCCACAAAAAUACCCAUUCCACACUUGUAGGAAUUCAAUCUUUUAGUGUUGCAGCACCUACAUUUUGGAAUUCCACUGUAUUCCUUUUGGCCCCUGCUUAAAACAUUUUUGCUUGGAAACAUUUUUCUUGAUAUAGACCUGAUACAUCUCAAUUAUCUAUUCAUAUACAGAGUAUAUAGCUUGGUAGGCCAUGAGUAGAGACAGCUGUGGAUACCCUAUAACAUUCCAGACUACAGAAAAUAUUUCUCAACUGAAGAAGAAACAAUCAGAGGAGAAAGCUUAAUAUAUGAGUGCUCUGUGCAUAUUUCACUCUUAAUCUGAAAAUGAUCAACUUUAUCGUCUUGUUCAGAGGAAGACAAUCACAAACAUUUGCCAAUAUUGCUGAAAUAUCAACUGAAUGGUUUUGCUACAAAACAGUUCUUAUUUAACAAAGCUACCGCCUCUUCCUUCAGCAUGGCAAAUAUAAUCUCAUUGUCACUUGUAGGAUCACCUUACACUGAAUACCAGUUCAAUCUGUUACUGUUACAGUAGAAAUGAAAUACUCAUUCUGCACUUGUAACAAAUUGAAGCAUUCAUACAAUAGUUGCACUCUUUCCAAAAUCCUUUGCCGAGGCCAUUGCAAAAUAGCUUCAGCCAUGUGUUUGACAGGCCAUCCUUGGCUUGCAUCAGCUACAGCAGGCAAUAGCAGAGAGGUACAGUGGUACCUCGGGUUACAUACGCUUCAGGUUACAGACUCUGCUAACCCAGAAAUAGUACCUCAGGUUAAGAACUUUGCUUCAGGAUGAGAACAGAAAUCGUGCUCUGGUGGUGUGGCAGCAGCAAGAGGCCCCAUUAGCUAAAGAGGUGCUUCAGGUUAAGAACAGUUUCAGGUUAAGAACGGACCUCCGGAACAAAUUAAGUACUUAACUCGAGGUACCACUGUAAUGGGAGAAUAGGAAGUGGUACCAAAGUAAAAAUUUCCUCCUCCUGCCCAUGAGAUGGAAUAAAUGGCUGCUCACCUCUAUAGCCUCUGAUGCAAUAAAUACCUCCCAGGACUGAAAGAGGCAGGGCUUAUGAAAAUCCAACCAGCCACUUAUGAAAGCUUUUGCUAAUUUGCUUUUCCAUUAUUCAUUCUAAUUAAGGGAAAUUUGAAUAUACAGGUAAACCAGAAAGAAGAGGAUUUAGGCUUGACAUCUCUUUCAGGUGGCUGCCUAGGAUCUUGGGGAGUCCGACAAUUCAGGAUUAGGCCAGCAGAUGGAAAGGAGAUUUGCAAUCUUACCAAAAGGCUAAGGAAUCUACAAAUGAUAUAGAACAGUCUAUCAUCACCGAUAUCCCAAAAUGGAGACUAAAUUUAAAACUGGUCACCACAGAUGUGUGUUUAUGGUGUCUGCUGCACCUGGGUAGAAAAGAUAUGUCAGUAUCUUUUCAGUAAUAACCCCUACUUAAGUUUGUUGCAUGAGGACAAUGAUUAAAAUUUUAUUAAAAAUUUGUUAACAACAAUAAAAAACAUUUGUUUCAUUACAUAUUUUCAAAACAAAGAAACAAACAAAAAAACAAGCAAUAUACAGUUUUUGCCCACCACCAGAUGGGACUUACAGUGGUGCCCCGCAAGACGAAUGCCUCGCAAGACGGAAAAACCGCUAGACGAAAGGGUUUUCCGUUUUGAAGUUGCUUCGCAGGACGAAUUCCCCUAUGGGCUUGCUUCGCAAGACGAAAAUACCUUGCGAGUCUAGAGAUUUUUUUCGCUUUUCCCCCUUUAUCUAAUCUGCUAAGCCUUUAAUAGCCUUUAAUAGCCUUUUAGCAGCUAAUCCCCUAAGCCUUUAAGCCUUUAAUAGCCGCUAAACAGCUGAUAGCGCUAAUAGCGCUAAUCCGUCAAUGGGCUUGCUUCGCAAGACGAAAAAACCGCUAGACGAAGACUCUUGCGGAACGGAUUAAUUUCGUCUUGCGAGGCACCACUGUAUUUGCAUGCACAUAGAUUUAAAACAUUUUUCUUUGCUUGCUCACACUUCAAUGUGUGUGUGUGUGUGUGUGUUUGUGUGACCUCCUCAACUUCUAUGUAAAUUCAGUAAUGCAAAGUACACCAGGGUAGAUUGGCAACUCAUCUCUCUCAUAUGUUUAUCCAAAGCAUAAAUGCCAUUUAUGCCAACUUCCUUUUAACUUCUACAAUGUUUAUUACACAUAAUUUCUCCUAUAGAAUAGGCUGCUGUACAGACAUUCCCUUCCCUUUUGUAGGGAUGAGUUGUAUCAGAGCACUACAGGAUUAGCAAGGACUGUACAGUUUGAGGGCUCUUUGAAUCUUGCUCUGAUAAAUCCUCAAAUGUCAAGAUUAAAGGGCAGAAUUUCAGAAGGUAGAACUGCAGGAUGCCAAGCUCGUCCCUUGAAAUUAUACCUCUGCCUGCUUCCUAUCCCUCCCCCUACCUCACAAACCUGGGUUAUGGCCAUCUAUCACGUUGGUGGUUCCAGAAAAAUGUCUCCUAAUCCUGCACUUCACACACCCCAACCAUCAGAUCCCUUUCCUGGCUGGUGGCUCCAGAGGCCUGUCCUGCUCUAUAGAAAUAACUUGAUGAUCCCCACUCCACCAACAAUUUUGCAUGCGUCUCUGGCCAGCCAUUUUCCCCAUCUGCUGUCUCAGCAGCCAAAAUAUAUUUGUUGGCAAUUAAACUAAUCUUUACUGGCUUCACAAAGACUUGAAUUCUACCUGGCUUUCUUCUGUUGGGUUUUUAACGGAUGCUCUGGUUUGUUCAGAACUGCAGGCAGCAACCACGUGCAAAGACCAGCCCACCAUCUUUCAGGGCAUAGAGGGGGAGGCUCGUGUGAACGGCCAUGAUGUUAUUUCUUGUUGAGCUACAGAUGUAUUGCUUUAGCUGGAACCGCUGAAUUUCUUCAAGACUGACUACUGUCAUCUCUGCUUCAAGGAUAUAUAUCUGCUGCAUAUUGCAAGCAUGCUGUCCUUUUGUUGCUGUUACUUUUGUCUGGAAUAAACCGCAGCACAAAUCAUUCUACCAUAGCAAUAUAAAUCAGCCUCUCAUGGUCAACAAGCCUAAGAGACUGAAUUUCAACCAGAGAGGAGGGGUGGGGGAGAGAGAGAGAGAGAGAGAGAGAGAGAGAGAAAGCUUACUUCCCAGAGAGCAAGUUGUUGGCAUUUAUCUUAAAGGAUUGUCCAUUCCAAGUAGCUAAGAUUAAUUUUAUCUUACGUAGCAUAAGCUAGGAAUGGGAAAACUGUCUCCUCCAAAUAAACUGCAAGUUUUGUAGAGGAUAGAAAAUCCAGGCCAAAUACAAGCUAUAAAGAAAUAGAGAAAUAAUACCUAUGAAGCUUACGUGAACUUGCCUUCUGGAGUCAAUCACCGAUAAAGUUAUUUCCCCCCCUGGGAUUAUGGCAGGGGAGGAAACGGUAAUCUCAUUUCCGCACACGCCACCAUCCCAAUUACCCCCCUCCUUGGAGAUACCCUGCUGCCUAGUGGGAAGGCGAAGGGAGGGGCACGGUGGCAGGGUGGUACCCGCGCAGUGGCAAGAGCACCAGAUUGGCUCUGCUGGUGUGUUUUCUCCCUGACAACCUCCCUGCUGCCUCGUGCUUCCCCCUCUCAUCAAGAAGCGGCGACUCAGCAUCCGAGAGGUCAACUGAGAGCUGCCACCCUGAUCCUACCCCACAAUCUGCUACUGGUUUUAAGACUAUGGGACGUGAGCCAAGAAAUCAUUUGGUUUGAAUUUUACUGCAGCCAUGAACGCCCCUGCUGCUCUCUCUCAGCCACCCAUCUGAUGCAUAAGGCUAAUAAUACUAUCAGACCUUACAGAGUUGUAAGGUUUAAUGGGCUAAUGCCAGUGGAAUGCUUUAAAUACAGGGAAAAGUUAGGGGGGAAACAUUGCUGUAGGAAGUUAUGUGUAUGUUCAAAAGAUGGGGUUAAUGGGACCAUAAGCAGUGUUUCUCACCAUUCAAGAUAGUGGAAACAGUAUUCAGAUCAGCCCCAUAUGAGCAGUCAGGGCACAAUUCCAAUUCCUUACUUCCACACGUAAAAAAUAGCUUUUCAUAUCCCACUGAUUUAUCAGCUAAAACGAUGGUUUGGUACCAUUUUCUUUAUGAAAUGGUCACAUUCAAACACUGGGUGGUUUCUGUAAGGUGCUUCUUUUCCCCACAACUAAUUUUUUUUAAAAAUAAAUAUGCCAUUCUGUUAAGUACCAUGAUUUAAAUCACACAUUUACAAGUUGUUUCAGUAUUACCGAAAGACAUUAUUGAAUUAACAUAUUUUACUCUGAAAAUUCACUAGGGAUUUAUGUAAAAUACAUUUGCAUUUUGUACUUGAGUGCUUCCCAGUCAAAGUAUUUCUUUUAUUUCAUAUCUGAAAUAUAGUUUGCCCAGCUCCGAUGUUGACCCAUUUUAAAUAUGGUCAUUCUUGAGGUAUCUUAAUUGGAAAAUCAGACUUUUACAAACGUUUUGUUUUUAACCUUAUAGUAUAAUACCUUUGGCUCCAAUCUGCAGAAUUUUAAUCUUUCUUAAUUUCCAUUUAAAUCAAUGGGGCAAAAGUUCGUUGCAGUUAUGGCUGGAAUGAAAAUGUUUGUGCAUUUUAUAAACGGUUUUGUCCCCUGAGAAAAGCACCUCUUUCAGAUAAUUUGGAGGGAGAGUUCCUAAGGAUAUAGAAGUAUUCAAACAAGCAUUCUGUGGGGACAGGCUUUGAUUUGAACAGGUAUGAGGAAGCCAGGUCCCUGCUUUGCCAAGAUGACUGGGCUAUCACUUCCUGCUUUGCUGCACUGUGCUACAACUGUGACAGCCAAGGUGGAAAUGAAACAACCACAGGGAGGGGGCACUGGUCUGGUUGCCUUAGCAACAGGGGUAUUUCUCUCUCUCUUCCUCCAUUCAUUCUAAGUGAAGGCAAUGCAAUAGGCCCCAUUUGCCCUCUGUGCCACUGGCAAUGUGGGGCUGAAAUGGUAUCUAGAGAGAACUAAUUACCUGUGUGCUGAUUCUUGUGAAGCUAAAACAGCUGCAUCCAUGCAGAAGAGGGAGGUAUCAGGGGAAUGUCAAAAUUUGCAGAAAUACAGACAAUCACCCCUCCCUUUCAAGAAGGGAAUACAGUCAAAACUCGCGUUACAGAUGCUCCAUGUUGCGUUUUUUCGGGUUACAGAUGUGCCGAAACCCAGAAGUACCGGAAGGGUUACUUCCAGGUUUCGGCAGUCACACAUGCGCAGAAGCACUAAAUCAUGCUUUGCGCAUGUGUAGAAGCACGGAAUUGCAACUAUGUGGUGGGCCAGACUAUAUUUGGAGGGUUAGGGGAAUGAAUCAAUUCCUAUGCCCCACAAAUAACCCAGAGAUGCAUUUUAAAUAAAAGGACACAUUCUACUCAUGUAAAAACAUGCUGAUUCCCGGACCGUCCGCAGGCCGGAUUGAGAAGACGAUUGGGCCGCAUCCGGCUCCUGGGCCUUAGAUUGCCUACCUCUGUUUUGGUUGAAGCCCCCACCCGAUCACAGGACCAUGAGCCCUGCCACAAACAGGAAGGUGAAGGGGAUAUACUUAAGGAGGCACCGUGGGAAGGCAGAUAUUGAAGGACUCAAUAUCUGAGUGACAGAGCAAGGCUUUGGCUGUAGCUAGGAAGAGGGUAAUUUGGACUCCAUUUAUGGCAGCAAAGUAGCUUGUGCAGCUUUAAAAAAGUGCAGCUUUUUAGAAUGGCUUAAGCAAUAACAUAUCAGGGGGAAUGGGGCAAUGAACAAUGCAGAUGUUCUCAAAGACAUUUUGGUCCUCUCAAAUGGUAGAUGUGUAAUACAGGGUUUGACAUAAAUUGAUCCACUGAUAUCAAUAGCAGUUAAACAUGAUGUCCUCUCUCCAGAUUGUCACAGAGAUCUGUGUCCCCGUUUUAUGCUACAAGCGGGCUAGAGUUAUCCCCUGAUAAAAGCUUCUGGUUGCCUCUAGGAACUGCCUAGCUUAUAGGUUGUCUUCAAGCUACCUAGGGGUGAUGCACCAGUUAUUUCUUGCUACAGUAGCCUGUGGCUAAAAUGUAAUAAGGACAUAUUGUCACUGCUGCAAAUUUUCACCUAAGGUGAAAGUCAAGAAGAAUUUGCAAUGGCUUCUCUGGGGAAACCACCUAUAGGGAUUUUGAGGAAAGUCCAAAGAGUCUUGAUAAGAAUUGCAAAAAAAAUUAAAAUCCUCAGAGAGGCCAUUGCCAUCUGUACUGUGGAACAAACUCUGUGAAUCUCUUACACACACACACACACACACACACAGAGAGAGAGAGAGAGAGAGAGAGAGAGAGUUUUCUGUGAGCAGGACCUGCCCCAGUCAUUUCAGCACCAACUUAAUCUUCAUCUGAUACGAACACAAAGGUCUGAUCCAUGCCAAGAUGUGCGCAAGCUUUCAAAAAGUACUGCAGUAGAGGCAACUUAACUACCUGUGACACAUGUGCAUGAUAAAAACGUAUGAAAUCUUGGAGCUUAUGUAGCAGACUGAAAGAGGGCUAAUAAUGAAGGGUAAUAGGAUGAAUUACAUAAAGGUAACAGGUAGUAUUAAUAUCAGGGAAAGCUUCCUGACAAUUAUAUCUAUUAGCUUUUACUAUAAUCUCCUUAGGGAAAGUAAUGAAGGCUCGUUAGCUCACAUCUUCAAGAAUAUCCUGGACACUACACAGGAAGAUAUGGCACGGGAAGAAAACAUGAUGGAUGAGAAAUAAAAAAAAGCUGUUGGUCCACUUAAGCCACUUCUACCCACUUCAUGCUCUAAGCACAUGGAUUCUACACUAAAAUCCUGCAGCCAAAAAAUCAAGGCAUUGUGAAAAGCGUAAGUUAUGUUCACUAAGCUAUUUGACUAUAUAUUUGUGGGGGGGGGGCCUAGUCACAAAAUGAAUUUCUUUUGACACAAUUCAUUAUAUACAGUUGCAGCCUUUCUGAAUACUCACAUAUCUGAAGAAAGUUGCAGAUCACUUCUAGGAAGCAGUUGCCCAGGUAGGCACAUGAGAGCAGCAAAAUAACCAGAUUGUACAAUGGUGGUUGGAUAAAAUCAAGCCAAGUCUUUAUUGACAGCAGCAGGCAGGGUAAGGGUUGGCAUGGCAUUAGGGCCAGGUUCAGUUCAUCAUUUCAGAAGUCCCAAGAGGAUCCGUUGGGUUUGAACUGCCCCAAACCUGUUUCAUGGGAGUUGGCCAGUGCUGAACCUUGCUGUGGUGCAAGCCAAGCAAGCAAGUUGUCACUGGGUGACCAGGGUGCAGAUUCCAACCAGACAGAUACCCCAACCCAAGCUUGGAGAUGUCAUGGUCAAUAUUGCCCUCUGACCUCUUACGAGGGGCCCCCUAUACUAUGUUGAUCCUUCCCAAUGCCAUGACGCCCUCAUACAAUGUUCUUCACCUAACAAAGCAAGGCCAUAAUUUCACUGAGGGAAAGGUGGAAACCCCCCCCCCCAACCAAGUGUCUAUCAGGUUGAGAGGGGAAAACCAAUUCUUAACAGCCCGGUUAACCAGUGACCCAGAAUUGCUCAGUGAAGGCUCUAACCCGAGGGUGGGUGGAAAGCUUUCAAGUCCAAGUGGCCCUAAGCUGCAGGGGAAGUUUCCCCCCACUCCUUUGCAAGGGCUUAUGAGACAGCUUUUUCCCAUGAGCCCAUCACACAGGCAAGACACUGGGCAAAACUUUGCCCAGUAUUUUGCUGCAACCUGUGGGCCACAGCACUGCUGGGCAAAGGCAUCUUGCACUUACUGGGCAUGGAAUGAGGCCUCUAAGCAAAUUAUACAAUUGUGAUGGGGGGCUGAAGUUGGCUUGGAAGGGGGUGUUAUAAAUAAGAUUAAAAAAUACAUCACACAAUCAAAUGUUGGGUACCAUGGGCUGCAUCAAUAGGAGUAUAGCAUCUAGAUCAAGGGAAGUAAUAGUGCCACUGUAUUCUGCUCUGGUCAGACCUCACCUGGAGUACUGUGUCCAGUUCUGGGCACCACAGUUCAAGAAGGACACUGACAAACUGGAACGUGUCCAGAGGAGGGCAACCAAAAUGGUCAAAGGCCUGGAAACGAUGCCUUAUGAGGAACGGCUAAGGGAGCUGGGCAUGUUUAGCCUGGAGAAGAGGAGGUUAAGGGGUGAUAUGAUAGCCAUGUUCAAAUAUAUAAAAGGAUGUCACAUAGAGGAGGGAGAAAGGUUGUUUUCUGCUGCUCCAGAGAAGCGGACACGGAGCAAUGGAUCCAAACUACAAGAAAGAAGAUUCCACCUAAACAUUAGGAAGAACUUCCUGACAGUAAGAGCUGUUCGACAGUGGAAUUUGCUGCCAAGGAGUGUGGUGGAGUCUCCUUCUUUGGAGGUCUUUAAGCAGAGGCUUGACAACCAUAUGUCAGGAGUGCUCUGAUGGUGUUUCCUGCUUGGCAGGGGGUUGGACUCGAUGGCCCUUGUGGUCUCUUCCAACUCUAUGAUUCUAUGAUUCUAUGAUUCUAUAUCCAUAGGGAAUGAAAUAUCAACAUCUCCAUACAGGGUUGGUGGAGAAAUUAAAUUAAGUUUGCACAUUCAGAAGUGUGUAUUAGGAGAAAUUCACUCUAUAAAGUUGUUGGCUUUUCAUGUGGAUUUUUUUAAAAAAGUGCAAUGUGUUGUGAAUAUAGUGGAGGACCAAACGUAAGAUGACAGCUUCACCCAUCCUUAUCUCCAUAUUUAAGUAUCACAGCACAAGCACAAUUCCCACUCCCUAAAAGAUGUGACUUCCCCAAGAACUCUUCACCUCCAAAUUCUGUUGCGCUGCCCCAAUAUUGCAUGUUUUAAGUCUUUAGGGUUGGCAGGUCCACUGAUCAAUCUCCAAAUGGAACAUAUAUAUCUAUAAUAUUUUAUAGAAGUAGCCAGAUGUUGAAACAGAAUGCUCCGAUAGACAUAUUAAUCAACAAUAUUUCUGUGAUUGAAGCAGCAGGAAAAAAUUGCUGCGACAAUCAAGGAAAUUGCUGUUGCUCGUGGGCCAGUUCAUGCCGUCUAUAUAAAAAAAAAACACCCCUCCGUUUACAGUGGCCUGUUAGGCACAGAAGUGUGGGGGAAGUAAUAUAUGAGCUGUUACAACCACAUUGGCAGAUGCUGCUUCACAGCAGUCAUUCACACAAUCUGCGCUAUCAUACUCUCAAGAAUCACUGUCAAUGUAUGAGCAGUGAUGACUGGCUUAUAUCCUCCGUAUGUGUGUGCGUCUGUCCACUGGGCAGCUCUACACAGAUGAUUUUAGAGCAUGUGAAUGAAAUCUGUGUGCAUUAUCUCUUAGCUCCUGCCACUUUAGGGGAAGGGCCAUGGGUUAGCGGGAGAGCACCUGUUUUGCAUGCUGAAGAUCCAAGGUUCACUCCCCAGGGGAUUGGAGUGUCCCUUCUGAAAACUGCAGAGCUGCUGCCAUUGCUUAGUCCUUGUAUACGGUUCCUGCUUUCCACCUCUCACAUUGGAUUCCCAAUUUAAUGGUUAGAGUGCUGGACUAGGCCUGGGGAGAGUUGCCAUACAUUCUCUUUUUCUAGGACCCCCCCCCCCUUUUUCAUGAUAAGAGUCAUCGUAGAUAUCCAUAGUUAAAAGUAAAAGGUAAGGGUAAAGGGACCCCUGACCAUUAGGUCCAGUCACAGAUGACUCUGGGGUUGCGGUGUUCAUCUCACUUUACUGGCCAAGGGAGCCGGCGUACAGCUUUCAGGUCAUGUGGCCAGCAUGACUAAGCCGCUUCUGGCGAACCAGAGCAGCGCACGGAAACGCCGUUUACCUUCCCGUCGGAGCGGUACCUAUUGAUCUACUUGCAAUUUUGGCAUGCUUUUGAACUGCUAGGUUGGCAGUAGCAGGGACCGAGCAACAGGAGCUCACCCUGUCGCGGGGAUUCGAACCGCCGACCUUCUGAUCGGCAAGCCCUAGGCUCUGUCGGCAAACGUGUCAAAAUAUGAUGCUCCCUGAGGGACCUUGGCCUGGCUGUAUUCUCUUUCUCAGCCUACCACACAGGGUUAUUUCUUGUGAGGAUUAGAGGGUUGUAGGCAUGGAGCAAAAACUAUGUAUGCACCUUGACCUCUUUGGAAGAAAGGCCAAUGAAAUGAAAGAAUGAAAGUUGCCAUACUAGGCUAUUGCCCAUGAGCUGUUUUUUGCUUGUGAAUACAAUGAAGCAAUUUGCAAACUUGCUGCUUCUAUGAAUUCUUUAUCCACGACAGUGAAUGUGUAGUUUUUGCUUUGGGAACAGAAAAUCACAAGUAUUCAUAGCAUCCCAGUCCACUAUUAAACACUAGCAAUAGCCAAGCAGCUGUGCAACCCUUUGCUGAUGAGCGCAUCAGUUUGUUAUCAGAAAACCUAAUGUUACAACCUCUCGGACACUGUUCCAUGUGCUUUGAUGACUGGGGUGUAAAGGCUGCUGAUAGGUUUGUUUGCUUCUUUGUGGGGUUGGGAGGGGGUAGGAACGAUGUCAUAUUCAGGAUUCAGGGGUCAUUUUCUAAUUCUGGUUGAUACAUUUAGUUCAGGUCUCUGGCUCCUAGUGCUUUUAUAUUUCAUAAGUCUCUAAUUUAUUUAGCGGGGUAGGGGCAUUCAGUUUUAUUUCAGCUAAUGGUGAAAAAUAAAGGAAUGAAUCGUGAUGUUCUGGAAGGGCUUUGCUGUCCUGGAAGAACCUUGCAGGAGAAAGUUAUAUAACAGUAACUCUUAAACUUCCAGUUUUUGUUGUGGGAGAAACUUGUUUACAGAUAUAGAUGAUAGAUAGAUAGAUAGAUAGAUGAUAGAGAUAGCUAGAUAGCUAGAUAGAUGUCAGUGAUCUCAGGUUAGGAGAAACAUUAUUUUACCACUAAAGGCAUCAUAUGAAUAUAAUGAAAGCUGUCUUUUGCAACUUACAUAAUAAUGUGUAUCACAGUGGGAUAAAUAAAAUAUGCAGCAGUGGCAAAGAAUGGGAAAUGAAACAUUAUUCUUGAUCGUAGUCUGCAGCUGGUCUUGGGAUCAGUUUGUUCAAACAGCAGAAUUAAGUGGUAAAGCCUUUUCUGGACUAAAUUAUUUUAAUAUCACGUUUAUGUAUGGGGGAGCAGUAAAUGUUGGGAGUUAAAACUUAAUCUUCCCAUAAAAGCCUGUUGUAUCACAUGAUAGGAGGAAAGCUAUGCUGAAUCCUUCUCCACGAGGAGUUAUGUCUUGGAGGGCAUUUCUGAAAACAAGAGCACACAAACACCUGCCCAUGUAUAUACAGGGUAUACCUGCCAGUUACAGAUCAGGAAAAACUUCACAUGAAUCUACCACUUCAUAUAUAUUUUCAUGACCAUCCUGGUUUUCCACAGCAACAUGUUGGAGGGUAUAAGAAUGACACAUGUCACACCAUUCUGUGCAUGCAAUGUUUCACCAGGAGAUCUCUCCACACACACGGAUCACCUGUACUGGAUCAAAGCAGAAGUUGCCUAUUUCUUCACAGUAGUUCCACUGAGAACGAACACAGAAAUAGGUUAAGAAAUUUGUAAAAGGCAAGCCUUUAUGUGAUUAUGCUUUUACAUUUCUUGCUACAAAGUGUACAUCAUUUUUAAAGCUUCAGGAAGGCCAGGAACUUUGCCCAUGGCUUUUAAUUGUUGUUUUUUUAACAUUAUGCUAAAUUGUAUUAAAUUAUUCAUCUUAUGACUGGCAUUAUUUAGGAGCUUCACAUCUGCCUUUAGCUGCAGUACAAAGGUUAAGUUGUUAAAAAUCCCAGUUGCCAACCCAUGUUUGUAGAAUUAGGUUUCUUUUAAAGUGCCAUUGCCUUACUUAGAUAGUUGGUAAUUAGAUCUGGGCAUUAGCUCUUUAUUUUUUAUUGAACUUCAUUUUUAUAUCUAAAAGAACCUUUGGAAUACAAGUCCCACAUCUGAGUGGUGUGGUUAUCAGAAAGUCUAUCUCCAUGGAGUACUUCAGCUGCUGAUUUUGAGGCAAUACAACACUGCAUAUGUACAUCAUCAUCAAUGUGUAUUAUGUGCGCAUCAUACAUGUGCAAUAUUUUAAAUAUUAUGAUACAGAUAAAACUGCCACUUCAAGCCUGUCUGCAGAAAGUUUCUAUUAAAGCGAAUGUCACUUUUGUCGUUGAAACCUUUUAUUUACAGAGCCGUGAGAUUUACAUCCAAGUAAUUGAGAGGUGUGGUAAACUAGCCUGUGACAACUGACUUUGUGUUAUCAACAUUAUUGUUUGACAAGCAGCUUUUCAGAGUACAGAAAAAAUGCACACCAGUGCAAAGCUUUUCUGAAGCCAAAUAUUUUCCAUGCCACGUCAACACAAAGUACUCGGUGAUCUUCAGUACAUUAACAUUAAUUUUUCCUUUCCAGCAAUUUUCAUUUGAAUUACUAUUUUGAACAGCAAAACUUCUUAAGUGCAGUGAAGCAGGAUUACUUUAAGAAUUUUCAUCAGCCUAAGCAUUCAUAUUUUAAGUGGUGAGUAACAUGAGUUCAAAUUAAGGAUGAUGCAGAUAACACUUAGAUGCUUAUAUUCUGCUGUGGCUUUGGCAGAAAAUGUGCCACAAAGUACUGAGCUGUCUAAGGCUGAAAUCCUUUGGACACUUCCUUGUGAAUAAAUCCAUUGAACUAAAUGGGACUUACUGCCGAGUAAGAUCAUGCUAUUGGUGUUCCAUUUUGGCCCACAAGCAUAGGGCGCUAAUGAUCUGUGGGUCUAAUUGAUAUGUUCCUGGCAGAGAUGUGCAAGCCACCCAUGCUUUGCUCCCAAAAUUAUACUUUUUAGAGAAUUACAAGAAUUCAAUGUGAGUUGUUGAAAGGACCAAUUAUUAUUAUUAUUCUCCCCCUCCCCCGUUCCCUACAAGUAGGGUUGGAAGGGGGUUCUGUUUGUUCCCCUUUGUGUAGCACACCAACCCAAUUCAAAAUUCAUGCUGGUGAAUGCAGCUAUCAGUCAGAUUACACACUUCUCUGAAUUUGUGCACUUUGGGUCCACAAAAGAAAAAUAUGUAUUUUACAUGUGAAAUGUAGGCAUUUUACAGAAAAAUAAUAAUAAUAAUAAUAAUAAUAAAUUUUAUUUAUAUCCCGCCCUCCCCAGCCAAAGCCAGGCUCAGGGCGGCUAACAACAAACAAAUAAUCAAACAAUCAAAUAAUCCAACAUUCUAAAACAUUUCAUUAUAAAAUUAAUUAAAAUCAAAUUAAUGGCAACCGUUAAGCAAAGUUCUGUGCAGGUUGCCAGAGGAGGGAGUCAGGCUGGGCCCUGACCAAAGGCCUGGUGGAACAACUCUGUCUUGCAGGCCUUGCGGAAAGAUGUCAGGUCCCGCAGGGCCCUAGUCUCUUGUGACAGAGCGUUCCACCAGAUUGGAGCCACAGCCGAGAAAGCCCUGGCUCUAGUUGAGGCCAGCCUAACCUCUCUGAGGCCUGGGACCUUCAGGAUGUUUUUAUUUGCAGACCGUAGGUUCCUCUGUGGGGCAUACCAGGAGAGGCGGUCCCGUAGGUACGAGGGUCCUAGGCCGUAUAGGGCUUUAAAGGUUAAAACCAGCACCUUAAACCUGAUCCUGUACUCCACCGGGAGCCAGUGCAGCUGGUAUAGUACCGGAUGAAUGUGAUCUCGCAGCGAAGACCCCAUAAGGAGUCUCGCCGCGGCAUUCUGCACCCGCUGGAGUUUCUGGGUCAGUCUCAAGGGCAGCCCCACGUAGAGCGAGUUACAAUAAUCCAGUCUGGAGGUGACCGUCGCGUGGAUCACAGUGGCUAGGUCAGGGCGAGAGAGAUAAGGGGCCAACUGCUUAGCUUGGCGGAGAUGAAAAAAUGCCGCCUUUGUUAUAGCUGUAAUCUGCGCCUCCAUAGAGAGGGAGGUAUCGAAGAUUACACCCAAACUCUUUUUUUUUUUUUAAUACAUUUUUAUUAAUUUUCAUUGAUUAUACAUAUAUACAGUCUAGAUUACAUAAGUUGCAUAUAACAUAGCUGUUACAAAAUCAUAUAUAUAGUACACAAUUAUUUAUAGGCUCCGCCGAGCCUCGGACUUCCCUUCACUUUAUUGAUAAGUAUCAGAUAAUUUCUAAAGUUGCAUGUUUUAUCUCCUUUACAUGUUUGCCAAACACUGUUAGAGUUAUUCUAACCCUGCCAGAGUCCUCAAAGUUCUAUACUUAUCUCUUAUAUACGUCAGAUAUUUAUUCCAAUUUUCAUGAAACUUCUGGUCAUCCUGGUCUCUUAGUCUUCCUGUUAUUCUAGCUAGUUCAACAUAAUUUAUCAUCUUGUUCUGCCAGUCGUCUAUAGUAGGUAUUAAUUCUGUUUUCCAGCUUUGGGCCAACAUAUUUCUAGCGGCCGUUGUGGCAUAUAGAAACAGAGUUUUAUCCUCUUUUUAAUUUCCUUGCCAACUAUUCCUAGCAGGAAAGCUUCAGGCUUUUGGGAAAAGUAUAUUUAAAAAUCCUUUUAAGCUCAUUGUAGAUCAGUUCCCAAAAGCCUUUUACUUUCCUGCAUGUCCACCACAUGUGGUAGAACUCACCAUCUUCCUCUCCACAUUUCCAGCACUUCUUAUUCUUCAGUUUGUAAAUCUUAGCCAAUUUCACUGGUGUGAGAUACCACCUAUGAAUCAUCUUCCAGAGAUUCUCCCUUAAUGCCGUACACGCCGUGAAUUUCAUAUUUACAUUCCACAAUUCCUGCCACUUUACAAAGUCAAUGUUGUAACCAAUGUCUAUGGCCCAUUUUAUCAUAGCCUCCUUCACCUCUUCGUCUUUUGAGAUUACACCCAAACUCUUAACGGACGGUGCUGGCACUAAUUGCACCCCCGCAAGAGAUGGGAGUUGCCCCCCCAAUCCCAUAUCGUCCCGUCCCAGCCAGAGGACCUCUGUCUUCGAAGGAUUUAACUUCAACCGGCUUCCGCGUAACCAUCCAGCCACAGCUUCCAAACAUCUGGUCAGUGUGUCUGGGGCCGAGUCAGGAUGGCCAUCCAUCAACAGAUAGAGUUGGGUGUCAUCGGCAUACUGAUGGCAACCCAGCCCAAAACUCCGGACAAGCUGGGCGAGGGGCGCAUAAAGAUGUUAAAAGCAUCGGGCGAGUACCGCACCCUGAGGCACUCCACACACCAAGGAGUGGCGGGAUGACAAUUCCCCCCCCAGCGCCACCCUCUGUCCCCGACCGGAGAGAAACGAGCGCAGCCAUUGAAGGACUGUGCCCUGGAUCCCCACGUCGGCAAGGCGGUGGUCCAGGAGUUCGUGAUCAACCAUGUCGAAGGCUGCUGACAGGUCUAGAAGAAUCAGCAGCCCCGACCCGCCUCGAUCCAGCUGCCUGCGGAUAUCAUCUGUUAGGGCGACCAGAGCCGUCUCGGUCCCAUGACCAGCGCGGAAGCCAGACUGGAAUGGAUCCAGAGCCGAUGUUUCAUCCAGAAACCUACCAAGCUGUUCAGCAACCGCUCUCUCAAUCACCUUACCCAGGAAUGGAAGAUUCGAAACCGGGCGGUAAUUGGAUAGAUCUAAGGGAUCUAAUGAUGUUUUCUUUAAGAGCGGGCGCACCACUGCCUCCUUCAAUUCCCCUGGAAAUAUCCCGGUGCCAAGGGACAAAUUGAUGAUAUCCCCAGGGGGGCCCGCACCUCGUCUGGACACGCUCUAAUCAGCCAAGACGGGCACGGGUCAAGAGGACAGGUGGUGGGCUUUCCAGCUCGGAGGAGUCUGUCCACAUCGGCUGGGGAUAUCCGAUCAAAGUGGUCCAAUACUGGACCCGAGGACAGUUGAGGGGCCUCCAGUUCCUUUAUUGUAUCCAAAUUGGCAGGGAGGUCAUGGCGGAGCAACAGGACCUUCUCCGCAAAAAAAGCUCGCAAAUGCCUCACAGCUGUGUGUCAGAUUGUUAUUUAAAUUUGGCUGUCCUUCAAGGGACGUUAAAGACCUAAUCAUACUAAAUAAUUGCGCCGGGCGAGAGCUAGCGGAUGCAAUGGAGGCCGAGAAGUAAGACUUCUUAGCGGCCUUCACCGCCAUCUCAUAGGUUUUCAUAAAAACCCUAUAAGAUGUUCUUGAGGCUCCGUCACGGGCACCCCGCCAUACUCGCUCUAGCCGUCUGAGGUCCCGCUUCAUUUUCCGAAGCUCCUUGGUAAACCAGGGAGCCCGGUUUCUGCGGGGUCGCAGAGGGCGCUUAGGUGCGAUCUCAUCUAUGGCUGCCAGGAGCUGGGUAUUCCAGCCCUCAACAAGCUCAGUCAAUGAGUCGCCAGGGGGAGCAAGGUCCCGCAAGGCUUGACGGAAAUGACAUUGAAAAAUGUGUGUUUUAUGGGAGGGACAUGUACAAAAUGUGUACUAAUAGCAAUGUUUUAGUUGCGUGUGUGUCCUUUCAGAAAGUCCACAAAAAACCAGGACAGAAUAGAACAGAACAGAACUGUGAUUGAGUACUUGAACCUGACUUGGAAUGGACUUACGUAAGUUGGUUUAUCCAGCCCUGCCCACAAAUCUCUAAACAGAGGCAGAUUUAGGCUAGCAUGACCAGUUUGCCCGCACUGGAUGCCAAGCUGAGAGGGCAGCACGGGGGGGGGGGGGGCGGACACAACAGUGAUGUAGAAUGGAAGAUGAGAGGCACGCGGUGUGUGCACCAAAUUGUGUGCACAUGACCUUCUAAUGGAUCUAAAUGGCAGAAGAUUCAGUAUGGAUAAAAGAAAACACUUCUCUAAGCAGUGUGUCAUCAAUUUUCAGAACUUACUACCACAAGAUAUGGUAAAGAUAAAGGGACCCCUAACAGUUAAGUCCAGUCGUGAAUGACUCUGGGGUUGCGGAGCUCAUCUCACUUUACAGGCCGAGGGAGCUGGCAUUUGUCCGCUCUGUAGACAGUUUUUCCGGGCCAUGUGGCCAGCACGAAUAAGCCGCUUCUGGCGCAACGGAACACCGACACCAGAGCAGCACACGGAAACGCAGUUUACCUUCCUGCUGGAGCGGUACCUAUUUAUCUACUUGCACUGGUAUGCUUUCGAACUGCUAGGUUGGCAGGAGCUGGGACAAAGCAAUGGGAACUCACUCCAUCAAGGGAAUUCGAACCGCCGAUCUUUUGAUCGGCAAGCCCAAGAGGCUCAGUGGUUUAGACCACAGCACCACCCGUGAUAUGGUAGUAGCCACUAAUUUCUCAGGUAGGCAUCUAACUGGCCAAUGUACAAAUCAGGAUGGUGAAUUAUAUAGGCCUAUGUAAUUUGAUCAAUUAGGGGCUCUAUGUUUUUGUUUUUAUUCAGUUUCUUCCUUUUGUGCAACAGACAACAAGAACAAGGGAAGGGAAGGGGGAGGGAUGAAGAAGGGGAACCAUAUAAAUACAUCAAUUUCCAGAGAUGCUUCAAAAGCAAAAAUCUUGAUAUUUACAACAGUUCAAGUGGUGCCACAGAAUAUUGCCAUUUCUAGGCAUGCAGCUUAAUAUAUACAGACAUUUAUCCAGAAGUGACUGACUCUGAUAUGCUACACAUUCAAAUGCAGACAGUGCAAUGAGGUUGUCAGUCCAUUGCGCAACAGCUAUCAGAAAUUUAUCCUUGCAGGCUCAGUCUUGUGUUGCUUGUACAGCUAUAAAUUUUGAGCCAGUUCCCUCCAGAGAACGUUGUAAUUAGUAAAUGGGUCCUAGUUAAUCAAUGAAUGUCUCCCAGUCUCCUGCCUUUCUUCCAACACACCAUAUUCACGCUGGGCUUUGCGUGGUUGAGGAAAACAUUGGUAACUUUCUCUUUCACUUAAGAAUGAAUUAUAGUUCACAGGCUGGUGAUUUUUACAUAAGAAUUCAAAACAUUUAAGUAGAGGAAUAAUUUGCCUCUUUCUUUUUUAGUAAUAAAAUGAGGGUUUGAACUGGUACACGGUAAACACUAUGGUGAUAAACUGGCAAUCAGAAAAUGAUGCCAUAAAACAAAAGACAAAGAAAGCAGCAGACUUCUGGAGGAAACAUGAAAAAACAUUUAGAUUUUAUUUCUGGGCUACAAAUAAGGAGAACUCUUCCGAAGAUUUUGCACCAUACUGGAAAAAAGAGAACCCCCUUUCUCAUACGCUGCUUAAUUUCUGCAUUCAGAAAGAAAGUACUUAACAUGUCAAGUAGUACUUAACUGCAUUAGCAAUUCCAUCCUUUUCAAGGAGGAUUAACAAUCCCUCCUCAUUCAAUGUGAAUACAGACCUGAGGGGGGGAAAUGCAGCUGGCGGGGAAGAAUUUGAUUUUGCUGGAUCUGUGUGUUUGAUUAUAGGGCUAAAUAAAGGAUGUGACCCAUUUAUUUUUAUUAUUCUUAAAAAGUUACAUGUCCUAUACAUCCAUUUUGUCUGAAAGAAAUUGAUUAGACCCAAUGCAUACCAUACAACGUUAUAGUAUCUUCAGAAUCUGAAUAGCUUUAUGGAGUUAUGAAAUCACUGUCAAUGAGGAAAUAAUCGCUGCGAGGGAGGGAAACUGAUGGAAUUUUCUUCCAAGUAAGGUAUUUACCAGCGUCUUUGUGUAGCUUCUCUGUGUUUAGCACUAGAGUCUUUGUGUAACCUUAGUGAAAGACUGCAAGAACUACAGAGUUUGUUAAAGCGACAUUAUUAUUAUUAUUAUUAUUAUUAUUUUAAACCCACAAUUUUUUUCUUCAGUGGCUGCCACUUAUAUUUUAAUCAUACAUUCUAAAAUGAGAAAACACUGAAAGUUAAAAUUAAGGGAGAGGUGGCAAUUUUAAACUCAAUUAACACAUGGCACUUGGAGGGUAUUAAAGAAAUCCAUGCAAAUAGGGGAAAAUACAGUCACACAUCUUCUUUACAAGCAUCAUAUGCUUCAAAUCUAUACUGUGGAUGAGGGCCUUAGAAAUUUAUUUAUUUAUUAUUUUGAAAUUUUUAAACUGCACUUUCACAGAAAAUAUAGCAAGGUGGUGUGCAACAUAAAAACACAAGGUCUGUAUUUAUUAUCCCAAAGCCAGACGGCACUGGUACCUUCUGUCCAGGUGAGGAAAGCUCACCUCCUUCCUUGGCUAUUAACAUCUUGCAUUAACUGAGCUAUUUCAUUGUGGCCACAGGCCUGACAAGGCACCUAAAGCAAGAAAAGGUCUAGGAAGAUAAUUUCCCCUUUUUCCACAGCUGCUCCUUCAACACCUCCAAGUUCUCCAACAGACACCUCCAUCAAGAACUCUAAAACCCAGCAGCAAAAUUAUAAUUUUGAUCUUUAUUAUUACAUUUUUACUAGCUGGGUAGUAUGGAUGUGGAUUGGUAGGGGGGAAACACCACUUUGAUUUUCUUCUUCAGGCAAUCAGAUAUUAACAAAGUAGAAGGGAAUAAGAACUUCCAUGUGCAUGGGAAGCAGAGGGUUACUCCAAGGUGGCCUGUGACUUUGCCGUCUUUUUCUUUCAUCUUCUCUCUUAUGACCGAUUCUUAACUGGGCAAGGAGGCUGCAAGAACAAAGCAUGCCCAACAUGAAAAUCUAAGAAGGUGUUGAUGCUGGCAAGGUGACAUGGAAACUACAUCCACCUCAGGGAUGGCAUACCUGGGUAUUUCCUAAACCACCAUGCUUUCUGAAAAUACCAAUCAGGAGUUAGAGCAUUUUAACCUCCUCCUAGGUAGUCAAACUCUAUGUUUGGCAAAACUAUAACCAUAAGGCAUUUAAAAGAGUACAUCUCAUGAAUGUGUGUGGUGUGAGGGCUUCAGUCAAAGGUAGAAAGGUAAAGGUAAAGGACCCCUGAUAGUUAAGUCCAGUCGCAAACGACUCUGAGGUUGUGGUGCUCAUCUCACUUUACUGGCCGAGGGAGCCAACAUUUGUCCGCAGACAGUUUUUCCACGUCAUGUGGCCAGAAUGACUAAGCCGCUUCUGGUGAAACCAGAGCAGCGCACGGAAACACCGUUUACCUUCCCACCGGAAUGGUACCUAUUAAUCUACUUGCAAUUUUGGCAUGCUUUCGAACUGCUAGGUUGGCAGGAGCUGGGACCGAGCAACGGGCGCUCACCCCGUCGCAGGGAUUCGAACCAUUGACCUUCUGAUCGGCAAGCCCAAGAGGCUCAGUGGUUUAGACCGCAGCCCCACCCGCAUCAGUCAAAUGUGCUGAGGUACAAAUGUGUCUUCUUUCAGAGGUCCUCUUAUGAGGCAGAGAGUAGAUUUUAUUUGGUCUUUCCAGACUACAAUUGAUAAAAACAGCUCGUGACUUCUUUUUAAUUAGCAAGAGUGUGAGGAACAUUUUAACUAGUAGUGAGAGAUGGGGUCAAACACACCUCGACAAAACUGGGGUGUGGGGAAUCCAUACUGCUUUAGUGUCAGUCUGCCAUAAACCUGUGAUUCAGAUGGCCCUUAACUUAGAUAAAGGGCUACCGGUAAUUGCUAUGUGCUGUUUCAGGGACCCAUCCUUCCUUAAUGUAGAUAAAAAUUCAAGUUUUUACCCUUACGGCUUUUAGAGUUAAUUCUUCUCCUUCUGGAAUGAAUGGGGAUGGGGGGGUGCUUAUAAGGCACUAGGGGUUCAAGUGACCCCACCAAAUGCUGUUUAAAUUGGUUUCAAUUGGGUUAAACACACACACACACACGCCUAUUUUCAUACAAUAAAAAUCAUUCACUUCUCUCAACACCUCUAUGGUAGACAUUCUCUCUCUAUUUUUAUUUUUAUUUUGGAAGAUGAAGAAUCCAAUAUAGUCUGAACAUCCUUAAAAAGUCUCUUUCUUGUAGCCCUAGUUGAUCAAACUGAUGUAGGAUGGAUCUAGACCAGGUUGCCAAAGACACCAGAAGAACCAGUCUCAAAAUUGGUUGGACCUGCCACUGCUGAUACCAUGGAAAGGGAAGGAAUCAUCUCUUUGAUCAGCACUAUGGCAGAAUAUUGCAAUAUAAAACGGUUUUGUCUCUCCACCCCAUGAAGUUGUGGAAUGUAGUUGCUGUACAGCUACAGCAGUAGAGUCAGAGCAGCUAUGCUAUAGUUGGAAGGGCUAUCAAAUUGGUUGUUGUGACUGGUAUUUUAUGAUUAAUUAUUAUUGCACUAUUGUUACAUUAUACAGUGGUACCUUGGGUUAAGAACUUAAUUUGUUCCAGAGGUCCGUUCUUAACCUGAAACUGUUCUUAACCUGAAGCACCACUUUAACUAAUGGGGCCUCCUGCUGCUGCUGUGCCACCGCCGCACGGUUUCUGUUCUCAUCCUGAAGCAAAGUUCUUAACCCGAGGUACUAUUUCUGGGUUAGCGGAGUCUGUAACCUGAAGCGUAUGUAACCUGAGGUACCACUGUACGUACUGUUAUACAUGCACUAAUGGGAGGGUCUUUUGUGACUAUAUAGUUUUAUUGGGAAAAGGAAACUCUCAAAAAUGCGUUUGUUUCUUACCUGCAAAUUGUUUCAUAUUUAAUAACUUCCACUAGUUUUCUUGGGGUGCAUUUGACCUUGAUACCAGAUUGUAUAGUCAGUUUUGGUUUUGAGUUGGCAGAGGGUGAACCCAAAACAUUCUCAGAUCAACAAGGGGCAGAUGGAGCUACUUUGGAGGCAGAUCUGACCCAUCAGCUGCUAGAUCUGAUGGCCUAACCACCACCCCAGGCCAUUUAGCUUGCAAUCGUAUUAUUAUGAACGUCAGGUUAUUAGAAAUGGCUGUGUAUUUCUCAGCAUCUUCCAUAGGGCUAAAAUAUAGUUUUCUCUCAGAUAAACAGGAUAUGAUGGGGUGGAAGAAGGGCUGUUCUUCACCAAACAUUCAUUUAAAACAUUUAAGCCUUCAGGAAAUGAUCAACUGCUAAACCCACAUUUGAUUAGCACUGCUGCAAUUUACAAGCUUGUGUACAUUCCUGCCAUUGUUAGCUUCUUCUUUUUUAUUUCACUCUGAAUAAAACUUCAGUUAAUCUGUGGAAUAUCAAUGAGGGCCUAGAUACCCAAUGGAUCAGUUUAUUUGUGCGUUAUGUGUGUCGAAAGAAAGCUAACAUAAUAAAACUGUUGAAGCAUGCAAGUUAAGGCAAAGGCCCUGCCUCAGUUGAGAGUGUUUUAGGUCACCUGAGACUUAGUUAAAGCUGAUGUAUUAGUAGUGAAGUAUUAAUAAGGUAAGCACUGCUGUUUGUCAUUGUUGCUUAUAUGUAUACCGCUGGAAAGAGAGAGCUAACAAGAAGCUUCCCUAUAAUUGUUGGGCUGUGCUGUAGAUCUGUGCUAUAAUAAGACCAUCCGUUUUCUUCAUCUUUUAGUGCUUUAUAACACCUCAGUGCACAUAAAACAUACAAUUAUAUUAAAUGAUCUGAACGCAUGCUUGGAAAAUGAGAAAAAUAAUACACCGUUACAGUGUGGUUCAUAACAUUAAAUAAAAAAAGGAAAAGAACAUAUUUUCAACCAGUGAGAUUAUUUCAGUUUACCUCUUUUGGGAUGACCAUAUUGUUAAGCCUUCAGCUAAUCAUCAAGGUCACUUCUGAAUUCCCACAAACUUUUUUCUUAAUCUAUUGGUAUUUCAAGGAAUAUGUUUAUGACAUUUCACAUCCAUAUUUUCUAGUUCUCGGGUGAGUGGAAAUGUAUGAAACACUGAAAUGCAGUUAUUUAGAUCAGAUUAUUUGAAUUUAUAGUGUCUAAAACUCAGCUGGGGCUAAAAGGAAACUCUUCAAAGUCAUUCCAUUAUUUACAAUUUGAACCUAAAUAUAUUUCUUCCCUCCCCCUCCCCAAACCUUCUUCUUCUUCUUCUGGGUAAUUUUCAGAUUACUUUCCUCUCACGAUGAUAAACAUGGUACAUAUGAAGGAUGUGAAAGCCUCCAACCCAAGGGUGGAGAAGCUCUUCUGUUCUUUAUCAGAUCCUAGUCUCACAGGAUGAAUUUGACUAGUGGGUGAGGCUGCCCACCUGUCAAUCAUUGGACAUCACAAGGAUGGCCGGUGAUUGGGUGCUUUGACAUCCUGAAGUAAGGACUUCAAAGCACCAUGCAGAGAUUGUAAAGAGCUCUGUGCCUGAGGCUUUUGGUUUACUGCUUAGCUGAUGGGCAGCUGAGCCAGACAUUGACUGGAUGAGCCAGUUCCCCACAGGUACAGCGAACACACUGAAUUCUGCUUUCUAAUGAAGUUGCUUGCUCAGCUGAUCAAGCAGGUGUUGGCUUUACGGAAGCCAGCUUUCCCUUGCUAGUCCAAAAUCAAGAGCACACAGUCUAAAGCACCAGAUUGUUCAUUGGCAACUGCAUUUCUAUGUCUUCCACACCUGACAUCACAUAUGACAUCAGGUGUAGGGCAGAUGAGCAUAGUUUGAGGGAAAUGGCCUCACAGGCCAAAUUUGAACUCCUGGUAGGUCAGGUUUGGCCUACAGGUUGGAGGUUCCCAAUCUUGGCUCUAAAUCAGUGGUGGCCAAACUUGGCCCUCCAGCUGUUUUUGGACCAUAACUCCCAUCAUCCCUAGCUAACAGGGCCAAGUUUGGCCACCACUGCUCUAAACGAAUGGGCUAAGCUGAUUGUAUGAGGCAUGAUCUUACCGUUAGGCAGAGUGAAGUGGGUGAUAGGGGUGCAAAGCAGUGGUUAGAUGUUGGUAGGGCCAACCCUACCAUUAGACAGGAAGGGGAAAUCACCAGAGGAUGCAGAUACUGACAGGCAGCAGAGACAGUCCCCUAGCUGGUCCUCUUGAGCUCCUCUGGCUUUACUCUCUGUUGGAGGGCAGAGUUGUGUAUAUCACACAGUCUCCUGGGGCCCCUAAACUAACUUGCUGCCUCUGGUGUGAUGAAGGAUACAGUCACAUCGCUAGUGCUGAAGUCAGAUUCAGCUGUCAGCCCACUUAGCUUCUGUACAAGGACUAUGGAUGGUGUACCAACUUGCCCUUCACCUCAGGAGUUAAACUGGCUUGGGCCAACACUGCUUUUUUGAAGAACAAAAUUAUUUGCAUCUGUGCCAUAUGGCCUACUCUGCAUCCCCUAAGUCUUUUACCCCUUAAACAGGAUGGGGGACAUUUUCACCAGUGCUAAAUUAAGAUUCAGUUGCUAGUCCAUUUGGCUUUGGUAUGUGGAUUGGGAUGUAUGAAAUGUCAUUUGACUCGGGUCAAAUGAUCUGCUUUCAGUGUGGCAUUUCAGGUUUGUUUGCUUUAGGGGUACGUGAACAAGAAUCAAGAUAGUAAAAUGUUCAAUAUCACCUAUCAAAACUUCAGUUUCCUCUAGGAUCCUGGAGCAUUUCCAGAGCUCAAUUAGCUUAAAUUAGCGUUCUUUUCCUAAUUACAUAACAGCAACAAUAAGCCACAAAUUCGAUGAAAAUGAACAAAAACGAGCUAUGGUGAAGAAGUGAAUGUGAAUCUUCCUUCUGCAUGAAAUAAGACAGAGAAGAAUAUUGGUUGUCAUAACUGCCUGGAUAAAUUUUCAAUAAUAGGCUUCUUUAAAUAUAUUCAUUGUAACAAGUGAUGAUACAAAUAUGAGAAAAGGAUAAUCAAUACAACCAUAAUGAGAAAGUGUGAUUGCCGAUCCAGUUACAUGAAGAAUUAGAAUCAACACAGUUUGACAAUGGAUCAAAGAGGCUUGAAACAUAAGAAGAAAAUAAGGUUUUGUUAUUCUGUGAAGCAAAUGUGAUAUGAAGUGUAUGGGGGUGGGAAUUUGUGGGCACAUUUCAGUUGUACUGCAAUGAGUUUUAGAGACUUAAUCAGCUGCCAUUGACAAUCAGCAUCUAACCUGCAAAGAAGUUUUCAAAAUGUUGUUUCUUUCUUUUUAAAUAUCAACUAAGGAGAACAGGAAAGAAAUGAAAGAAAUCACUCAAAUGGCAAAAAUGCGUAGGAUAGAUCAUGAAUAUAAUGUGCAGUUGCAUGAGGCUGUUCCUGUUUUGCAGGCAAAAGUGCUCUAAAAACUGGGAGAAAGAAUAUCUUCUUACAUAGACAGGAGAAGUUUGUACAUUCAAACCUCAGUUUUCAAACGUCUCAGCUGCCGAAUGAUUGGGAAGCCAAACGCCAGAAACCCAGAAGUGAAUACUUCUGUUUUUGAAUGCACCUUGGAAGUCAAACGGCUUCCGAGACGCGUUUUUCAUUUUUCUUCCAUUGAACUUGCUGACAGCCCUUUGAUCCUUGGUUUUUGAACAUUUUGGAGGUCGAAUGGACUUCUGGAACGGAUUACGUUCAAAAACUGAGGUUCCACUGUACAGGGCUCUGAAUGUGAAGGAAAAUAUGAAUUGUGAAGGUUCUGUCCGGUUGGUUUUUUUUAAAAUGUGGAAAUGACUUCAGCAUUUGGUGUCUCCAGUAAGACACAGGAGAGGCAGCAAGUGGUUGGCCAGGAGUGGGUGGAAGGAAGGAAUUUCGCAGUGCUAAUGGUUUCCAUUGGAUUCUCCCCUCCUGUUCAUGCCCACCAUGGGAUUGCUGUUGUGUCUCCAGCUCCUUUUUUAAAACAAAUAAUUAAACCAUCAGGACAGCCUUUAAAGGUCCUUUUGUCAUGUUUUUUUCUCUCCCUAGGAGACCAAGCAAGCCCCCAGGCACCUUACCUGAGCCAAUUAGAACCACAAAUUCUUAAUGAGAUGCUCUUCCAAAUCUGCAAACCUCAUGAAUACUCCCCUAGUUAGAUUGCAGCUCUCUCUCUCUCUCUCUCUCAUAUCUUUUUAUUUCAUUUUUUGAGCACAAGGUAGAUGACAGAACCACAGCUUUUCUUUGUACAGGACAAUUCAGUAGCACCUCUUUUCUCCUUUGCUAAGGUUGGUUGUGAGACAAAGGGCCUCUUGAGAACUUUUUUUAAUUUACAUUGAGGGUGGGUUGGAAGAAGAGAAAAUUCUGGAGGGUUCUGUUGAAAUGCAUGAACAAUCCUAUAUGACUAAGAUCGCUUACAGCCCUGUUGACUCUGUAUUGUAUUCAGCUAAGUUCUACUCUGAGUAAACCCAAUGAAAUUAAUAUUGUCUGCAUCUGUCUGUCUCUGGAGACAAUGGAGUGCACUUUCAGGGGUGAAGUCAAACUGCUGUGUUACCAGCACCAAAGUGACCUCCCCAGAGUGCAAGACUGGGCAGUGUGUGUGGAGGUCCUGGGCUGACCACACAACAAGACCCCCACUCUUGGCUUCACUGAUGUGGUCCAAAGGAAAGCAGAGCAAUAUGUUUGGGUUGGCUAUAGGAGUUGCCAGGAGACGACGUACAAGAUGCCAUCCAACCAUCUUAGGCACUCCAUGCCAGAUUUGUGUAUGGUUUAUUCCUUAGCAUUUUCUUCUCCUGGAGAUAUCUCGCAAGGCAGCAAAGGUUUAGGACCAGAGUUUUCCUUCUCCUAGACUCGGAGUAAACCCAUUGAAAUUAAUGAAUCAUGUCUAUAAACUCAACGGGUCUACUAGCAUUGAAUGCCAUCAACUUGUGCUAGAAUUCAUGUUUGUUGAUCAUGAGAGUGGGAGAGAGAAUUCUGGUUUUUGUUGAAAUGCAAGGUGUUUUUGGAGUGAGGGGAAAGAUUUAUUAAGCCAGUCUUCUGUUUGUCUCCACCAGUUCUGCAUAUCCAGAAGUAGACUGCCUCACUUUUGAGACCCAGGGUGUGAAUGUGAGGAAUUGGUGAUCAAGCCAGUGCUUAGGAUGUGGUCAAAGGGGUUUUGAAGAACUGAGGUGUGACAUCUCUGAGAAGUGGUACUUCAGAGCUUCUCAGGGACUUUUGCAAUUUCUUCCCUAUCUUCUCAGUUGUACUGGGAUUUGCUGGAAGGCCCCAGGCCUCUUACUCAGGGGAGCUAUCCCCAGGUAUCUAAACCGAGCAGAAUCCUGACAAAAAUGGCAAAGUUGUGAAGCAGUUUUAGCCCCUACUCUAAUGAUGACCCUAAGCAGACCCCUCUAUUUUCCCAUAUAACUGAGGGCUGCCAUUUUGCAGCUUAAUAGAUAGGAAUAAAUUCAAAAGCAUGAUAUCCAAGCAUGCUUGGGGUUAUAGAUAAGAAGCAAUGUGUUCUAUCAUUAUUUGACUUCUCAAUACCGUUUCCCUCUUUUAUCAGGCUAAUUGGUUGCCUAAUUUGUAGAUGUCACAGAACGAUUGCAAACUCGAGUACUUCUCGCUGUAGAAAGGAUGAUUUCUUUAUUUGAUAUAAUGAAUGGCAGUUUUCUUACAAAAACCUCUCAUUCCUUCUCAUGUUCUUAAUUGCUUAUCCAUUAAUCUCUAGUUUUUGAUAUCUAUAAUACUACCAAUAGAUGGAAUAUAAGUGGAAUUUUCUCUACCCUGCCAAUCAGAGCUAUACACCUUUCAAUCAACAGAUAGGAUUAGCAUUUAUAAUCAUUACUCAAUUGCAAGGUAAUCCACAUUUUUCUCUAACUACCCCGCCUUUUGAUUAUACCAGAGUUGCACAUUCAAAAAGGAACGAGAGGUUGUUUCCCUCACUUGAAGUUAUUACCACUGAUGGACUAUUAUAAAUAUCUUUCACCAGAAUGUUAUUGCCAACCCCACCCCCAAAAAACCCUUCUAAUAGUUAUGCUUGUGCUGAUUGUAUUGGGUCAUGCCAAUGAGGACUUGUUAUACAGGCCGACUAUUAUUUCUCUAUGUAAUGCUAAUUCUUGUUGCAAGUUUGGUUGCAUUGAUCACUGUGAAUAGCUAACUGAAGAGUGGCUUGGGAAACAUUAACAAAAGAGCUUUAAUUAUUCUUCAUUACUGGAGAUGUUCAUCUGGUAGCUAAGAAUGUCUUUACAGCAUUUGAAAUGCAAUACUCCUAAGAGUUGGGGAAGGUGAGAUGUCUCAGGACUGUCCCCCACUCUUAGAAGCAGCCUGGCUUCUACUUUCCACAGUGGACAAACCUGUGUUGAUACUCCUGAACUGUGGAUUGGCCCACAACUCCCAAUCUGGUGGCACACUUAUUUGGAUUUCGCAAUGCAGCUUCGGUGCACAAAAGGGGCACACACAAAAACAUAACUUUGCAUUAAAAGUGCAUACAAAAUUUAAAAUUGGACUUCCCAUAUCUCCUUUCACAAUUGUACACAACAUGGCGUGGAAUGGACCUGUGGCUGAGUGUAAGCAAAAGUGAAACCUCUCAGUCCAUUUCUGAGAUUACAGGGCCCAAACCUGAGACAUAGGGGCAGCCCCUGGGGAUGUCAUUAAGCAUGAUACAUGAUACAAUAACCACAGUUGCUGGGGCCAUGUCUUCAAAUAAAGAACAUGAAGUCUAAGAAGUCAGCAAAUACCACCCUGGUUGGAAUCAAGACAGAAACCUUAGCUAAAGGGGCGUUCCUAGGUCCAGCUGAAGUAUGGGGACCUUCUCACCUGCUUAGGGAGCCUGGGUGGAGAUGCGAUGUUUUUAGAUGGGGACACUCACAGUCAGGAGCCCAGACUGACGCCCCUGAAGGCUGCAAUUCUAAACACACUUACCAAGGACUUUCUCUCCCUCAAGCCCUCCUGCAGCCAUCUGCCAAUCUCUGAAACUUCAAAGCAGCCCUGAAGGUGUGGCAACCCCAUGCACUCUCUCAGUAUUGGUGGUAACGUGGCUAUAGCCAGGUUGCUCCAAGAAACAUAUGAGCUAAACCAGACCCAAAGAAUUUGUGAGCUGCUGUGGAGAAUCAUAAAACCGUGGACUUGGAAAUGACACCCAGGGUUAUCUAGUCUAGCCCCCUGCAAUGCAGGAAUCUCAACUAGAUCAUUCAUGGCAGAUGGCCAUCCAACCUAGGCUUAGAAACCUACAAUGAAGGAGAGUCCACCAACUUCCAUCAGGGUCCGUCAAACAGCUGUUACCAUCCAGAAAGUUCUUCUUGAUGGUGAGUCGGAAUUGCCUUUCUUUAGGGAAAAGGUACUUCCAACAUUGUGUAAAAUCUAUAAAUAAGUGUGCUGCGUGAUAUAAAAUUGCUACUAUCUUAAUAACUGUAAGUAGUUAACUGUGAGAGAUAAGAAGGCUACGUGUAAAUGAAGCCCGAUCAUGACUUUGUAAAUGAGCUUUGGCAGCUUGCUUACUGUCAACAAAACUAAAACUUUCACCAAGGAGACAUUUAUAGGCCUCGGAAGGUUUACAGUUAGGUUCAGAAGUUUAUGUACCAGACAUGAGAAUAAAAAAAAGGUCAGGUUGUGGUAGGCCAGUCAGAGCAUAUUCUAAUUGGCUCAUAAAUACAGGCCAAUGGACUGGAGCUAACAAGUUAUUAAAAGAGGGUUGUGGUUAUAGUCUAUAAGUCCUGAAGGGGGCCAGGAUCACCUCAGGCAGAGAAGAGCCUGAGAGGGGAGGCGACUGCAGCAGAGCGUCUGAAGAAGAGCUGGGAUAACUGGGAUCUCCUUGUCAAGAUAUGACGGGAGAGGAAGACUCAGUUCUGCAACAGUUCUGCAAGGAAGCUGGGGAAGUCAAAUGCCUGGCAGGCCACCCACAGAACGCCUUUGAAACGGGGUGAAGCACCCAGAGGCAGAGCUAUCUGCUCCAGCACCCGGAGCGGCGCACAUGCUGUGCACCCGGGGUGAGGCCACGGGGGCAGGGCGAGCAUCCUGGGGGGCGCCGCCCACGGUGAGCAUCCCAGGGAGUGAGACACCCAUGGGGGGUGAGGUGAGCUGCCCAUGGCGGGCUGCUUCCUGGGUGGGGGAGGGAGGGAGCUGCGCUGCUUUGCGAGCAGCCUUCCUCCCUUCCCUUUUCCUUUUGACAGCUCAGGGGAGGCUCCCCCCUCCAGGAAGCAGCCUGGGAGUGGGGGACAAUGGCCUGCUGCUCACCCGUGACUCCCAAGCUUCCCCCAAGCUGUCAAAACGAAGGGGGGAGGGGGAAGGCCGCCGACAAUGUGGCAUAGCUCAGCCCCUUCCCCCUACAGCUUGGAGUAGGCUUGGGAGUCGCGGGUGGGCAGCGUGCCGAAUGUCACCCCCCUCAGUAAUGUCACCCCCCUCGGUAAUGUCACCACCCUGGGUAAUGACACCCGGGGCAGAACGACCCCUCUUCCUCCGCCCCUGGAAGCACCUGCCUCAGGCAGCAGAAGCGCAAGAAGCAGCGCAUCACCUGUCCCACCUACUUCCAUCGCUACCCUACAGCGGAGAAGUUGAGCCACAGUGCCUUGCAAAGUGUCUCAGCCCCUGUUGAGUUCAAGAGAUUGAUGUUCCCACGCACAGCAUUGCUGCUCGUCUUCCCUGCCCUGCGGGUGGGUGGGUAAAAUUUCCAUCUUCCAUUGGUGAUACACCCAUGAUGGAGUCCCAUAUAACCACUAAACCUUAUUCUGUUGCUCUGACUUGUGUUCUGCCACUGGUAACACUACGUUUUUGAAACGUUUCUCCUAGUUCUUCUAAUGCAUUUCACAGCUGGAAAAUUUCCCCCCUUCAAUCCCUGGGUGUCUCCAGGAAGGGGAGAGAGAAACCAGCAGCUUCUUAAGAGUCCAACCUCAUGAUUCUUCUAUCAUGAGGCUAUGGCAGUAGUAGGAGCAACUUUGCCCGUUGGUAUUCAGCUCUACAGAUAAGUCAUAAUACACUGUUAUUCUUUUUCCUCCUAGCAUGAUUAAAGCAGAAAGUUUCAAUAUGUUUUAUGUUCCUGCAAUUUUAUUAGCCAGUGCUUAAAACGUCUACUUCCAGAGGACAUGUGUAAAGGUCAUGUGGUGAGCUGGCUUGAUGGCUAUCUUUAUCACCUUGCCAGUGACUGCGCAGGCAGAUUGGGGUCACUGCAGGCUGGGAAAAAAGGCUGAGCAGAAAAUCUAAGUGAAGGAGGAUUAGAAAACAAUUUGUCUAGAAAAUGACACUUCCAGAGAAAGAGUGAAGGAAGGCCCCUAGAAAUACCGACUCACCUGAAAAGGUCCUGGUAGGUCCCUAUGGGAUAAAUGGGGAUUAUAGUUUUUCAGGCUGAAGUCUAUGCUAAUUUUCCUUGUGUUAAAUGAUUAAAGCAUGCCCUGUGAGGAGCUUAUGCUAAACUCAAGUGCUCAGUGUCUCACUGGGGGAAGUAAUUUGACAGUCUGAAGCCAAGUCUCCUGCAGGGAGUAAUUUGCAGGGAUGAACCAAAUUCUCAUAAAAAAAGAAGAUGACUCAACUUGAGCCUGGUGAAUUUGACCCACUCAGGAUCUCACUGGUACUUGAUACCCGAGGCAAAUAUCUUGACAAGGCAGGCCAAGCUGUUGCAGACUUUGGAAACCAGCAAAUGUGUGGUACACAUGUGAGCCACAAAACAAUAGGUCUACGCACGGGUUACUCACAUGUAGAGCAUAGCGUGCUGAGUCAGGAGUAAAAUUGUGCUUUUAACCCCUCCCUGACAUCUUCUCUGCUUCUUUCAAGAACCAUGCCUUGUGUGGAGUUUUCUGCAGAAUCUCACACAUUGUUGUUGUUGCUUUACACAAAAGCAUGCACAAUACUUGACUGUUGCAAGAAUCAGACACUAUGUUUGGCAAGGGGCUAAAAUUUAUUUAUUAUUUAUUUAUUUAUUUAUUUAUUUAUUUAUUUACGGCUAUUAGCCCAUAAAGGCUAAAAGCUCUGCCCUCUUCCCAAUUCAAUAUACAUUUGCCCUACACAUGAGUAAUGUGCAUCUAGGGUUAAGUGUCUAGCUAAAAUGGUAAACAAGAACGUAUGACAUCUGUGUGAAGAAACAAAUUCUAUUUACUACUAGAAUGUGGGGUUACUGCAUUGCUAGUAGGCUCAAAGCAGACUAGGAUUUUGUUCAGUCUGCAUUUUUAGCUGAACCUACCUACCGUAUUUUUUGCACCAUAACACUCACUUUUUUCCCCCUAGAAAGUAAGGGGAAAUGUCUGUGCGUGUUAUGGAGGAAAUGCCUACGGGUGGCAUGCCUACGGAUUUUCCUCCUCUAAAAGCUACGUGCGUGUUAUGGUCGGGUGCGUGUUAUAGAGCGAAAAAUACGGUAAUUCAUACCUCCUGGACACACAGAUUAGAACAUGCCCCAAAAUUCAUAUUUAAAAUGUAUACUUUAGUAUAAAAUAUCAUGCAAAUAAAUCUGUACCUUAGUGUAAAAAAAAAUAUAUUUUGUAGAAAAUGCAUAUAAAAACAAUGCAAAUUUUAGUGUUGUUUUUUAUUUUAAAAAACCCCGAUCUGUCCUGUUUUCACAGAUUUAUGAAUGAAUGCACGGAAAACUGACACGGAUCAGAAACAGACUGAUCUCUCCAUCCCUACAGCUAACAAAAGGAUAUUCCUCUUCAUACAAUGAAUCAUUCAUGUAGUAAAUUCCCUAUUGCAAGGUAUGGUGAUGACAGCUCACUUUGGUCACUAUUUCAAAAGAAGAGAGGAACUUGUGGAGUUUAUGAAUUAGCCAUGACAGCUGAAUAGAGCCUCUUAUCAACAGGAAGGGUGGCAGAUUUCAGGUCCAGGGACCAGGUGUGGCCCUCCGGGCUUCUCACCUGGCCCUUGGAAUACUCUCCAGGCCAUAUAGCUCACUGGCCCUCUUUCAUACCCUAAGUGUUUUUGCGUGGCAGGACUGUGUCCUUGAGAAGUGAUCAUGCCUCUAGCUUGUCUGGAUGAUGGGCAGAGAGGGUUGUGUUAAUUUGUUCAGAAGCUUCCACUAUACAAAGGUAAAAAUUGCACCUGCUCCCCCUCCUAUUUUUGCCUCUGGCUCCACCCAUGUGUGCCUCAAACAUUGGCCCUUUUAUUUGUGGGCAAAUAAAAAUGGAGGGUGAUUCUUUUCAUGCCUGUGAAUAAGCUCUCCAGAAGAAGCCAGCUGACCACCACUGAAAACAAACAAAAGCAAAGAAACCAAGAAUGGUGGGCAAGAUUAACCUUUGGUCUGAUGCCAACAAGAAUCUUCUUUAAAUUUGUGUUUGGUAGUAGUCAUAUUGUACAAUUUCAGCUGUAAACAAUUUCUGCUGUAUUACCAAUUCAGAAGACAGAGAUGAACCCAGUGCCAAAACGUGUCUUCAGCCUAUCCAUCAUACUUUAGCAAAGUUGUUGUUGUUGCUGUUGUCUUUUUGGACACUCAGCUCAUGCAAUUAGGAAUGCCUAGUUACUGCAGGGCAUAAACAGCAAAACAGAGGACUAGUGAGGGUUUAUAAAGGGGCUGAAAAGGGAGCCUAAGUAGAUGGAGUAGGGUUACACAUAUUCUUUAUCAAAAUUCUCUAGGGCAUAUGGCCAUGUUUGGACUAUCAUAUCUGAGCUUAUAAGCAGAAAUUUAAAAUAAGCCUUAGGUACUUGCAUACCACACCUUUGUUCUUCCCUUUGCACAAGACAGGAAACAAGUCACACUUAAUACAAGGAAGGCUUCAGAUAACUAUAGUUUCCAUUACAUCUGAACAGCAAAAAUGGGUUCAAUGGCUUCCUGAAGAGACAAGAUAGAAAACCAUAGCAUAAAGUAAGUUUAAAUCUUACCUUGUUUGGGAGCUAUUAACCACAGUUUCCUGAUUUGUUUUCAGCAAACUACAGUUAACUUAAGACUUCGUGCCUUGUUUGUUUGGUUGCAGGAGAAUGAGGCUCGAUGAUAUUGACUUAAAGGUAAAGGGAGCCCUGACCAUUAAGUCCAGUCGCAGACGACUCUGGGGUUGCAGCGCUGAUCUCUCUUUACUGGCUGAGGGAGUUGGCGUUUGUCUGCAGACAGCUUCCGGGUCAUGUGGCCAGCAUGACUAAGCAGCUUUUGGCGAACUAGAGCAGCGCACGGAAACGUCGUUUACCUUCCCGCUGGAGCGGUACCUAUUCAUCUACUUGCACUUUGAUGUGCUUUCGAACUGCUAGCUUGGCAGGAGCAGGGAUGGAGCAAUGGGAGCUCAUCCCGUCGCGGGGAUUUUAAUUGCCGACCUUCCGAUUGGCAUGUUGACUUACUGAGUUCAAAAAUGAUCAGCUGAGUGUGAACAUUGUCCUCUGACUUUGGCAACCAAUGUGAUAUUGGGCAACCAAUAUGAUAAAAGGGCGUGGAAACCAAGCCUUAUGAGGAAUGGUUAAGGGAGCUGGGGAUGAGAGGAGACAGAGAGGAGAUAUCAUACCCUCUUUAAAUAUAUAAAGGGCUGUCACAUGGAAGAUGGAGGAAGCUUGUUUUCUCUUGCUCUGGAGGGUAGGACCCAAACCAAAGGAUUCAAGUUAAAAGCAAGGAGAUUCCUACUAAACAUCGAGAAGGACUUUCUGACAGUAAAGAGCAGUUCAACAGUCGAAAUGACUCCUUCAGAAGGUAAUAGACUCUCCUUCUUUGGUGGUUUUCAAGCAGAGGUUGGGUGGCCAUCUGUCAUGGAUGCUUUAGUUGAGAUUCCUGCAUUGCAGGGGGCUGGACUAGAUGACCCUAAGGAUCCCUUCCAACUCUACAGUUAUAUGAUACUAUGGCACACCUAGGAUUAUUAUUUUUUAAGAAUCACAAAUUUCAAUUAUAAUGUUGUAACUUAAAAACAACAACAACCUAUUAUACAAAUUCUGAAAUUCAUGAAAC